AUGUUGAUGGAUUCUACAUUGGGGAGCUGCCAAGAAUUAAUUGAUGAAUUUAAAUUGGUUUCCAAAAUCAACACUAAAAGUAAAAAAGGAUGCUGAGAUAUUAUUAUUAUUAUUAUUAUAGAUUGGUUUCUAGAAUUUCAGUUUUUUUUUUUUUUUUUUUUUCAAAUGAGAUGUUAUGAAAUUAGCCUGAGGGCCAACAUCCAAAUGGAAGCAAGUACUCUGAAGGGCUCUCCAUUUUUAAUGUCCUUUUAAAAAGACAUUAACAUAGGUGUUCACACGUUACUGCGAGUUUUAAAAGCGUAUAAAACAUGCAAAGAGUAUUAUGUAUAACCAUAUUAGGCAUGUAUGAAUAUAGGUUGAAUUUGUAAAUUUUGAAGAAUAUCUUUAUAUACAGAAGAAGAAAAUGUACCCUCUUAUAAAUUCUGAAAAUAUACUAAAAGAAGAAAGAAAAAAAUAUGAAGGCAAAAUUGCGUCAUAACGAUGUAUAAUGUACAUUGAUUUUGAAGUGGAUUGCAUACAAUUGUUUAAUUUUCUUAAAUUCUUUAAAGCAUAUUUAACCGAUAAAUAGAUUCUUCACAAAAAUAAUACAAUUACAUUUAGUGCCUAGUAAUUUUCAUAAAAUGUCUAUUCACAUUUGCUCACAACUUGAGUGAUGUCUAAAACAAAUGAUAGAUGAGGGUUAUAGGUUAUGACAUUCACAUUCACAUUUGCUCACAACUUAAGGGUUAUAGGUACAUUAACGAGACUCACACAAUAAAAUAAUUAACAAAUUUGACAUAUGAAAAUUCAUAUGUCAAUCCACAUAAGAUUGACAUAUCGAUUGGAGUUUACUUCUACCUUUAAAUUUGAUUACAUGACAUUUCACUUAGGAUUUGUCAUCUUCUUAGCAGAUGUUUUAAGUGUAAAAGAUUAAAAAAUGUCAAAUGCGUUUAGGUAUUUUUUCCUUCGAGAUACAAAUAAUUAUGAUUAGCAAAAGAAUGAAAAUGUCCCUAAUGGACUGCAAUUCAGAUACAAUUUGAUUUGAAGCACUCAAGCAAUUCAAAAAACGCUUGAAAGAUGAAAUUCAAACACUGAUUUAAUCUGCAACUCAUUCACAUGAGUCAAAGUAUUUCGGGACUGGAUUUUGGGCUUUGGGCUUUUGGGCUGAAAUUUGAGAGUUUUGUGCUGUGGGUUAAAAUUUGGGCUUUUGUACUAAAUUUUUGUCACCCAAUUUCAUAUCAAUUGAAAUUAAGUUUUUUACCUCAUACCAUCUAAGUUUCGAAGUUCCAAACUACUUAAUUUCAUACUCCUAUUUCUAAUAUAGUUUACUAUCAAACUACUUAAAUUCAACACUUAUGCAUGCAACGCAACGCAACUAAAAUAUAUAUAUAUAUAUAUGUCGGUUCGUUUUGAGAUUCCCAAACCAUUGAAUACGUAAUCCUAAUUCCAGUACCCAAACAUUCGAGAUCGAUUCAGUAUAGAGUCUCGAAAAUUUCGGUAUUAUCGAUUUGAGAAUUUUUCGGUAUUGGAUCGGGAUUUUUUUUUUGUUUGGUUUCGAAUUUUCGGUAAAAAUUCCAGUGAAAAAAAAUAAAAUAAAAUAAAAAAUGGGACUUUUCAGCAUAUGGUAUAUGCCAAAAGGACAGUUUAUACAAAUAGGACAGCCCCACGAGACAUUUUUCUUUUAUAGCCCCUUGUUCAAUGGAGUCUCAACGCGUUGGCUCCCCAUGUUCCUUCCAAUAAUGGUUCAACUCUUUCAUUCAACCUUGAUCAUCACCACCACCAUAUCACUCUUGCAGAGUUGUAGUAGUUGUAGGAAAUUUUAGCUUGAGCUCAUUUGGCCGAUUCCUCGAGUCCGAAUCUCCGAGGAGAGUAUCCGGAAAAUGUAUGAGCCAGUUAAACAUAGUAUUCCUCUAUUCAUAUGUAUGGAAGGCCUCAUUUGUACAUGAUAGACCUCGCGUACAUGUUUCGAGAGAAAGGUUAUAAACAUGUAAAACCUUGUCCGAACUAUUACCCAUGCCCUUAUAAUAUCGUACCAUUGGAGAAAACGGGGCUCCAAUCAUGGUUUACCUUGCAAACCGGCGGGGGACUCGAGGCGUGGGAACGACUACAUCUCGACCAGAUUUCAUCAAAGCGAGGCGAUCCUUGAUUGUGUUGUCAAACAAUCUGUUGUCUGGAUUCUCUGCAUAGCAGACAAAGUAACUACCUACACAAGCAUGUGGUAGUGCCAUGGCUAUCCUCGUCUGGAAAAAGCAUCAAAUUAAUAGAAAUUUGUUAGGUUAAGGUGUUAAUUAGGUAUUUAAAUAACUAAUAAGCAACAAAGAUUAGAGAAUUAACAAGUUGAUCACAUCGUUCAUAUGCAUAAAAUGAAUAAUAGAGUAUGAAAAGUGACCAACCAUAAGGUAUCCAAUGAGGAAUGUAAGGAGGGAAAUGGUGGCUGUGAAACCUUGGUGCACUCUAGCAGUCCAAGCCGCCACAAUUAUGACACAGAUAGAGCCGCUGCAGACGCCGGUUAGGAAGCAGAUUGAGCUGGUAAUGUCGGAAUCAACAAUUGGUUCCAUUUCUUGCCGUUCAAAGAGCUCCCAGGUGUCUUGUGAUGCCCUCACAAAACCUUUCCCAUACACUGCUAUCUGCAGCAAUUGGUCAUAUUGUGUUGUUGAAAUAUUGAUCAGCUGGCAAAACUAGUAUACUUUGCUGUGCAAAAUAAGGACUCGUUUGGAAGUAUUUUUAAAAUGACUGAAAGAGCUUUUGGCAAUGGUUUUUGGUACCAAUCUUUAGCAAAAAUGGAAGUGAAUCUUGGAAAAGCACUUGAAUUGCUUUUUGCAAGAAGCACUUGGUUGGUAUGCAAACAGAAUCACAAAGUCAAUUGACAAUGGCUUAUAAAUGUACCUGUAUGAAGGCCCAGCCGUUGCCAUAUCUGAAGAUGCACUCCAUGACUUUGAGACAGCAAUGUGCACAAGAAAACAUGAACUCAUCUUCUCCCUUGAGUAAAUUUAAAGCCCGAGCAACAAUUCUCAGUGCUUCAAUUGAAGGUACAAAGAGUGAACCCAAACAAGCACUUCCAAGAUUUUUACUCAAGGCUCUCUGGAAGCAAAAUUGAGUAUUAGAUUGCAUUCCUCUGAGAUAAUAAAGAGAAAUUACCCUACUGACGGUCAUAUUUGCAACGUUCCUCAUUACUUCAGCUAUCCAAGCUAAGCUCAAGACCAACAAAAUUAUGAUCAGUGGAGGAAAGUAGAAAUUCAAGGCUCCUAUCACAGCUAGAAUCAACAGGGACAUCCACAGAAAUCCGACCCCAAGCAUCCAAUAAGUGGGUUGAUUCAAAUCGGGGAACUUUGAUACGGGUUCGAGCGAUUUGAUCAAUAUCUUGCUACAAAAUCCUAUCCGCUGUGUGAUCCAACAAGCGUAUAAGCCAUUGCCUAUCGCAAAUGCAAUAAAGCAGACUGCAACGCCAUCGGUGGGAGGCUUUUGGAAGCAAAUUAGCAGAAUUCCGGCAGAUAGAGACAUGACAAAAGUGGUCCAUAGUAUGAAAUGAAUAAAAAACUUAGGCCAUAGCCUGACUGCCUUUUGCCAUGCAAAUGCAAGAACAAUGCUUAAAAGAGAUGCAGCUUCGACUUGUGGUAGAAAAAACUUCAACACUCGUUUCUCGGCUCUUUUAACCUUGUUGUCUGAUGCUUCUAUCAGCCCUUGAACUCCCUUGAACAGAAGGAAACCGACUAGCCCAAUGGCUGCAACCAUGUGCAGAAGAAACAGAAACAGAGACAUCUUGUUGGUGUAUUUUCUUGAAUUCAGUGUUGUAAAAGAUGGCUGGUCAAAAAAUUGAGACAAAACCCAUUAAAAUAUCAGAUUGAUAACUCAAAAAUUCUCCCCAAAAAAUUCAUGCUCUACCAGAUAAAUGGCUGCCAAACUGAUUAAAAAUAUUUAGGACCACAAGUUCUACAAUUAAUCUUUUUAUGUCAGUGGGAUCGGCUAUAUGAACCCUAUAACGUCAUUGUGCUCAGUUUUGCACCAAGUCUCAAUCUCAAUAAACAAGUCCCAGAAAAAUGGCUUGUAUCAUUUCCUUUCCAAACUCAUCAAAAGAUAUUUAGGAUAAAAUAACUUAUUUCUCAAAUUUUCAAGAAUAAAAAUGAGAUAUCUUUGUCUAAUCUUUCGUAAACAUCACUUAACUGACAAAACCUUAUAUCACUAAAUGGAUCGGCAAUAUGAACCUAGAUUGCCACUGCACUCUGUUUUGCGUCAAGUCUCAAUCUCAAUAAACAAGUCCCAGAAAAAUGAUCUGUAUCAUUUCCUUUCUACACUAAUCAAGGAUAUUUAGGAAACAAACAUAAAAAUCUCAAAUUUUCAAGAAUAAAAAUGAGAUAUCUUUGUUUAAUCUUUCUUAAGCAUCACUUAAUUAACUUGAAAAUCACUCAAAUUGCUUUAAAAUUACAACUGAAGAAAGUUGGUAUCCUAAGUCGUUUAAAAACUUUAAUUUUGUUUUGAUGAGAAAGAUUAAAAUAAAAUAUAAAAAAAGAAAGAAAAAGAAAACUUACUUGUGGGGUUGGUGUAGAACGAGGCUGAGAAUGCUGGGGAGUGUUGGUGUGAGAGGCGAACUGAGGAGGGGAAGGAGUAGCAGUAGCACCACCAUGACCACCACCAAAGCCUCUGAUAUUAGAGAACCGAGCCGGCGGCGGCGGCGGAGUUGCAGCUCUGGUUUUGCUAUUUAUUACAAUUCUCAAAGGGUUUGUUGGAUUCAGCCUCUGCAGCAUUGACAUAUGAACAUCUCCUUCACUCUCAUUCUGAUUGAUAUUAUUAUUUCCAUGAUUAGUAUUAAUAUUAAUGUUUCUCUCAGCUGCCACCGCCUGUUCUUCAAAACCCACCUCCCCUUCCUCAACAUCUCUCACAUCCUCCUCCUCCUCCUUCCUCCCAUAGUCCUCUCUCUCCUCAAGCUGCUCUCUUUCUCUCUCCUCCACCUACAUGCCACAGCAAAGUGGACCUUUUGGCAUUAACUGAAAUGUACACAGAGCUAAUAAAAAACAAAAAAAAUUUAAACAGCAAAAAAGAAAUGAGAAAGAUGGGUUGCUUUACAGGCUCUGCGGCACCCAUGCCGGCGGUAUGACGUGACACCGGUGUCAGCGGCGGUGGUGUUGUCUGGAAUGUUUCGUGUUUUGUACGUAUUUGUGUAAUUAUCUCUCCGAAGUCUAUCUAUCUAUCCAUGGUUGUGGUGGUGCUGUUACUGGUGCCGGUGGAUGCUGACUCUUCUCUCCUAUUUUUCACAAACGUAAAUACUGACCUCAGAGGAUCUGACUGUGUGGGACCCGCCCGGUCAUAGCACAGGUAUGGCUAACGUGCUCCAGUGGCGCGUGUGUGACUUUGACCAAUGAGAGAGGGCCUGGUGGGUUCAUGUCAGAUUGAGGAUGAAGCACGUUUAAAAUAGAGUUUUUCUGCGGUUGGUGUCUGGGAGUGAAUUGUCAAGAAAAAGCAGCCUCUACUGGUAAAUGACCAAUGUUUUCAUUAAAAAUACGUUUGAAUAUAUAAUAAAAAAAUUAAGGAUUCGUUUGGAUGUUCUUUUAAAAUGACUGAAAGCGUUUUUAGAGAAAAUAUUUUUUUAUUCCAAAAGCCCUUAAAGUGCUUUAUGCAAGAAGCACUUUCCAAAAUAUACUUGCAUUUUUACUAAGAAUUAGUUCUAAAAAUAUUUUCAAUAAAAGAGCUUUCAGUCAUUUUAAAAGAACAUCCGAACGAGUUCUAAAUGUUUUUUGAAAAAAAAAUAUGCAAUAUGCGCUUUUUAAAAAAAGUGCUUAUGGAACACUGGUAACUUCUAUGUGGAAGAUAGUUACAAACACGGAAAUUUUUCAUUACUAUUUAUCAAUCAAUGAAUGAUAAAUAGUAUGCAAUAUGUGCUUUCAGUCAAAACUAUUUAUCAAUCAAUGAAUGAUAAAUAGUACGCAAAAUGUGCUUUCAGUCACAAACACGGAAAUUUGUUCCAUACUAUUUAUCAAUCAAUGAAUGAUAAAUAGUAUGUAAUAUUUUCAACAAAAGUGCUUUUAGUCAUUUUAAAAGCACAUCUAAACGAGCUAUAAGUGUUUUUUGAAAAAAGUAUGCAAUAUGUGUUUUUUUUUUAAAGUGCUUAUGGAACACUGGUAACUUCUAUGUGGAAGAUAGUUACAAACACGGAAAUUUGUUCAAUACUAUGUAUCAAUCAAUGAAUGAUAUGGGAAGAAAUUACAUACAUUAAUAACGAAAUAUUUCUAACAAAAAAUAUGAAAAAUUAAAUUUAAUAAUAAAACACUCGUAACAUUAAAUGUUGUGCAACAUUAACCUUAUAAACGUUUUUAGUUGUAAAAACAAUUUUGGCCCGUACAAACACAAUUGUUUCAAAUUGGAUAUAUCUAUCUAUUCUAUUAAGAGCACCCUCAUUGUCAACUUUUUUUCCUCUUUUUUUUUCAAUUUUGCCCUCACUUUUUGAUACACAAUACUUAUAUAAGAAGGGCAAAAUAGUAAUUUUGUAUCUUUUGAGAAAAUGACAACCAUAUCCUCAUUUUUCUUAUGGGAGAUUAUAUUCACACACUCCAAAUUACUUCUUUCAUACCCUUUUAAUUUUUUAAUAAUUUUUUAUCAAGUGUUAGUGGUGUGUAGAAAAUAUUAAAAAAUUAAAAAGGUGUGGAAAAAGUAAUUUGGGGUGUGUGAAUAUAAUCUAUCUUUCUUAUUUUACCCUCACUUUAGAUACAUAAUAUUUACAUAAAGAGGGCAAAAUGGUAAUUAUGUAAUAUUAAGAAAAAUAUGCCCUUAUUAAAAGAUUCCAUACUCUUUUUAAAAAAUGUAAAAACUAAUUACACUCCUUAAUAAAAAAAACAAAAAAGAAAAUGAAAUUGUUUACACACAAAGUGUGUGCUCAUCUUCUAGUACUUAUAAAUGAAAUGAACAUUAACUUAUUCUGAAAUAUAAAACUAUUUAUUGACCUAAAUUAAAUUUAUUACCAUUUCUAAGGUAAAUGAUAAACUCACAUUUUUGUUCCCCUUACACAGCCACUACAAGCCCAUGUUUAAUCUUGUUCUUUAUUUUCGUUUAAUUUAUUCAACUUGUUGGCUAAAAAUAAAAAUUAGUAUUUGAGACAGUAGAGAGGGUGUGUGAAGAUAUGCUGUUUAUUUUCAAACAACCCUCAAUGCAUAGAGAAACUUUCUUGAAACACCACCGAUAAUAUAGAUAAGUGUCAUCAGUUGUAUGAGAAAAUUCAUUUUCAUCUUCAAAUGAGUUGUCAAAUUUUAAACAUAAAAUUCAAAUUCUGCAGAUUAUGUGGCACUUUGACAUUUUUAAAGUUGUAUUCUCCACUCUAUAUGUCAAAUUAAACUAUUAUUUUAUUAUAUUAUUUUAUUUUCAAAAUUUCUGAUUUAUAUUUUAAAAGUUACAUUUAUAAUAACUCAUGAUAAAAAAUGAUAAAAAAUGAAAACUAAUGAAAAUGACUUGAAAACUUUGAGUUUUAAUGAUAAGGACAAAAUAAAGGGUAAAGUGAAUAGUAUAAGGAUUGACUUUUUAAUGUAAAAAUGUAAUUUUUCAUUAAAGUGAACAGUACCUCGAGCUUUUCGUUAAAACUUUCUAAUAAAAAUUCUUAACAAGAUAUGUGUGCUGAAGCUGCAAAUACGAAGAAGCUACAGGAUGCGUGUUGCCGGCUUGUCAAUCAAAUACGAAGAAGCUGCAAUGUAUGUUGAAGCUGCAAUUCGAGACAUCUGCAAACUCAUUGGCCAUUUAAAUUAAUAUAAAUUCAGUCUAAAUAAAAGCAGACAUGAAACAUCAUAAACCCAUUAAUUAAUCAAUAAAAUGCAUUAAAUAAUUAAUUAAAAAAAUUUGAAGCUGCUGUUAAUUUUGGCAGCAAGGGUGACAUAUGUCAAUCUAUGUCAUGCCACAUCAGAUUUAAAUUUUUGGUUAGAAAAUAUUGUUGCUGUCUUGUUUGAAUGUUAGUGCUAAGUUAGACAUUUUGACAUCUCUUUUAAAAAUAGUUGAAGGGUUUAGACUAACGGAAGUUUGGAUUUUAUGGUUGCGGAAUUAUUGGACAGAUGAGAUGAAAUUAUAAAAAUGAGUAAUGGUGGCAUAAGAAGCAAAGCAUUGACUUUUGUGUGAGUAAAGGAGAAAGAGGCGUAUGCAAAAAGAAAACAAAAACCCACCUUUUCGUAUGCUUGUAUUAAUGUUGCAUGAAAUUCCAUAAAUUGCUUGCGUUUACCAAUUGGGAACAAACAAGCAAGCAAAGUAUAAACUUAGUCCUCAAAUUAAUAUAGUUGUGUUCAACAUUAAAAAAAAAAUGAAACCGCUUAAGUGGUGUUCACUCAUUGGUCGCUCAAGUGUGUUAACACGAGGUUUAUUUAUAUUUUGGUCAAAUUGGAUUAAUUAUUUCUAUGGUCAUGUGGUACUUGCAUGAUGACCUAUAUGGUAAAAAAAGAAAAUUAAGAUUUAACUCUUAUAGUGAAAGACGGUUAUGAAUUUUAACUCAAAAAUGUGAUUUCUAUUAAAAGUCUGUUAAGAGUAGGGGUAAUAUUGUAUUUUCGGCCCCAAUUAGCAUAAAAAACAAAAACAAAAAACAAAUAAAAAUCAUACUAUUUAAUUUUACAAGAAUAGAAAGAGAAAAAAAAGCACCAAUUGAGAGCUCACGAGUCACAACCGCCAUAACCUCCUCAUUCACGCCCAAAUUCCCCAUAUCCCAAAAUUCUCAAUCUUCUUAUCGCUUUGAUUAGUGAUAGUUCAAGGGAUGGUUUAUUGGUCUUUAAUCUUAAAAUUGUGGUUAGCUCGCCGGUUCGGAUCUAAAGCAACGAGACACAUGAAAACAAAGAGAGUAGACGAAAAUGUUGAGAAAAGCGACGGCAACGGUCAAUGGUCGGACCCAUCACCAAAGUUCACGUUGUUGAUCAAUGAAGAUGUUGGGGUGUAGACUGUGUAGUUUAUCAGUAGGAGCCAUAUUAUUAUAACGAUAAUGUUAGAGAAAUUAAAUUUAUAGACAAAAUUUUGAAAAUUAAAUGACUAAAAGUUAAUGAUUAGUUUAUUAUUUAAGCAUGAUAAACAUGUUUAUUCAUAUUGAUGACAUAUUAUUUAAUUUAAAAUUUUUGUCUUUAUAUUUAGGGAACUUUAACGAAAAACUUUCAGUAUUGUUCACUUUAACGAAAAAUCAUUCUUACACUAAAAAGUCAAUUCUGGUACUAUAUAAAGGAAAACUAAUGAAAAUGGUUUGAAAACUUUGAGUUUUAACGAUAAAGACAAAAUAAAGAGCAAAGUGAAUAAUACCAUGAUUGACUUUUUAGUGUAAGAAUGUGAUUUUUUGUUAAAAUGAACAGUACCAUAAGUUUUUCGUUAAAAUUCUUUAUAUUUAAUCUUCCUAACAAUACAUGUAUAAUAAAGAAAUACUUAAAAGGUGAACUCUUUAAUAUAUUUCAUCUUAUUAGUCAAGACUAGGGGUGGAUUCGGUUUAAAUUGGUUCGGUUUUUUGCCAAAACCGAAACUAAACCGAAAUUUCGAUUCGGUUCAUUUUUUUCGGUUCGGUUUCGGUUCGAUUUCGGUUUUUUGUUUUUUUUUUCUUUUCAAAAAAUGAAAAACAUUGAAAUUUUAAAUUUUAACAUAUCCAACACAAUCAUAACAUAAGCAUUCUAACUAGAAUCAAAGACAAUGAAAAUAAACAUUUAAAGUUGAACUAAAAUCAUCAAUCAAGUCUUCCAAAGUCCAAACUAACAACGUCACAACACAAAAAUCGUACAAAUGACUUAGAAAAGUUAAAUUGUAUGAUGUUGUUCAAAGAUCAGGGUUGUUUGCUUGUAACUGCAAGUUGACAACUUGAUUAGUAAAAGUAAUACGUGGGUGGAUUUAUUUAGUGUGUGUUGAAUUCUUUUCCAUCACAAAUUACCCAAGUAAUCUACCCGAAAUAAAUGUUUAUGGAUUAUGUUACAUGUUAUAUGAGAGUAGAUUUGGAAAAGAAAGUUGAGGCAGAAGUAGACAGUGCUAUGGAGAUGGAUGUAGGUACUUCAGGAGGAGGUUUGGUUCCGGAACCUUAUAUGAGGAGAAAUAAUAUGUUAGGGUUUAGAGUUUUUAUAGGCUUUUUUUUUAAUAUUUUGAGCUUAAAGUUUGGCAACACAUUGGGUUUAGCACAUUUUAACUUACAAAUUGGGUUUAGAAAAUAAUACCAAAACAAAUAAUUAAAUAAAAAAUUAAUUUAAUUAAUUCGGUUUGGUUCGGUUUCUAAAUCACUAAAACCGAACCGAACCAAAAGAAUUCAGUUCGGUUCAAUUUUUUCAAUUCAGUUUGGUUUUUUCGUUCGGUUCGAUUUUUUCGGUUUCGGUUCGGUUUGGUUUUCGGUUUUUUUCGGUUUUCGAUUUUUUGAACCCACCCCUAGUCAAGACUCAAAGUAUUAUUGUUCUUUACUACGCGCAUCACUGAAUUUUCGAUGCUAGUCCAAGUCGUGUAAAAUCUCCAUAGUUCCAUAUGCUUACCCUUUUGACCUGUAACAAAGUUGAAGUUGAAAAGUAAAAAUUGAGAAAAGUCAAAGCGAAAUUGGAGAACUACAUGCACCAGAAACUCCACGUGGAUGUGACAGACCAUCUGGCGGGCCCCACCUUCGGGUGAGAAGAUGUAAAGGUGUUGAGAUUAGUGGGCCUGGCCCAUCAGAUGGAUGACUCAGAUACACCUCAACUUCGUUUUAUGCGUCUGCAUCACAGUCCCGUCCUUUUGUAUUAAAGGACGGAAAAUUAUUGUAUUACAAAGUAGAAAUAGACAGCAUCAAUUUUUAUUUUUUUUAUUGAACAAUAUUAUCUUCGUUGAAGGAAAGGAAUAAGUUUAACUUCACAAUGAAUUAACAAUAAUAUAAUUAAAUUCGUAUUUGAUGAGAAUCGAACUUAAGACUUCUCACUUACAAAUGAAGAGAAAUAUCACUAGACCAUAGUACUAAAUGACAAAGAGCACCAAUAUUAGAACUAAACGGUUUUUUAUUUAUAAGUAAAAGAUCUCAUAUUCAACUUACAUGAAUGACAAUAACGUAUUAUAAUUGUGUGAUGUUUAAUACCUAGUUUGUGACUAGCCUGUUGUGUGGUCUAGCCCAGAUAUCCCUCCACUAGAAUAGAAUCCCUUUAAAGUAGAAUAUCGUUGUAUUUAAAAUUAAAAAAAUCAAAAAGUGAAAGAUUCAUGGUUCGACUCAAAUUAAUGACGUUUUCAAUAAAUUAUAAUCUUUUUGUGGCUUAGCUCAAUCUCCCUCCCCCUCCUAGAGUCCUAGGGUAUAAAACCCGUUUAAUUUCACCAUAAUAUUGUAGCGACAUUGGUAGUGCUAUGAUGAAAUCAUACUUAAUUUCACCAUAAUAUAGUAGCAACAUUGGUAGUGCUAUGUGUAAGAACUUGUAAACAAACAAACACCAAGACCAAAGCAUGAACCACAAACAAAAGGAAACCAACCCAGUUAUGUGCACAUAAAUAACCAGAAAGGAAAACAUACCUGCAGCUGCACCAAAACCCGUAGCCAUUGCAGCAAACUUUCAGUGAUCCUUCUCUUCUCUUGCAGAUUGUCAAGAGCUCGACUCACAGAUAGGUUAUGGUCCAAUAUGAGCGUUAGUUCUGUGAGAAGAAAGGUCACUAUAUAUAUACAUAUAGACUUCACCAAAAUAGAUCAGGAUUUCCUAUCAAAAUCCUCAUCGGAAACAAACACUUGUUCCUAAUGCUAACCAAAAUCCUUUUCAGUCAAGGAUCAACAUUCCUUUCAUCAAUAGGACUUUCUAUCCAAAUUGAAUACCUAUAACUGGUCCUAAAACUUCUCUAUCUCAUACUCAUACUCAUAUUCUUACAUUCUCCCACUUGAGUAUGAGAACAGUUUCAAGUACUCAGUUUAUCCAAUCAUACUUAGAUAGAAGUGAUCACUAACAGAUAAUCAUCUCAAAUUAUUAUAAAGGUGAUCACAUAAUUAAGUCAUUCACCAACACACAAGUACAUAGAUACAACCAGCUUACAUAAACCAAAACAAUGAAUUUAUAAUUGCCUCUGCAACACAAAAUACAGAUUUAACUUACAAAUCACAAUGUCCAGUUCAUGUUCAUAGCAAUGUAUCUAAGCUCAAAAGUAAACCAAGACGUCUACUCUCACUCAUAUAGCCACCAAAUCUUUUGGAUAACAAAAGCUUAACCUCACAUACAACUUACCCAUGCAUUUUAAAAUAUUGAACUUAAGAAUUUUUUCUGUUACAUCGCAGAAUUAACUCAAAAGUUACAACAUACUUAAUUUGCACUUUGUAAUUAUGUGAACCAAUAUAGCAAAAACCAAACCAAUUUGCUCCCACUUAUCUAGGCUAUACUUAACACAAACAAGUUAAGUAUAAGUUAAUAUCAACUGUAUUAACUAACAGUCAUUGCAAUACACUAAAUGUCUUAUCAAUGUGAUCAAUUGCCGCAACCAAUAUGCAAACAAAUUCCAUGAUCACAUUCAUCCAAUUUGUAUUUACAACAAUGUGAUUUUACUUGACCAAACAAACACAUAAAUUGAUUUGCUCCCACUAUAUCAAGUUAAGUUUAGUUCCAGCAAAUAGCACUAAACUUCUCAUUACUUAAACAAAUUAAGUAACAUAAAUAAUUACCAAUUGCUUCAAUAAAACCAUAAUCUGGUUUUCAAGCAUCCAAAUGAAUUAUAAUGGCCGGCCUAAAUAACCUUAUGCUUACAUUCGAACAUAUGAUUCUCCCACUUAAGCAUAAGCAGAAUGUACUGCACAGCCAAUAAAGAAACUGGAGAUAUGAACCAAUUGAUUCCCGAUUCCUUACCAAUUGCAUAAUCUCAGUUUAGUCAAAUACACCUAAAUCAUUAUGCAAACAGUCUAUGUAUCAAAAAAUAGUCACAAUCCAUUCGGAAAAACUUAUCUCACAUAAACCCAAAAUCACCAGUUUCAACAAUAAUCAAAAUCAGAAUAGCAAGCACAAUAUUCUUGCAUUCAAUUUGAUCCUAACUAGUUCAAUACCCAUCGAGCAAGAUCAACUAAAUUUUGAUAAUGUCUGGAUAUAAAGGCACAAGUCAUCUUGAUUAAAACAAGAUAAUCAAGAUGAUCAUCCAAUAAAAUUUAGUGUACUUAUAGAUUUAAUACAUAAUAUCAAAUCUCUUACACUUACAAUAUAUCAAGUGAGAUGAGUUUCAGAAUACAUUCUUGCCAACAAGGUUUCACUAAACAAUUUAUAUCAUUUCAUGCAGGUACUAACACAAGAGUCUUCACAUGUUUUUGGUUAUACAGUGCAGAUAUUGGCAUUAACGAACCCAAAAAUUUCGAACUACAUCAUUCACAUAUAUGGCAACACCCCCAAAACCUAUUAUAUAUAGUGUAACCAAAAUUGGGAUAUGAAUUACACUCAUAAUUUUAAAAACGUCAUUAUGGAUACUCGUAUAAUCCAAUUUUGCUUUUCUAGAAUAAUUCAAACCAAUCAGACCCACAUAAAAGCCACAGGUAUUUGGUAGCAACAAUAAGUCAAAUUCUAUUAUCAUAAUUCAUAAUGGAAAAUCAUGAUGCAAGCUUCCAAGUUUCAAGCAAGUUAAUGAGAAUCUUACAUCUGCUUGAGACAACAAAAUAGCAACAAAACAUUAUUUUCCACCCAAUCCAAUUACACAGGCUCUAACUCAAAAAUAGAAGAGCAAUGUGUACACCAAAUAUUAGUCUAAUGAAUCUUUAUGCAGAAAGAAUGAUUCCAGUCAUCUCACAUAAAUCAUAAGUUGACAUCUAUAGGGACUUCGAGUUUAAUUGUGCCUUCACAAAAUAAACAAGCAUACUCGGAAUAGCAAAAGCCCUGAUUCAUUAUGCUCCAACUCAUCGCACUAUAAUCACGCAUAUAGGAGAACAAUUAAUUAUGCAUGAAACAGUGAAUUGAGUUACCUGAAUGCAUCAUUGGACUCGUAUUCGACAACCCGAUUGCAAUUCCUUUGCUCCAAAUCACGAAACAAAUUAUCCAUCAAUGCUCGAGACUCAUCCAUACGGAUUGCCAUGGUUACAGACACGCCGAACCAAAAUCAUCGCCAAACCAUGAACGUUAAUAUCUCUUAGACAAACAAAAACUUAUUAAUGUCGUCAUAAUCAAGAUUUCAUCUUUCUUUUAUCUUACUAAUAUUUGGUCAGGCAUAUUUUAUACACAUCUUUAUUCAUAUAAAGGAUUAAGAAACCACAGCUACCUCAAUCUUCAGACAUCAUAAUGAACACAGCGGAAGCAAUAAUUCUCAAAAUUAGAACUAUGAUGUUUAAGAUAAAUGUGUUUUGCUAAAUCACUUUAUUGAUCUCCAAAGAAGCAAGCAAGAAUAAGUUCACCCUUUCCCACGUGCAGCAUAAUAUAAAUUGUUAUCAUACCAGAUUUAUACCUGAUUCACAUAAUCUGCAGAAGCAAAGCAUAUUCAUAUACGCUAAAACAUACACAGGUAUUGAAAGAAUUAAAAGCAAUCAUACCUUUUAAUCACUGCAGACUUAUAGACAACAUAUGCAACAACAGGCAUCAACAGACGUCUCAUGCAUAAUGAUCAUUUUUCAUGGUUGUUUAAGAAAACACAAAACCAUCAGUAGAAAAUGCAAAUCAAAAUUUUUCCGCAUAUAUGGAAAAAUUCAGCCUUGAUUAUCAGCUCUAAUCAGAAAUAUCAACACAUACCUCCUGCAGAUUUCAAUUUGGAACAGCGCAAUGGAAAUAAUUAUCCAAAUUGAAAAAAUUAAUUUAAGAGUUGAGAGAAUCACAAAACCCAGAACAUGUUUUGAUCAAUGAAGUUGCUAAUCAAAACCCCAAAUUGAGAAAACAACCUCAACCAAUAGAUUUGCAGAAAAAAAAAAACCAAUGGUAAUAGUUUAAAUAUAUUUUGUCAUUAUCUGGAGAUCACAUACCACCGAUGCAUCUAAGAUGAAAACAUUGAGGUUUGCACCAGCAAUUGGCCACAUAUCAAUCCCCAAAAAUCCUGACGGUCAAUUUUAUUUUAUUAAUUCUCUGCAUAUUGAAAACGCAAUGUCGUUUUUGUGAAACUCUUUUCCAGCGAAUUCGUUUAAACCAAUUUCGAAACCUAGAAGUCGCAAAAUUUACUUAUCUAUUUAUAAACACAUUCGACUUUUCUCCUUUACAGAUUUGAACUCAUGUUUGGGUCUUGUGGCUCUGAUACCACAUGUAAGAACUUGUAAACAAACAAACACCAAGACCAAAGCAUGAACCACAAACAAAAGGAAACCAACCCAGUUAUGUGCACAUAAAUAACCAGAAAGGAAAACAUACCUGCAGCUGCACCAAAACUCGUAGCCAUUGCAGCAAACUUUCAGUGAUCCUUCUCUUCUCUUGCAGAUUGUCAAGAGCUCGACUCACAGAUAGGUUAUGGUCCAAUAUGAGCGUUAGUUCUGUGAGAAGAAAGGUCACUAUAUAUAUACAUAUAGACUUCACCAAAAUAGAUCAGGAUUUCCUAUCAAAAUCCUCAUCGGAAACAAACACUUGUUUCCUGAUGCUAACCAAAAUCCUUUUCAGUCAAGGAUCAACAUUCCUUUCAUCAAUAGGACUUUCUAUCCAAAUUGAAUACCUAUAACUGGUCCUAAAACUUCUCUAUCUCAUACUCAUAUUCUUACACUAUGAUAAAAUCAUACUAAACGGGCCCUUAUGGUAUGCAGAAGAAAAAACUGUAGUAUCCAAUCCAAUUUAUCGUAGUCGAUUAAUUAACAUAUUGACUACCAAUUAUCAAUAUGUUAGCUGACAUUCACCUCUCCCAGACCCUGCGUAAAGCGGGAGCCUUGUGCACUGGGUAUGACCUUUUUUGACUACCAAUUAUCAACCCAAUGGGUUGAUUUGUCACAUUCUCAAGUAUCAAAUGAGGGAUGUUUCACGGCAUUAUAUUAGAUGAAACAAUAUGUAGUAUUGGAAAUGACACAAAACAAGUCUCAAUUACCAUCCCAAAACUUCGAAGCCUAAUCGAAUGAUACAAACUAUUUUACGAGUUGGAGCGGAACACGAAAUCUAACAAGACCACUAACAUAAACACCACAAAAUUUUCAACCAUAGUUUUUCAAGUGUUUCCUGACAACCUAUCAGUCUCCGCAUCCAUAGUUCCGCAAGCUUUGGAAACUACUAUUGCUUUGUAGUGUUACCGGAUGCUUGAGGUGUUUUGACAAUACUUAAUUGACCGCCUUCCUUGUUUGCAGCAGUGGCCGCCUUCAUCUCAUUGCAGUGGUUUAUGAACUUUGUCAUCUCCUAAAUCCAUCAGAUAAGAAAGUAAGAACCAAGAAGAAAGAAGAGAUGUAAAGCAAAAUGCUAGUUUUCAUAAAGGAGAUACCAAUCGAUAUCCAUAUAAAGAAAAAAUGGAAUUACGGCAUAAUAUGAAAGGAAUCGGGAGUAAAAGUUGCACACAAAAUGUUAGGGUUCCGCAUCCUAUAUAUUCAAAAACAGAUAAAUGCCGAUGGAAUCCAUGAGCACAUCCAACGCGUUACAAUGAGAUAAAUAUUCAGAUUAGUGAAUUUGAAUAUAUUGUUAGGGAGGUAUUGACUCAACAAUAUAUCUGGUUACUAGCACCUACUUCAACGGGUUUAUGUACUAACACGGAUGUAGCAAGGUGACUAGAACCCCCAACUUCCCACACUACGGUUCCCUCGUCUCUGUAAACCUCAUAUGACAUCAACAAAUUUCCGGUACUCGGUAAUUAUGACAAUAGAUGGUAAUGCACAAUUUACUAACUUAAGAAAAAAUGUUAUGCAUUGGAACAAAUGGCAAAAUAGCACCACGGUUCCUAGGAAAUAAAUAGACUGGCUACACUCAAUAUCAUUUAAGAUUUGGGGGAACAAUGUCAGCUUAUUAACAUUUGAUGUAGCAAGCAACAUACUACAGUUGAAAAAAUGGAACAACAGAACGCCUGUUGCUAUUUAAUACGCACGACCGGAAAUCCAUAGUAGAAGUUGUAGCAUACAGUUGUUUUUUCAAGUUAUUCCAUACACCGGUGAAACAUAAACUUCUCCCCUCCCCUCCCUUCCCCUCACACUUUUUCUUGUCUUUCGCUCUCUAUAAAGAAGUCAACACAAGAAGUUGAUGUUGCUUAAUCAUGACCGUUCAAAUAGGAGGGGACGGAAGGGGAGGGACAUUUAGAGGGGAUGGAAUCCUUCUCCCAAUAAAAGAGGUAAGAAAGGAAAUGAAUCAGAACAGAGUUUGGGCCCGUUUACAAUUCCUUGUAUGGAAAGAACUUCCACUAGAAGCGCUUUCUAUGAGCCCAAAGCACUAAUAAUUUUUCUACAAAACGCAACCAAAAGUGUUUUUGGCUGUACGAAAGCGCUUUCGGCCCUCUAGAAGCAAUCCCAAACAAAAUCCUACGGAGACAUCAGUACAAGAGGAUUUGAUUUUUCCUGAUAUAUGAACCAAAAGAAAGACAUAACCUGCUAUCCUCAGAGAAAUAACUGCAUUUGGAGCAAUUCCUUAAUUAAAUGUGCCCCAAAAAAAUACUCUCAGUUCAAUCUAUUUAACUCUCCAAUAUUACUAAUUCUAAUUAAUAAUAAAGAAUCAAUUAAUGAGACUGAAAUUAAUCAAACAACAAAUGAAAUAAAACUUAUAGAUGCCGUUUUAUCGCAAUAGCGGAAAGCAAUAAUGCAAGCUCGAUCCCCACCGGUCCACCUCCCCUUAACAUUUAAGAAUUUAACUCACUAACGCUAUCGUUUGAAAAAAUAAAAAAGAAAUGAAAUAACAAUUAGGUUCACUUGAAGCAGAACAAAAAUUGAUAAUUCUGGACUGAAAUUAAUCACCAAUCAAAUCAAAUAAUACAAAAUCAUGAGAGAGAGAGAGAGAAGGGAAAAAAAACAUACCCGAUCGGAAUCCAUCUCGCCGGUGACCUUCGAAGGCUUGAUUACUCGCUUGCCUUUGCGAAUUUGAGUCAUUUUUCCAUGGCGGUUGGGAGGAAUCGUUUUCCUCUUCUGCUGCCCUUUGAACAGCUUCCCUUUCUGCGUCAUCUCUCUCUUCCUAUUUCUCACUUCUCUCUCUUCAGCGCCUCUGCGGCUUUUUUUUUUCUUUUCUACUCGGACUCGACUAGGGUUUUGUUCAGGGCUUUUGGUUUGGGUAAUCCCUGUGCACCCAAUGAUAUGCUCAAGAAACCCAACAUUCCAAAUAAAUCUCAUAUUCCCAGAUUUACCCCUGUGAUUGAAUAAUCUAAAUUACAUUUUCCUUCCUCUAUAUUAAUGCUUUUUUCAAUUUUAUCCUCUUAAUUUUUGUUUUAUGAUAUAGCGAAAUAUUUUCACUAAGGGGUAGGAGAAUAAAUAGGUAUAGAACUCGUUGCCACAAUAUUCAAAUUUAAAACGUCUCAAGGUGAAGAGGAAUAAUAAAUUGUAAUACUAAAUGACUAUUUUGUCCUCCUAAUUAGUAGUUACCUAAUAGUUAAACAAUUAUUAAUCUAAUUUUUGGAUUGCAAAUUUUCAUGAGUGGUGAUAUUCCCACCCUGAUGUCUUAUUUCCUCACCCACCAUUUAAUGAAAAUGUUAAUAACAUAUUUAUCUUUUUAAAAGAAGACUCUUGAAUCCCUAUUUAAUUCAGUACUAAAAUUUUGAAAAAACAAAAAAUAAUUUAAAAUAAUAAUAAAUAAUGGUGGGUGGGGUGUGAUAUCUUUGGUGGAAAGAGGUUGGGAAAGAUUUGGGUUAGAAUCGAUGGAAAGGUUGGAGGAAGGAAUGAGAGUGUGCUAGACGAAGGCGAGAAACUUCAAUAGAGAAAAAAGAGAAUUGGGUGUAAGAUCUGCGGUUUUGACAAAAAGGGAGGAAGAAGAGUGGUCCCAAGACGGGGGUCUCUGCAGGACGGCGAUAGGUGUGAAGGAGAUGAUGAACGUCUAGGUCUUAUGUCUUGCAUUUUCUUUCAUUUUUUCUAUUUUUAUAUAUUUAUUUAUAAUAUUAUUUAAAGAUAUAUUAGAGUUAUUUAAAAAAAUAUAUAAUAUGGUUAUUUUGGGAAUAAUGAUGGGUGGGGAAAUAACAUUUUAUUUUUUUUAUUUUUUUAUGGUGGGUGGAAUUAUCAUGUGGGUGGAAAAAUAGGACAUUGGGAUGGGUCUAGUAACACUCAUUUUCAUUUCUAUUGAGAAAUGUAUCUUAAUAUUACCAUUCAAUAAUAUUCUUCUUAUUUUGUAAAAUGAAAGUUUUAGGUUCAAUUCCAUCCCAAACCACCCAUAUAAAUUCUGCACCUACUCCCUCCCCUUCCCCAUCACCCAAUCACCAUAAAUAGUUACGAGCACUUGGGAGUCAAAAAACAGUAUCAUGGUUCCUUUCGAGUUGGUCGUCGCACUGUGUAUAAAUGAAUGGGAACAGUGUGUGUUUAUUAUUAUUUUUAACUGCGCCUCGACUGAUUUUACAAACCACCAAUCUGCAUCAGAUGUUUGAAUUAAGUCAAUGUGAACCUGGAAGAACUUCUCAUUCUUCUAGUGUUUCUAUAGUUUUGAUUGCACUGUGUAUAUGAAUGGAUAGGUGACAGGAACAUAUAUUAAUCUUACUCAUUCAGGUGAUAAUUACUAUAUUUUUAACUUAACUUGUACCUCUGACUCUUAUAUUGCCAGAUUAUGAAUCUAGACCAUUGAUCUGGUUGAUUUUAAUGAUCUAGCAACGUUUGUCUGGUAUUACAAGUCCGGCAAGAGCGUUACUCUUUAUAUAUAUUCAGCAGAAAAUAAAGAAGCAAUCAAAUGAUCUCCCUAUUUCUGGCAAUGUCUUCGACUUUCUUUUAUGUCCAUUUUCCUUACGUUGGUUCAGUUUAUUUCCAAAUACACCGAUUUGAGCCGAAUGCAGGGAACAUAUAGUCUAUGAGGGAGACGCAGCACCUUCCUUUGGAGCAAUUCAACUAAUUAAGAGAAAUGAGUAUGCUUGUAGUGUUGGCUUCCGCUAUAUAUCUACGCCGAGAAAGUGCCCCUUUUGGAUUCUGCGACUAGGAAGCUCACUGACUUCACAACUCACUACUCAUUCAUAUUUGUUUACACAAGGUAACCUUAGAGUUUCUGUGAUCAAUUAUCGUAUUGGAUAAUAUAUCUAGAUUUUGAGUCUUUUGAGUACUAUGAGUGCAAGCAAGUUUUCGAGCGUUGUUGUAUCUAUGGGGACUACCGUCAUUUACAAUAUAUAGGUGCACACUUGGAACUGAAAACUGAAAUCAAAACACGGAUCAAAUUGAGUCGCACACCAGACAGUUCGAUUUUUACAAUUUUGCAACAGUUUUGGUUUGAAACCUAACUGCAAGCUACAAAAACAGUUUGGUUGAAACCUAAAUGCCUUAUUGUUUGGACUCAAAUUUACACUAUCGGCCCGUGUAGUCGAGGCCGUUAAAUGAAUAUCAUUUUUAAACCGUGGGAUGAUGAAGUGGUUGAGAUAAUUUUCAAUUAUUAUUAUUAAAAAAUAAUAUUAUGAUUUUAAUCAUGAUAUUAUCUCUUAGUAAUAUAUUGAAUUAUUUAAACCUGAUAUUUGUCUAAAUCCCAAUUGAUUUGAAUAAUGAUGGAAUACGGGGAUAUGCAUAAAGCACGGCAGCAGAUAAAUAUGUAUGCAGGAUGAGAUGAUUAUCAUGAAAAGCACAAAUUGUAUAUACCUUUUGGUUUUGGCCACGUAAAUGUGUUUUUUGGGAUUAUAUUCCAUCUUAUUUUGGGUGCAUGGAUACACCUGGAUCAAUGUGGUGGAAAUAGAGUUCUAGUUAGACUAGGUGACAGUCUGGCGGCAUGGGUUUUUUGGAAGGAAAACAUGGGCUUUUUAGAGCAUGGUGAUGGUAUUGUCAGAUUACAAGCAAAGUCAUAAGAAUUGAUGAUAUGCUUGCCGUGUGAAAGGGUUUCAAAGGGACACAUGUUGCUCAUCUGAUAAGAGUCUACGGGCAUAAAGAGACUAAGAAGAUUUAUGCCGAAAUAUAUUAGAAGAUAAUAUCAGUUGUUUUGGUAUUGUUUUGGAGUAUAUUCGGAAAAUGACUCUUUUUGAUUGGCGGUCAAGGAAACUUGGCUAUAAAUACAAACACAAUGGUAAGGGAAAAAGGGUCUCCAAUUUCAACACACAACUGUCAUGCGCAAACUCUCUCAACAACUUUGAGAUUUUUAUUUUCUCUUUUCGCUGACACAUCUUCCGUUGGCAUCAACAGCACUGUGAAAGCAACCGAUGAUAUCUUAAAUCGGCAUAGAUAGCUCUGUCGCCGUAGAAUCAGUCGAUCUCGCAGCAUCUUCCGUUUGCAUCAACAACAGUGCGGCGAGGAUGGUUGGUUACCUAUCCAAGUUUCGGUCAAGAAGGAUUUCCGAAUACUUAUUGAUUGAGGUCAUCUCAUUAGCCUUCUCGGCGAACUGAGGUGUUACAGUUUACUGAGCUCGGCGCAUUGCACACCGAGUUAUUUUAUGAUUGGAUACUCUCUAGUGGGAUUUAGAGUUCGGCAUUCAAACGGUCGAACCACGUUCACUAUUAAGACUUAUAUUCGCUUUGAGUAUUUAUGCCCUUACACUUUGGUGUCGAUUCGAAGUGAGUUUACUCUAACGAAUAACAUCACUGUGACCGAAUCCGACGACGGCGAUUUGUGAACUUCGUAAGAAUAGUAGCCUUGUCUUCAGGUUCGAUAACCCAAGAGGCCGAGACGUGUUCCUUCCUCGGUUGCAAUCGCAAGAUACAGAAGUCAGCCGCGCACCUAACGCAACAUCAACAAAUUUACUCCUCGACCGAGCUCAGCUGACGGGUUGGCACGCCCCGCAUUCACCGAAAGACGUAGUUAGCUUAUAGAUUACUCGGCCUGCGCGCCACGUAGGCUUGGUAGUUUUUAGGGUCAACACUUUGGCACGCCUAGUGGGACCCAGUGCUAAAACUACGAAGUUCACAUGAUCUAUCUCGAUUAGGCUUCAUGGGAUGAGUGUCAUCAUCUAUUAAAGAAGCAAAAACAACUCUUAGAAAGAUUAGGAAGAAUUUCUGAAAGGCAAGAGGUUGGGGGGGGAAUUUUCUCUCCGAUCACAACCAAUAUUCGGCCUAAGAAAAUUGUUAAUUUGGCCGAAGAACAAAGGCCACCUAUUUUUUCGGUCGAGAUUGAAAGUGUGGUAGGCCUAGAAGAAAAUGUUCAAGUUUUUGAGCCACAAAUUGACUCAAAAAAUGAUUCAUCAGAGGAGUGCUCCAAUGACGAACAUGGCCGAGAGCAAGGUUUAGCUGGAAAAAUCACGCCAAUCGACAUGAUUAUUGGCGAUAAAGCCGAUAUGGAGAAAUCUCAUUCAGCUUAGUUGCUAGAGUUAAAAGUUGAAAUUGGUGAAAUAAUUAUGCCCGGGGGGCAUAAUAAUUGUUCAAUACAUUCGGUGGCCAAAAAAUGAAAAAUAUUUCGUCAAGUUAAAAAUGUUUGAAGAAAAUUUUGUAUUCGGCUUGGAAUAAAACAUCGUUGGCCUCCUCCUUCUCAUGGAUCAGCCACUUCUAUUCCUGUAUGUUAGAUUUUCGUUUUCUUUUUAUAUAUUCUUAUCCAUCUGGCUGUUUGAGCCGAUGAUGCAUAAGAAAAUAAGGGGGCCAACAAGUCUAUUUCGGCAAUGGGAACAGAUGUGCAUGGCAGCCUUAUGCAAUCACAUUGGAAUCUCGGUAUAAUUGCGAAUUAGAAUCUCAGUCAGAUCGUCGACCUCGACCCAAUUUCAAUUCGUCGACCUCGGCCCAAUUUCAAUUCAUUGACCUCGGCCCAAUUUCAAUUUUUCUCGAUAUUGGUGGCAGGCCGAGCUCUAGGAACAAUUUCAAUUUCAUAUAUAUAGGCAGGACUAGCCCUCGCCAAGAAGGUCAUCUACACCUCUGCGGUCUUCUUCAUCUUUGUCAGCACCAUCGAAGAAAUCUUCUCGAGCGAGAAAGUCUUCUCGCAGCUAUAAGUUGUGUGGAGGUGGCGUUCUAUUCAUGGCGUGGUGAGCUUGCUAGGGUAUCAUUGAGGAUACCCACCAAGCUCGGCAUGUACCUUGAGGGAUUUGCGUUAAAUAUUUUUGGCAAGGCAGAUAAGCGGGAUCAUGCUGGUUGAGCAGAUUUGACUACUGUGAAAACAUUCUAUGCUGCAAGCAUUUUGGCGUGCAGUGUGCAGUCGGCCUCAGGCCAAUGCAUGUGAUUAUGCAUAAGAAUUCGGUCGAGGACCAUUAGGCCGAAGUCGAAGGUAGAAAAAUCAAGGAAAAUGGGUUGAAAAUUAAGAUCAAUAAAUACUUUUAACCCUUAAGUCAUGAUUCGGUCGCCAUUUGGUUUACCUUUACUCGAUCUUUCGAUGUAAAAGUGGGUGACUUUUCUCAUCUGGGCGAGAAAAGUGGAUUGAAACCACUUUCCCUGACAUGAUUCCACCCUUCAUUUAUUUUAUAAUAGUUGAAUGGUGGGCAGUGGUUUGGUGAAGCAGAAAAAUUUGAUGUGACUCAAAUAUGGUGCAGUCGUGACCCAUAUAUAUAUGUAUAAAGGCAGGCCGACUGUCAUAGACUUUCCUCGGCCACUUUACAAAACUGCAUAUAUAAGCCUUGGCCAAAACUAUAUAUAUAUAAAGCUUGGAUGUGAAGUUUUUGAGUUUUUCGAGGAACUAAGCGGUCGAGGGAUUAUAUGGUAAAAUGUGGAUGCGACUACGAAAAAGUGCCAGUCAACAGAGUAUUAUCUCAGCGCCAUGAUGUUCACUGUUGCUGCAUUCUUUCUGCUUGCCUUCGUUCCGAGCUUCUUGACCUCGACUUAGUGUGUGUGUGUGUGUGUGUAUAUAUCUAGGCAGGACGAGCUGCCAAGAAAAAUUCUUCUCGACCUUCUGGCAAAAUUGCCGAGCCUAGUAUGGAGUUGUGGCAGUCAAGGGAGGCCGCAAUGUUGGUAGAACAUACAUGUUAUUGCCGAGGAACAAAGUUUUUUUUUCGGCAAUACGACGGGAUUUUGUUGGUUACGAACAAUUAAUUUCCUUAACCUUUUGGCUUACGAGCCGAAGUUCAAGGAAAUUGGGGGGCAAUGUUUGGACUCAAAUUUACACUAUCAGCUCGUGUAGUCGAGGCCGUUAGAUGAGUACCAUUUUUAAACCGUGGGAUGAUGAAGUGGUUGAGAUAAUUUUCAAUUAUUAUUAUUAAGAAAUAAUAUUGUGAUUUUAAUCAUGAUAUUAUCUCUUAGUAUUAUAUUGAAUUAUUUAAACCUGAUAUUUGUCUAAAUCCCAAUUGAUUUGAAUAAUGAUGGAAUACGGGGAUAUGCAUAAAGCACGGCAGCAGAUAAAUAUGUAUGCAGGAUGAGAUGAUUAUCAUGAAAAGCACAAAUGGUAUAUACCUUUUGGUUUUGGCCACGUAAAUAUGUUUUUUGGGAUUAUAUUCCAUCUUAUUUUGGGUGCAUGGAUACACCUGGAUCAAUGUGGUGGAAAUAGAGUUCUAGUUAGACUAGGUGACAGUCUAGCGGCAUGGGUUUUUUGGAAGGAAAACAUGGGCUUUUUAGAGCAUGGUGAUGGUAUUGUCAGAUUAAAAGCAAAGUCAUAAGAAUUGAUGAUAUGCUUGUCGUGUGAAAGGGUUUCAAAGGGACACAUGUUGCUCAUCUGAUAAGAGUCUACGGGCAUAAAGAGACUAAGAAGAUUUCUGCCGAAAUAUAUUAGAAGAUAAUAUCAGUUGUUUUGGUAUUGUUUUGGAGUAUUCGAAAAAUGACUCUUUUGGAUUGGUGGUCAACGAAACUUGGCUAUAAAUACAGACGCAAUGGUAAGGGAAAAGGGGUCUCCAAUUUCAACACACAAUUGUCCUGCGCAAACUCUCUCAACAACUUUGAGAUUUUUAUUUUCUCUUUUCGCUGACACAUUUUCCGUUGGCAUUAACAGCACUGUGAAAGCAACCGGUGAUAUCUUAAGUCGGCAUAGAUAGCUCUGUCGUCGUAGAAUCAGCCGAUCUCGCAGCAUCUUCCGUUGGCAUCAACAACGCUGCGGUGAGGACGGUUGGUUACCUAUCUAAGUUUCGGUCGAGAAGGAUUUCCGAAUCCUUAUUGAUUGAGAUCAUCUCAUUAGCCUUCUCGUCGAAGUGAGGUGUUACAGUUUACUGAGCUCGGCGCAUUGCACGUUGAGUUAUUUUAUGAUUGGAUACUCUCAAGUGGGAUUUAGACUUCGGCAUUCAAACGGCCGAACCACGUUCACUAUUAAGACUUAUAUUCGCUUUGAGUAUUUGUGCCCUUACAUUUUGGUGUUGAUUCGGCGUGAGUUUACUCUGACAAAUAACAUCACUGUGACCGAAUCUGACGACGACGAUUCGUGAACUUCGUAAGAAUAGUAGCCUUGUCUUCAGGUUCGAGAACCCAAGAGGCCGAAACGUGUUCCUUCCUCGGUCGCAAUCUCAAGACGCAGAAGUCAGCCACGCACCCAACGUAACAUCAACAAAUUUACUCCUCGGCCGAGCUCGGCCGACGAGUUGGCACGCCCCGCAUUCACCGAAAGACGUAGUUAGCUUAUAGAUUACUCGACCUGCGUGCCAUGUAGGCUUGGUAGUUUUUAGGGUCAACACUUAUCCAGCCUGAUCACAAUCUCAAAACCUUCUAAAUCUUCAAAGAGUAAGUGUCCAAGAGGAAAGGGGUCAGAAAAUGGUUGAACGAUUCAAAGUGUCAAUGUAGUGUCUUGAAACACCAAUUUUUUUUUGUUGAAUUGCAUAAAACCAUAACCAAAGUAGUGCUCAGUCGUUAAAUAACUGGUUAGUUUGGGUUUACCCGUUACCACCUGUUAAUUGAGUGUAUUUCUAUGAUUUCAAUAAAGACAAAACCUAAUGUGUCACUCCUCACUGAGUUCCCCUUCGACUGAGACAAAGUCACAAGGUCAUCCCUCGACUGCCUCGUCUACACCCAUUUUUCUUGUUUACGGGACUUUGAUUUCAUGGUAAGUCCUCUCUCUCCGUAGUAUUGUUUGGGAUUAUCUCUUUAUGUAUCUCUCUUCCCUCAAUCUUUAUGGUCAUAUGUUGUUUUAAAAAAUUGGGAAGUUUGAAUUUCUUUCUGGGGUUAUAUGGUUUUGCUUCCGAUUGAAUAUGCUUUUGUUAAUCAUCCUCGAAAACAAGACAUGGGUUGUUCGUAUGUUUUUUCUCCUCCCUUUGGUAGGUCGGUGCUUUAUUUUUCAUAUUCUUAAGUUCAAUUUUUAAAUUCUGUAGUAAUCGAUUUUGUUUCUCUUUUUUGAAGUGUUAACUUGAAGUUAAUUUCAAAGAUUAAGACAGCGUAUAGCUUGAAGAUGAUGAUGCUUCUACUUAUUUAGAUUAUUGGGUUUUGUCCAUUUUUGCAUAGCUUGCGGUGGUAUAAAAAUUAAUGUGAUGGUAAAAUCGUUUAUUGGAAUAUGAUUUUUGCUGGUUAUGCGCAAAAUUCAUUUUCAACAGAAUCAUUGAUUAUACAAACUUGUAAUCUUGUACAAAGUUUCUUACCUUUAUUUAAAGGGAGUUUUAACGAAAAGCCCACGGUACUGUUCACUUUAACGAAAAACCACAUUUUUACACUAAAAAGUCAAACCUGGUACCAUUCACUUUACCCUUUAUUUUGUCUUUAUCAUUAAUACUCAAAGUUUUCAAACAUUUUCAUUAGUUUUCCUUUAUUUAAACUCUCUCUUUUAGUGAUACUUAUAUAUUUUUAGAGGCGGCUCUGAAUAAAGAAACCCUAGCCGCUCUCUCCCUUUUCUCUUUCGCAUAGAGUAAGUCACAAACUAGUUCUUGUUGGAAAAUUAGUUAUUAUUUUAUUAUUGUUUAUGGUUUUCUUGUGGGCUAAGGAUAUUAGAGUUUUUUGCUCGUCAAGGAUUAAGGUUUUGCUUUAGUUUUCACUAUAUAUAGUAGUGAUUGUAUUAGUUUAUAUUAGUUUAUUUCAAUUAAGUUAGUCACAAUGUAAUCUUUAGGAUUUUGUAGUCGUUUCGGCAUUCUUGUCUAUUAAUAAUAUUCAUAUUAUUUUAUAGUCUUGUUUGUUUCGCACUCUGCUAUUCAACUUGGUAUCAGAGCAGAUUCGAUCAUUCAGGGUUGAUAUGUUCUUGGUUGUAUCAAUUUGUUUUUCAGUCGUCGGAUAUUAGUUCGGUUGUAGUUUGUUUUGUCUUUGUACCUAGAUUAGGGUUUUGUCGUUGAAAAAAAAAACACAAAAAUUGAACUUGUUGUUGCUUGUUGGAAUUGGUUGUUCGCUUGAAUUGCUCGCUUGAAUCACUUGCCUUGUCUUGUCCGCCUAACGGAGUUUACCUUGUCGUGUCUGUGCCUAACGGAGCUUACAUUUACAUCUGCAUCUGCUUGUUGGCAACUCAUGUCGUGUACCUCCAUGAGUUUGAUGAGGGUGUUGGAAAAUUAGUUAUUAUUUUAUUAUUGUUUAUGGUUUUCUUGUGGGCUAAGGAUAUUAAAGUUUCUUGCCCGUCAAAGGAUUAGGGUUUUGCUUUAGUUUUCAUUAUAUAUAGUAGUGAUUGUAUUAGUUUAUUUCAAUUAAGUUAGUCACACAAUGUAGCCUUUAGGGUUUUGUAGUUGUUCCAUCAUUCUUAUCUAUUAAUAAUAUUCUUAUUAUUUUAUAAUCUUGUUUGUUCCACACUCUGAUAUUCAACUUGGUAUCAGAACAAAUUCGAUCCUUCAGGGUUGAUAUGUUCUUGGUGGUAUCAAUUUGUUUUUCAUUCACCGGAUAUCAGUUCAGUUGUAGUUUGUUUUGUCUUUGUACCUAGAUUCGGGUUUUGUCAUUGAAAAAAAAAACACAAACAUUGAACUCGUUGUUGCUUGUUGGAAUUGAUUGUUCGCUUGAAUUGCUCGCUUGAUUGAUCGCUUGAAUCGCUCCCUUGAAUCGCUUGCCUUAUCUUGUCCGCCUAACGGAGCUUGCUUUAUCGUAUCUGCCUAACGGAGCUUGCAUAUGCAUCUGCCUGUUGGCAAACUCAUGUCGUGCAUCGCCAUGAGUUUGAUGGGGGUGUUGGAAAAUUAGUUAUUUCUAUUAAGGAUAUUUGAGUUUCAUGCCCGUCAAGGAUUUAGGGUUUUGCUUUAGUUUUAACUAUAUAUAGUAGUGAUUGUAUUAGUUUACUUCAAUUAAAUUAGUCACAAUGUAGCCUUUAGGGUUUUGUAAUCAUUCCGGCAUUCUUGUCUAUUAAUAAUAUUCUUAUUAUUUUAUAGUCUUAUUUAUUCUGCACUCUGAUAUUUAACUGUUCUCAACACUGCCAACUCCUUCCUUGGGUUGGGGUCGGCCGACAACCCCUUUCCCAUUUCCCUUAUUCUUCUUUUCUUUUCUUUUAUUUGUGCGUGUGUACUUUGUAGUUUUCCUGGCAUUCUUUCCCGUUUUCUAGAGUUCUUUGUUGUAUUUCGGUGUUUAUUACUGUCUUUUAUGUCUUGACAAGCCCAACCCCCAGCCCACAACCCUUGCCCUGCAAUCGAAAACAUUCAUCAUCUUCCAUCUUGUUCAUUUCCUCCUUCUUCCCACUUGCCAUCCCUCUCACAACCUCUUCCGCAUAUCUCAGCCUUUACUUCACGUCUUUGUACCUGACUGGCAUGCCGGAAAUCCAGGGCCAAGCGUGCUGCAGCUUUGCCCAAAGCGCGAAUGUUUUACAUGCCGCCUUAGGGGUGGUUUGAGAGUGAGGUGCUUAAAAAAAAAGCACCCAUGAAAAAAAGCUGUGAGGGUUUUAGGUGUUUGGUAAACUGAAAAAAAAAGGCUUAUUUUGGAAGCUGCUGUAAUAAUAAGCUGAAAUCAAAGGAAAAAGCUGAAGCUGCUAUUUGCAGCUUUAGAAAACUAACUUUUUUUUCAAAGCACACGGAGCUACAUUGCUCAUUUAAUGAAAAGACCCACUAUCAGACUGCUUUUUUUUUCCAAAAGCACUUUUACAAAAAAGUUUACCAAAUACUCUGUUGAUUUAUUUCACAGUCGCUUAUUCUCACAGUACAACUGCUUAUUCUUACAACAACUUUUUUUCAAAGCACAACAAUACCAAACUAGCCCUUAGCCCCAUCCCCAUCCCUUUUGUUUGGGUGUUGGUUCUACUUGCAGGGGCUUGUUAUGGUGGUUUAGAUAUGUUGGCUCUUUUCCAGUAUAUGGUAGUUUUUGUGGCGAAUUUGGGUUGGGGGUUUUUCCUUGUUGUUGGUUGUUUUGUGGUGCGACUACUUCGUCGAAUUCAACGCGAAGUUUGUUUUCUUUAUACGAUUACCUUUGUGGUCGCUGGCGAGGCAAUGGCAUCGGCGGCGGUCGGCCUUUGCUGGUUGCGGCUCUUGGUUUUUAUUAUGUCUAUUUUUUUGUUGAAUGUGCUUUGGCUAUCCCCACUUUAUUGGGCUAGUUUGUUUUAUUGUAUAGCCUUUCUCAUUUAAUGAAUUUACUUGUCUGUUGUCCAAAAAGAUAUUUUCGCGUCACACUUUCGAUCAAUUUACCAUAAAAAAUCCUGGCGCAAGCUUGGUAAGAUUUCUUCCUAGUUGAUAAGCUUAAUUCACCAUUCGUACUUCGUACUCCAUAUGGCAGCAAUACUUCCAAAUUCUUAACAUAAAUAAACAACACUUACGAAAAUGAGAGGAAGAAAAUCUGCAAAUACAGCCUUGUCUAAAAAAAAAACAUGAAAUGCUGGCAUUUCAGAAGCUUAUCCAGGGAAGUUUAUGGAUUCAAUAUAGGGUUAGGAUCAGCCACCGAUUUUCACCUUAUAAAUUAUUUUUAAUGAUGCAAACAGUUUAAAAUGAGAAUAAAACUGAUCACACAAUAUACGAUGAACGGACAUGAUUUGAGGAUUCCUGGGAUCCUCACAAAUAGGAUCCGGAACGGAUCCUCAUUCUAUAUUUUAGUAUAUAGCAGCCUCUUCAAUGCACAGAUAUCCACAAGAGUCGACAAGGCUUUGUGUUAUGUAAAUGAUCAUUUCCGGAUUCCUUCCUCCAAAUUCACAUAAUCAAUUCGGGAUGUGAUAUCCACACACCUCUUUUUACUUCUCUCACACCUUUUUGGUUUUCGACUGUCAGAUCGGAUGAAUUGAAGAAGAUCAAUAGAUAUAAAUUAACAAAGGGUGUGUGAGAAGUAAAAAGAGGUGUGUGGAUAGCACACCCCAUCAAUUAAUCCGGACAUUUGAAAUUUAAUCCAACGGCUAAAGUUAGUAGUCAUUUGAUCAAAUUUCAAAGAUCUGGAUUAGUUGAUUUUGUGGAUUUAGAAAAAGGGAUCCGGAAAAGAUCAAUUUCAUACUCAAAAGCCAGCCGUCUCCUACAGACAAGGUACACGUAAUUCCCUUCCCAUGCAGUUAACGCUACGUGUCAAUAUUGGUCAAUCCUCUAUACAAAUACACAGAUUUCUCUCCUCCAAUUCAGAAAAUAGAUAACACCGCUAAACCUAAACCCCAAACACCGGCCGGUAGCAAUAAAGCAAAAAACAAAACAAAAAAGAAAAAAGAAAAGAAGGAAAUAUUAAGAGAAAAUGUCACAGAUGGAGAGGAAGCUGGAAAAACCCAUUGAGAUAAAGAAUGAUCAGGAAAGCAAAACCGAGCAUGAGGAACAACAGAAACACAGCAAGGAAAAAGAUGAGCAGAAGGAGGAAGACGAUUCACUUCCUCUAAUGGCGUUGAACCACGUAUCGAGGUUGUGCAGAAAUGUGGAGGAGUCGGUGGAUUUCUAUACCAAAGUGUUAGGGUUUGUUAAGAUUGAGAGGCCACCAGCUUUUGAUUUUGAUGGGGCUUGGUUGUUUAAUUAUGGAGUUGGGGUUCACUUGGUGCAGUCUGAGGAUGAGGAGAGGCUUCCACCUAAUCAGGAUCACUUGGAUCCCAUGGACAACCAUAUCUCUUUCCAGGUUCCAAAAUAAUUUAAUUCAAGUUAUUCAGUUUUUCUUAUUGGAAAUUAAUUAAUUUCUACAUGUACAGGUCGAUUUUUUAAUUUUUUAAACACAAUCUCUUGGAUGAGGGAAAUAAAUUUGAAAUUUUAGUAAAAGUCAGAAUUUAUAAAUUGAUAUGCAUCAAUUCUAUUGUUUGGAUUUACAAACAUAGAAAUUUAGAAUUUCCGUGUAGAAAAAAAAACUUGGAAUUUGGAACCUCCAAUUCCCAAGUUCAAAUUUCAUGUAAAUAUGGGUCAUUUUCCAAUUUCUAUGAUUGAGAGUUUAAAAAUAACAAAUUUCGUAUUUAAUUCCAUUGUUCUUUUAGGUUAACCAAACAAGAAAAUUUACAAAUUCUAGAAAAUAAAAUCUUGUCAUUUCAAUUUCUGUUAUUUUGAAAUUCCUUAAUAAUCUUAAAUUUCAUCAUCCAAAUAUAGUGUAAUUUACUCUAAGCCUUGGGAGUGUGGUCAAACUAUACAAUCGGCCAGUCAUAGUAAUUUGGUUUGAACUUUUCAUUUACAUAAGUUGAAUCUAAGAGAUUCCAUUUGUGAGUGAAAAUACCACCAUAUCCUUGUACUAAUUGAUAUACUUGACGAUUUGUUGAGCUUUUAAUUUGAGAAGACAAAUUUAGAUGAAUUUAGUUUGGACUUUAGUCAAUUAGUUUGAAUUACUUGCAGUGUGAAGACAUGGAAGCAAUGGAGCGGAAGUUGAAGAAGCUGGAUAUAAAGUACAUAAAAAGAGCAGUCGAGGAUGACGAAAACGGAACCACAAUCGACCAACUCUUCUUCAACGAUCCAGACGGAUUCAUGGUUGAGAUGUGCAACUGUGAGAAUCUCAAGCUUGUUCCUGCAGGUUCCUUGGGCAGAAUAAAGCUUCCAGUUGAUAGGCAUACUCCCCCUGUUGAACUCAACCAAAACGACAAUGGCAAAAGACAACAACAAUGAUACUAAAUAAUCAAGUUGUUGAGGCUUCUUUUAAAUUAUCAACAUAUGCAUGCUGAUGUUAAGGGUAGCUUGGUCAGUUGGCAAUUUUCAUAGAGAUCUUUUUUUUUCUUUUGGUAAUUAUGAGCUCGUUUGGAUGUGUUUUUAAAAGUAGUUCUCAACAAACCCUAUAUUUUUUUUAUAUGUGUAUUUUUAUUCAUUUGUUUUGACAAUUCUCUUUUUGGUUUUUUGUUUUUUUCAGUAGAACACAAUAGCUAUCUAAUGUAAUGUAUUAUACAAAUUUCGAAAAAUUCAACGGCAUAGACUAUGAAGGAUGAUAUAUUAUAAGAUAUGUUUCUUGUCAUCAAAUUUCAUUCAUGAGAUGAUGCUAAACCUAAAAGUGGUUUCGUCUUCUUAUCUUGUAAAAAGAGGUAUGGCAAUAUAAUGUAGAGUUAAAAAUACACCAUUGAAUUUGGAUUUGAUACUUUUUAAGCUGUGAAUCUAUUUGAUCAUGGUAAUUCUAACUGGUCUUUUUCGAACUCAAAAGAAGUGAAUAGUCAAGAUGCGUCACCAGUUAUCCUCCUUUUUGGAGAAAAAAAACACGAUUAAGCAAAAUAGUGUAUACAUACACUAUUUAAUUUUCGUGUACUCAUCAGUUGGUAAAAAGAGUAGCAAUGAUUUCUAAAUUUUCUACUGUCUAAGUAUAUUCUUUUUCACUUAUGAGACGUUUUAUGUUCGAGUUUGUGUAUAUAUCCUUGUAAGCUAGGGAUAUCCAACUACAAAUGACUUGAAAUUAUUGAGGUCAUUUCACUCAAACAAAAACAGCAUCGAUAGUUUUGGGCCGGCUAUUAUUCAUCACCCGCAAAAUAUAGGCCCAAAACUUUGUCCAAACAGGUUCUACUUAUGGCCCAAAAUCACCCUUGGUCCCCAAAAAGAGAACAAAAUCGGAGAAUGCCUAGCAUUACACUUGUCAUCAUCUAAGUGGAAGUGCUUACAAAAAACAGUGUAAUUCCUCCAAAAUCAUCCUCUACAUCCACACAUUCCCCUCACCUCCUAAAUCAUUCCCCUACAAAACGCAUCAGAUCACGCCGUACAACCAUCCACAGCGCAAACACCGAAACACCCACAGUGCACCCGACCGCAGAGGAUCAAGUAUCCCAAACCCGCUACAACAGCUCUCGCACACCAUCUCGUAACUCCAACGAUUGCCAAAUAUCAAAGACGGAGAGAGGAGAGAGAGGGAGGCCUCGGAAGCCAAAGUGCACACACAGAGAUCACAUUCAAAACCAAACCCUAAAAAUUCGAGAAAUUCGCAGACGGAGAUACAAAAUUGCCCCAAUUCUUCUCUCAGAUCCGUUCCCCCAAUUCUUCCGAUUCCAAUAAAGAUUGAGUUGGGGUUGGGGUUCGCUCAGUUUUCGAGCCAUGGCGUGCGUAAAGGGGGUGAAUCGAUCGGCCUGCGUGGCGUUUGCUCCGGACGCGCCGUACAUGGCGGCAGGGACGAUGGCCGGAGCAGUGGAUCUGUCCUUCAGCUCCUCCGCCAACAUUGAGAUCUUCAAGCUUGAUUUACAGUCAGAAGAUCGUGAUCUCCCGGUAGUGGGCGAGUCGACGAGCUCUGAGAGAUUCAACAGGUUGUCGUGGGCCAAACCCACUGGAUCGGGGUCUCAAGAAUUCGGGCUUGGGCUCAUUGCUGGUGGACUCGUUGAUGGCACUAUUGAUAUCUGGAACCCACAGACUCUGAUCCGGUAAUUGGAUUUGAAUUUGCCAUUUGCUUUUCGUUUCGAUUGGGAUUGAAUUGAAUCGAAAUGAAUUGAGUUUUGCUUGUAAAGUUCGGAUUAUCUGUGUGGAUUUGGAAUGUGGGUUUUCGUUUGGGUGUUGGAACAAUGUGGGAAAGUGGAAAGUUUUGCUAAUUCUGUAGUUUCUUGGUGCUUGACUUUGAUCUGAGUGAGUGGUCUUUUUGGGGUGAAGGGAAAUGGGGUUAAAGUUAGCUGAUAUUGCGGUUAUUGUUGUAGUGUGAGUGAUUAGAUCUUAUCUUAAGCUGUGAUUAUAUGCCCAGUUCCCUUUUUAUUUUAUUUUCAUUUUUUGGGAGUGAAAUGAUAUGUUGGAAUUUUCUUGGUUGCUGGAAGUCUGAAUAUGUAGAUAAUGUGAAAUGGGAUUUUCAUGAAUUCUAUCGUGAAGAUGAAAUCUUGGGCGUAUUCUCUGACAGAACGCCUUUGAACAUUUUCAGUUCAUUAUGUUAUUUUGUGGUUUAGGUUCUUUGGUAAUGUGUAUGUUUACUUGAAAAUUUUGCAUUUGGCUUAUAUUUUCAGUGUAUUUGUUAGUAGUGCAAUAAUCUGAGCCUCCUGCUAAUUUUAGUUAGAUUUGAUCUUUCCCUUACAAAAUUAUGCGUGGAACUACAUGCCUUCUGGUUUUGUGGAAUUAUUUUUGUAUUUCAGAAAGCAUUUUUUGGUGUGCUUGGGAAAGGCCUUAUUUUUUAUUCUUUCAUAUCCUUAGUCCCGAGGCAGGUGUAAGUGCUUCAGUUGGACAUCUCACAAGACAUAAAGGCCCUGUAAGUAUUCUUCAUUUUCAGAUGCAUGUCUUUUUGGUGAUUCUUACAAUGCUAGGACAUAUGAUCACUACGUAGGGUCUUUUUUUUUUUCAAACUCUAAACCUUGAUUCUUGUUAUUUUAUUCCAGGUUCGUGGUCUUGAAUUUAAUGCAAUUGCACCCAAUUUGCUUGCAUCUGGGGCUGAUGAUGGUGAAAUUUGCAUAUGGGACAUGACCAAUCCUGCAGAACCAUCUCACUUUCCACCUCUCAAGGUUUGUGCUAAUUAGUUGUCAGUUUAUCUGAAGUAUUGCAAACUCUUUCUCUGUAGUUGGUAUUAUAUUCCUUAUCCUCAAUUUUUGGUGUGGUUCUAUUUGGCCACACAGAUUUUUAGUUAUUCUGGCCUUAGAGCCUUUGAUUUGGUUGUCAUACUUCACCUUACAGUCUACCUGAAAUGCACUUGUAGAGUACAAUAGUUAGACAUCAUUAAAGAUGUUUAUAGUUUUGUUACCCAAAGGUAGCAAAAGAAAUAAGACUACUAGUUUUUACAGUAAUCAAUUGUAGAUGUAGUAAUCAAUAUACAAUCAAUAUACAAUCAUAAUAAACAUAAAGAGGUGGACAAUUGGAAAGGAUGAGAGGUCCCUUUCUUCAAAUUAUUCUCAUCACCUGUGGACGCCAAUGUUGAUUUUGACCGUAUUCCUUAUUUUAUGAGAGAAAGUCUAUAAUUAGAUCGCUUUCUGUCUCCGUCUUUGCAUGAAAUGAUUUUUCUCUCUUGAUUUUGUUAUAGUUAUGAAUAUAUUAAAAGCAAUCUGGACAUCAUCUGAUCCAAAGUGUGAUAUCUUUAUGCAGGGUAGUGGUUCUGCCGCCCAGGGUGAGGUUUCAUUUUUAUCUUGGAAUAGCAAGGUCCAACAUAUAUUAGCAUCCACUUCAUUAAAUGGGACAACUGGUGAGAAAUAUACUUUUCUCUUUAGGUACUUCUUGUCUAGUAGUUUUAUUUAGCGUGAGAAUUUAAUAUUUUGAAUUUUUCAGUGAUAUGGGACCUGAAAAAGCAAAAGCCAGUGAUAAGGUGAUUUGAUUAUAUUCUACUGUGAAUCUAUUAUAUUAAAAUCUCAACGAUUAUUGGGAUUGGUCAUUUCCAUUACCUAACUUGACAUUGGUUGACCGGCAGUUUUACAGAUUCAGUUAGAAGACGGUGCUCCGUUUUGCAGUGGAAUCCUGAUAUUGCCACUCAGCUAGUUGUUGCUUCAGAUGAAGAUGGUUCACCGUCUCUGAGGGUAAUGGUAUUGAAGUAAUAUUCUAUUUGUUUAGUGGUCAAACAUUUUAACAUUUAUGUUCAUGCAGCUGUGGGAUAUGCGUAAUAUAAUGUCACCAGUUAAAGAGUUUGUCGGGCACACAAAAGGUAACAACAACAACAACAACAAAGCCUUUUCCCACUAAGUGGGAUCGGCUGUAUGAAUCCUAGAAUGCCUGUUAACGAGUCUUUGUUUCCUUUCUUUUUGUUUGGGAGCAGUUUUUGCUUUGGGUUUCAUAAAUCUAUUUUUACUCUAGUGCUAAUUUCCAUUAUAAUGGAGUGGGGUAGCAGAACUAUGGGGUAGAGUAAGAUACUAGGCAUCCCUCUGGGCAUCAGUUUCGAAUGAGUUCAGGGAUUAUUCUCUUUCUCAUAUAGUGUGGGAUGUGUUAGCAGCUGUGAAAUGAUUUUGGUUGAGGUUCUGUUACUUGUAAAUAGAUCUACUUGAGAGCUCUUAGCUAGUUUUGCUAGAUGGUGGAUUUCUUAUCCACUAUUUUGUAAUUCGUGUUAUUGUUUUAAUAAAUUGUUAUCGUUUCUUCUCCAAAAAAAAAAAAAAAAUUACUGGGUAUAGGAACAGGUCAGAGAAGAGCUGUUCAAAUAUCCUUCUCUACAACAUGAUAUGCUAUGAGAUUUUUGUAUAGUCCUUCCCAAUGUGGUUUGAAAUCAAAUUGCAUUCAAAUAUGAAGUGGAUAAUAAGUCUUAUGAACCUGGAAGGAUAUAUGAAAUUAAGGGCUUGCCACGUAUUGUUCAUUUAAUUAGAGCCUCAAACUGCUAGUCUACUUGGGUUGUCUUUUACUUUAGUAAACAAGAUCCAUUCACGGUCACUAAUUGUGAAAGUGGGGGUGCGAGAGAGCGCCAAGAUUUUCAAUGGCCACUCGGAUAUCAUGCUUUAUGUGCGUGAUUGUACUUGAUUAGUGGCUUUUUUAGGUUAAGGCUUUGAGGCUUUCUUAAAUAGUACACAAGUUUCCCCAUUAUGUUUCUAUUUCUGCUUUUAGGAAUUGUUGUGUCAACUCGUGAUCCAUGUGUUUGAACUUGCAUUCAAUUAUUUUUGGAACUUGAAAGUGCUAUUACUGAUAUUAUUUUGAUCAGAAGUUAUUUGGAUAUGCUUACGAUUCUGUUACACACACAUCUUAUCCCAGGUGUAAUUGCAAUGUCUUGGUGUCCGAAUGACAGCUCUUAUCUGCUUACAUGUGCCAAGGAUAAUAGAACUAUUUGCUGGGACACAGUUUCUGCAGAGGUAUGGUUUUUACCUGCUCUUCAAGGAGGCCAAUAUUUUUGUUCUGCACCUUUCCUACACUUUAAAUCUCUUCCGUACUUUUGGUUUCCGUGAGGUGCACUAUCCUCUUCUGUAUUUUUGGUUUCAGUUGAAGUGCACUAUCGUUUGUCUGACUGUAGGGUUGUUUUUUCUUAUAUAUUGGUUCAGAUUGUAUGUGAAUUGCCGGCAGGCACCAAUUGGAAUUUUGAUGUGCAUUGGUAUCCAAAAGUACCUGGAGUGAUUGCGGCAUCUUCAUUUGAUGGAAAAAUUGGAAUUUAUAAUAUUGAGGUAUAGUGAGGUUCUUAUCAUAUUGGAAUUUACUGUUAUUUUAUGAACUGCAUAAAUAUAUGUGCGCGCGCUUGUGUCUAUGUUACUUCAUGAACUUACCAUGUUUUAAAUCUCUUCUAUUCUUUUAUUUUUAUUUUUCUCACAGGGUUGCAGCAGAUAUGGAGUUGGGGAAAGUGCUUUUGGUGCAGGUAAUGCACAAUUAAUUAGCCAUUGCAUGGUAACUUAUUUAAAAAAAAAUUAAGGGCCCUUUUGGUGUCUUAUUUAAAAAACUUGAAAAACUAUGAUCCUUCUUUAAAAACCCAAGUUUUCAAAUACUAGAUUUUGUUAAUUAAAAUGGUCGUUUGGUAUGGAACUUGAAACCUUUUGUUUGUAAAUCUUUAGCUUAAAAAACCUAUUUUAAAUGUUAAAUAUUGAGGAAAAAUGCCAAAAUAGAGCUAAUUCCUUGAUAUAUUAGAUGAUUAUUUCUCAUUACAAGAUGAACAUAUAUAUAGGGAAAGAAAGAAGACAUAAGACCUAACUUGCCUAACUUGCCUAACUUACCUAACUUGCCUAAUUUACAUAAAGAAAGUUGACUAGCCUAAUUCCACUAGCCAUUCAAUACUCAUAGUUGCUUUUAGUUGAUACUCCCCCUCAAGUUGGUGCGUAAAUAUCUCGAAUGCCCAACUUGCUGGGUGAAAGAUGGAAAAUCCUACUUGACACUGCCUUUGUUAAAAUAUCUGCUAGCUGGUCAUCACUCUUCACAUAAGGCAAGUUAAUGGUACCAUCAACCAACCUUUAUUAAGUGCCUAUCCACUUCAACAUGUUUAGUACGAUCAUGUUGAACUGGAUUAUGAGCAAUGCUAAUGGCAGCUUUGUUAUCACAAUAAAGUUUUGAUGGCUUUGCAGAAUUAAAACCUAAUUCUCUCAACAAAGUCCUGAGCCAUAACAAUUCUUGCACACCAUGUGCCAUACCUCUAAAUUCAGCUUCGGCACUGGAUCUAGCCACUACAUGUUGCUUCUUACUGCGCCAAGUAACUAGAUUUCCUCCAACAAAUGUAAAGUAUCCAGAAGUCGAUCUGCGAUCAGUUACUGACCCAGCCCAAUCUGCAUCAGUGUACCCUUCAACUUCUUGAUGUCCAUGAUUGGAAAACAUCAAGCCUUUUCCAGGGGCAGACUUCAAAUACCUGAGAAUGCGUUGUACAUCAUCCAUGUGGGCUUCACUUGGCCUGUGCAUAAAUUGACUCACUACACUUACAGCAUAGGCUAUGUCAGGUCGUGUAUGAGACAAAUAAAUCAACCUCCCAACUAAUCUUUGGUACCUUUCCUUGUUAGCCGGAACUUGAUCAUGAUAGUCUCCCAAUCUAUGGUUUUGCUCAAUUGGUGUGUCUGCAGGUUUACAAGCUAACAUCCCAGUCUCAGUUAAUAAGUCUAUAACAUAUUUCUUUUGAGAAAGAAAAAUGCCAUGCUUUGAUCUUGCAACUUCAAUACCCAAGAAAUAUUUCAGAGUACCCAAGUCCUUCAUUUCAAAUUCCUUGGCUAGAUACUUUUGAAGUUUUUGAAUUUCCUCGACAUCAUUACCUGUAACCACCAUAUCAUCCACAUAAACAAUUAAGGCAGUAAGUUUACCUCUAUCAUGCUUAAGAAAUAGGGUAUGGUCAGCUUGAGUUUGCUUGAACCCAUAACUUCUUAUUGAUUGAGCGAACCUGCCAAACCAUGCCCUUGGUGAUUGUUUCAAUCCAUACAAGGACUUUCUUAACCUGCAUACUUUGCCAAUAUCGCAAGUGGUAGUGAAUCCUGGAGGAAGAUCCAUGUAUACCUCUUCAUCCAAGUCUCCAUGUAAAAAUGCAUUUUUACAUCAAACUGUCGUAGAGGCCACCCUAGAUUUGCUGCCAAUGACAUAAGAACCCUGAUAGUGUUGAUCUUUGCUACCGGAGCAAAUGUCUCCUGAUAAUCAAUGUCAUAGGUUUGAGGAUAACCUUUGGCUACCAGUCUAGCCUUGUAUCUUUCCACUGAACCAUCAGCUUUAUGCUUUACUGUGAACACCCAUCUACACCCAACAGGUUUCUUGCCUUCAGGAAGUGCAACCAGUUCCCAAGUGGAGUUUUUUCGAAGUGCUUCCAUCUCUUCAAUCAUAGCCUUUUUCCAUUUUGGAUCUUUAAGAGCAUCCUGUAACUUAUUAGGAACUGAGACUGAUGACAAUUGGUUUGCAAAAGAUAUAUAAGAGUCUGACAAGCGAUGAGAUGAAACAAAAUUAGAUAUAGGAUAUUGAAUACCCUUUGUAGAAAAAUGACCAUAACGAACAGGGGGUAAAAGGUCGUACCCAGUGCACAAGGCUCCCGCUUUACGCAGGGUCUGGGAGAGGUGAAUGUCGGUUAGCCUUACCCCCAUUUUAUGGAGAGGCUGCUCCCAAGUCUCGAACCCGAGACCUACCGUUCAUGGGCGAAGGCACUUGCCAUCACACCAAGUGCGACCUCUUAUAACGAACAGGGGGUAUCCCUCGAUUUUCUCGAAUAGGAUAAGGAGAAUCCCGAGACUCAUGAUGUGGUUCAUUUGAAUCAUUUGGAUCAUCACUUAAUGAAAUCUCAUGAUUGGACUCAUCAAAUAUAGUAGGCUGAAGAGAAGGAGAAUGAGUGGUUACCUCAGGAUAAUUCGUACUAUUAGCAGCUGAUUGGUCAGAGAGUUGGUCAAUGUGGGGAUCCGUCUGUGGGUGGUCUAUUUCAUCAUCCCUUUUUUCUUUAUCUCCCUUUUUUCUUGUCCUCUCAUACACCUUCAAUAUUUUUUCACCUUGUGCCUCAUCAUUAGGCAAAUUUGCACCAUCACCGACAUCUGACAAGUGUUCAUCUGAAAAAUGCAUACCACCAAUGUCAAGCGGCAACUUCUUUUCCUCCUUACUCCAUAUCUCCCCCUGAAGAGAAGUGACCAAAUCUUCUUUUGAAAAAAAUGCCUCGUUUUCCCUAAAGGUAACAUCCAUAGAGACAAAAAAUUUCCCAGUGGGAGGAUAGUAACAUCGAUACCCUUUCUGAGUAGCAGAAUAGCCAAUAAACACACAUUUGAUGGCUCUAGGAUCCAACUUAUCACGAUUUUGCAUGGGUACGUGAACGUAGUAGACACAACCAAACACUUUUGGAGGAAUAUGAAGGAGUGAAGGAAGAGAAUGAUAUUGGGAAAGGGUCUGGAUAGGUGUUUGAAAUUGGAGAACACGUGAUGGCAUGCGAUUGAUAAGAAAAACAGCUGUGUGAAUGGCAUCACCCCAAAAACGUUUAAGAACGUGCAUAGCAAAACAUAAAGAGCGAGCCACAUCCAAGAGAUGACGAUUUUUACGUUCUGCUAUACCGUUCCGUUGAGGAGUAUGUGGACAAGAUGUUUGAUGAAUGAUACCGUGUUGUUGAAAAAAUGUUCCAAGUCCAUAAUUCAAAUAUUCUUUCCCAUUAUCAGAUCAAACAACUUAAAUUUUAGCAUGAAAUUGGGUUUGAAUCAUUUGAUGAAAGAUUGGAAAAAUAGACAUAACCUCACUAUUAUUUUUUAGUAAGUAUACCCAAGAAACUCGAGUGCAGUCAUCAAUGAGAGACAAAGUAUUUAGCACCAGUAUAAGUAGGAAUAUGAAAUGGUCCCCAAACAUCAGAAUGAAUAAGAGAGAAAGGAGCAUUACUUUUAUGGGAACUUAAAGGAAAUGAGACACGAUGAUUUUUAGAAAGAAUGCAAGUUUCACAAUGGAAAUCAGAAACCUUGACUUUAGAAAAUAAAGAAGGGAAUAGAUAUUGCAGGUACUGAAAGGAAGGGUGUCCCAAUCUUUUGUGCCAUAACCAAAUUUUUUCAGAAGCUUCAAAUUGUUUGGCCUCCGCUUGACAACUGUAACUUGUCUUCUCAAAAUCUGGUGGUAAGUCCAAGUAGUAUAGACCUCCCCUCUCUCUACCAUGACCAAUCAAUGCUUUCGUUCGAAUAUUCUGAAACCAACAAUGGGUAGGAGAAAAGAUGGCAAGACAGUUUAGUUGAUUUGUAAGUUUACCAAUGGAAAGCAAAUUGUGAGAAAGAUUAGGAACAUGUAAAACAUAUGAGAGAGAUAAGCCUGGUGUUAAUGAGAUGGAGCCUGCUCCAAGCACUGGAGUAGAAAUACCAUUAGCAACUUUAACGGUAUUUAAAGGUGGAGUAGUGUGAGAAACAAACCAUGUAGAGUUAUUGGUCAUGUGGUCAGAAGCCCCUGAAUCAAUGAUCCAAGGUUUAUUGGGAGGAACAAUUGUAGUGUUCAAGGCAAAACCAAAGUUACCUGCAUCGACUAAGGAAGUAGAAGCAGUAGUAGGAGAAACUAAGUGAGCAGAUUGAUCCACCCGAGGUAUGGAAGGCGUUGGUGUCAGGUGUGCUUGUGAUCCACCAAUGCCUUUCUUUUGAUUUUCCUUCUUUUGAACCCACCAAUCAGGAUAUCCAUGCAGCUUGAAGCAAGUGUCUCUAGUAUGCUUAUCCUUGUCACAAUAAGUACACUUCCUUGUAUCAGUAGUUUUGGGUCCACCUAAUCGAGAAUUGGAGACUCCACGGGGAAAUCGAGACGGAGCAACUACCAUGGCGGAUCCUUCCACUUGUGGGCCAACCAACAUAAUGGUUUGCCUACUUGCUUCAGCAUUCACAAGAGCAUAAGCAGCACGAACAGAAUGUAGAGUUGUUUGAGUCAAAACUUGACUGCGAACAUGAUCUAAAUCAGGAUCAAGACCAGCUAGAAAAUCAUACAAUCUUUCUUCCGAAAUUUCUGUCUCUCGGGUAGCAAUAUCAUCAGCGCACUUCAAUUUUCCAGGACUCAAGAAAUCAAUUUCUUGCCAUGUUUGCUGAAGUUUACCAUAAUAUGCAGAUAAAGGUUCUCCAUUUUGGCGAGUUGCCAGUGCUUGACGGCGAAGUUCGUAUAACUUUGAUGCAUCUUUUUCAAUUGAGUAAGUUUGGGUAACAGCAUCCCAAACAUCUUUUGCAGUAGAGAGUCGGAGAAAAAUGGCCCGUACAUCUCUGGUCAUGGAGUUGAGUAACCAAGAUUGAACCAUGGCAUUCUCUUCCUCCCAUAUAGCAUACAAGCAUCAGCUUCUACUGGUGCCACUUUUGUUCCACUGACAGAAGACCAUUUACCUCUGCCAGUGAUGUAGAUGCGAACACUUUGGGACCAUGAGGAAUGGUUGGACCCAUCCAACUUGUCUGGGGUGAUAUGUAGAGACAUAUCACUUUGAGUAACAGUAGCUGAAAAGUAGCUGAAACAGUGGUCUUGGAGUCACCCAUUAUUACUGCCUCAGAGGUUAUGGGUAAAUUUGUUGGGUGAUUCCAACGGGUAUGGCUUAUGGGGUAUUGGGUAGUAUAUUUUUUUUUUGUGUGGAAAGAUUUCUGGGUUUUGCAGAGAUACUGCAAAUGGGAAGAAUAUGGGAAAAGAUGCAGCGGAAUAUGUAUGGCUAACAAGCUGGAUAUGGGUAAUAAUGUUGGUAGAUAUGGCCAAAUGAAAAAAGAGUAAGAUUGGAUUGGUAUGAAAGUAGAAGACCUGCAGAAUAGCAGGUCUUAUUGGGUAGAUGGCAGUAGUGCCAGUAAGUGAAUCAGAAUAGAAACUCUUUUUGGAUCAGAAUUGCUCUGAUACCAUGCCAAAAUAGAGCUAAUUCCUUGAUAUAUUAGAUGAUUAUUUCUCAUUACAAGAUGAACAUAUAUAUAGGGAAAGAAAGAAAACAUAAGACCUAACUUUGCCUAACUUGCCUAACUUACCUAACUUGCCUAAUUUACAUAAAGAAAGUUGACUAGCCUAACUCCACUAGCCAUCCAAUACUCAUGGCUGCUUUUAGUUGACAAAAAAAAAAAAAAAAGCAACCGGGUCUGACGGGCAAAGAGAGUGAAACAAAUAGUAUCUCUCUCCAAAAAAGCAUAUUUUUUUUUUACCGCCGCACAAAGAAAAUGUUUUGCUGCGAUUGAGGAAUUGUCCAUACGUAAAAUCAUAAUUAUUGAUACGAGCCUUUUCCACAUAAAAAGGGAAUCCUUUGUUACAAUAGAAGCAGAAGUGAUUUGGAUUAUUCAAGAAUCGAAGUCGAUUUGCUUUAUAAAAAGAAGAUAUCAGAUCAAAGACGUUUACCUUUUCGAAGGGCAAUGGGAGUCCCCUAUUUCAGGGACAUCUCCUUGUUAGGUAGGGCCAGGGAUCACUAAUUAGUCGAAUGAGCCCAUCCCUCUGGCCUAUCAUUUAUCGGUCGAUCCGGCUGGCAGCUCCUGCAUCCCCGCUGACCACAGUUCACAGAAAAGAAGGAAAAAAGGAGAAAGAAGGGAAAAAUAAUAAAAAGAUUAUUUCAAAGAAAGAAGUGGAACAAGAAAAUGGAAAAAGCAACUAGAAACCCCAUCCGCAAGAGUAUGAAACUUUGUUUGCAGAUCCAAUGAUAAUCAAAGAGCAGAAAGAGAAGGAGAAGGGACUGAGAGGAGAGAGGAUUCGAGAGGGAGAGUGGCUGGAUUGAAAACUUAGAGCCUAACUUUUAGAGUUUUAAAAAAGUGGGCAUUUUUUAGUUAGUUUGUAGUUAAGACUUAACAGUUUUUGAAAAUGGGUAACAAGAUUUAUGAGCUUGGGACUCAAAAAGUGUUUUUGAGUGUAAAAGUUUGGAUACCAAACUUUCUUAAUCAUUGCAUUGACAAUUUUAAAUUUUCUUUUUGGGUUGGCUGAACUCUGUUAACAACAGCACUUCAUUGGCUAUUUCUUCUUCUUGUUUCUUUUUCUACAAAGAUGAUCUCUUACAGCAAGCAAUAAAGUUUGGCAGGUUUUAGGUUGGAAUAGGUUUAAUUUGUACAGAACAGUAGAUCUGGGGUGUUUCAAAUUUUCAUUUGUUAUUCUUUCUUUUCAGGACCUCUGAGAGCUCCAAAAUGGUAUAAGCGCCCAGUUGGAGCAUCUUUUGGCUUUGGAGGCAAGAUUGUGUCCUUUCAGCAUGGUUCUGCUGGUUCGGAGGUACGCUUUAUUGGCAUGCUCCCUGUGUCUUCUGCUCUGAUGCAUUUUAGAGUUCAUUUUCCUCCCUUGUGUCCAGGUUUAUAUACACAGCUUGGUGACUGAACACAGUUUGGUGAAUCGCUCAUCCGAAUUUGAAGCUGCUAUACAAAAUGGGGAAAGGCCUUUACUUCGAGCCUUAUGUGAGAAGAAAUCACAGGAGGCUGAGUAUGUCACUUACUAGAAAUAACUUUUUUUUAUGAGCUUUGAGAGAGUUAAUAUCUCUUGAAAAUUAAUUCUCUUCUGCUUCUGUUUGCAUGAUUCUGUUCGGCAGAUCUGAGGAUGACCAGGAAACAUGGGGCUUAUUAAGGGUUAUGUUUGAAGAUGAUGGGACUGCAAGGACGAAGCUGAUCACUCAUCUUGGUUUCAGUAUGCCCGAGGAAGCAAAAGAAGAUGUUCCAGAAGAUCUAUCACAGGAAGUCAAUGCACUAGGGCUUGAGGAUACAAUAACUGAUAAAGUGGGUCGUGGGAAUGAUAAGGAAGCCACCAUCUUUCCAUCUGAUAAUGGAGAAGAUUUCUUUAAUAAUCUUCCUAGUCCUAAAGCUGAUACUCCUGUGUCAACCUCUGGUGGAAAAUUUUCUGAGGGGGAUGCAGUUCCUGUUAUGGAACAAAUGGAACAAGAGCCUGAUGGACAGGAGGAGAGUGCUGAUCCAUCGUUUGAUGAAUCUGUUCAACAUGCUUUAGUUGUAGGAGAUUAUAAGGGUGCUGUUGCAAAAUGCAUUUCAGUAAAUAAAAUGGCUGAUGCUUUAGUUAUUGCUCAUGCUGGUGGUGCUUCGUUGUGGGAGAGCACGCGGGAUCAGUAUCUUAAGAUGAGCCAUUCGCCUUACCUUAAGGUAUUUACAAUCCACUUUCUUAAAAGGCUUCGAAACACUUUCUGUUUCGUAUUUUGAUAAUAUAUGAAUGUAGAUGUAAAGAUGUGAAAGAUUGAUUAUACUGUGUCUUUAAGUUGUGUCAUAAUUGUGUUUAACAUGGCUAAUUCCUACAAUCAGAUUGUUUCUGCAAUGGUGAGCAACGAUCUCUUGAGUCUUGUCAACACCAGGCCCCUAAAAUUCUGGAAAGAAACACUUGCUCUUCUGUGUAGUGUAAGUUUCCCAGCUCCUCAAAAUGUUAAUGCCAUGAUACAUUGUGUCAUUGUUUACAUUUUUUGAUAAGUAAUGCGUUGUAAAUGAAGUGUUUUUGGUUACUUGACUCAUUAGUGUUUCUGACUUACCCUAAACUGCGCUCUUAAUAGCUGUAUCAUAAGAGCAAAUCAUGAGCAAGUCAACUUUAAAAUCUGUAUAAUUACUAAUUGAUUUAUGUUUUUCAAUGUGUCAUGAAUGGACAGUUUGCGUCCAGAGAUGAGUGGACCAUGCUUUGUGAUACACUUGCUUCCAAACUUGUAGCUGCUGGUAAUACUCUGGCGGCAACUAUUUGUUAUAUAUGUGCGGGAAAUAUUGAUAAAACUGUAGAGAUUUGGUCAAGAAGUCUGACAACUGAGCAUGAAGGGAGAUCCUAUGUUGACCUUCUCCAGGUAAAUUUUCAUUUAGACCAGGCCAGUCAUGUUCUUUUUGGCCAUGAGGUUAAAUAUGCUUUUUUUUUUCAGAGAGAACGAGGUUAAAUAUGUUAUGUUAUUUGGUUUAGGAAUUAAUGGAAAAGACAAUUGUCCUUGCCUUGGCAUCUGGGCAGAAGCGGUUUAGUGCAUCCUUGUGCAAACUUGUUGAGAAAUACGCUGAAAUUUUAGCUAGUCAAGGCCUUCUAACAACAGCAUUGGAGUACCUAAAACUAUUAGGUUCUGAUGAGUUGUCACCUGAGCUUGUUAUCUUAAGAGAUCGUAUUUCUCUUUCAACCGAACCUGGUAUGUGCUUCUUUAAAAGUUACUGAAGUAACGUUUUAAUAUAUGCAUUUUUGUAUGCUGGAAAUUUCGAUCAAUGGCAAUUAAUCUGAUCAAAGUGAUUACUGAGUGGUCAAUAUUUUAAUUAGUUCAAUACACAAAAUUCGAUGGUUACAGCUCUUAAAAUUACAAAAGCUUCUUUCUUGUUACCUACAUUAUUUAUUUUCUUCCCAUGUUAUUUGUUGUGUUAUUGCACCAGAGAAAGUUACCAAGACUGAAACAUUUGGAAACCAACCUGCAACAAGUGGGCCUGAAUACACGGCUGACCAAUCUAGUUUUGUCGGGUCCUCUCCUCCAUAUUAUCAGGUGUUCAUGAAGUUUUUCGUUGCCGUUUUAUUUUUAUUUUUUUCUGUCGUUUGUUUCCAAAUCUGUUCUCUCGAUGUGGAUUGACUUUUAUUUUCUCUCUUUAAAUGGUUAGGAAACAGUGCCAUCACAUUUGCAAUCAGGUGUUCCUGUAAGUCCUUAUGGUGAGAGCUACCAAGAACCUGUGAAUCCUUCAUAUGGAAGAGGAGGAUACGGCCCUCCUGCCUCGUAUCAACCUGCAUCCCAGCCCCAUAUGUUUCUUCCUAACCAACCACCGCAGGUUCCACAGGUAAUUUGUUGUUUAUUAGCCUCUUUAGUAAAGAGUUAUUAGUUUGUUUACUUUCUGAAUAUGCUAUAACAUACUAAUACCACGGAAAAAUAUUCUUGGAAUCAGUGCACUGAAAUUCCUUUCUUUGAAGUAGAUCCAGUGUGUAUUCUUGCUGGUUAAGGGUUACAACAACAACAACAACAACAAAGCCUUUUCCCACCAAGUGGGGUCGGCUAUGGUUAAGGGUUAUUAGGAUUUAUUUUUUUGGGUAAAUUGCAGGAUGCUACAAAAUUAUAAAAUUAUUCGUUAGUCUUCAAAAAUGUGCGUGUUAUUUAAUGAUUAUCUGAAAUUUAGCUGUUAAUGGCACUUGGCUGUGAAAUCCUAGUUGGAAUGAACUUUUUGUUAUUAAGAAGUUACUGGUCACUUCUCACAUUUUUCAAUGUUCAAGGGUCUGCUUCAUUGGACUUUUCAUGGUGUACUUGUAGGAGAAAUUUUCUGCACCUCCUGUUUCCUCUCAGCCUGCAGUAAGGUCUUUCAUUCCUUCAACUCCUCCUGUGCUGAAAAAUGUGGAUCAAUAUCAGCAGCCAACAUUGGGUUCUCAGUUGUAUCCUGUCCGUAUAUCUUCGUUUGAUGUCAAAUUAAAUAUCAGAAACCAUGACCAUGAUUGUUUUUCUAACGUUUUUUUUUUUGGUUGGUGUUUCAGACUUUCCAACCUAUGCAACCAGGGCCUGGUUCAACUGCUCCUCUUCAAUCACAUGUCCCUCCUGUUCCUGUAAAUCAACCACAUGUUGUAGCUGCUUCUGUUCCUCCAAGAGGAUUUAUGCCCGUUACUAAUCCAGGAGUUGUUCAGGGGCCUCAUGUGGGUUCACUGCAGCCACCUAGUCCUACUCACCAAGCUCCAGCUCGAACCCCCGUGGCAGCGGCAGCUCCACCGCCCACCAUACAGACAGUUGAUACAGCCAAUGUUCCUGGUAAUUUGAGAUUUCCUUUUAUCUUGUGGAAAUUUGCCAACUUCUCUCCUGAACUGCUUUGCUCUUUAUAUCUGUUUAACUUUUCCGAUUUUGAAAUAUGAAGCUAGCUUCAUGUCGUAAUUUUCUCCUUGUCGUAGCUCCCUCAAUUUCAAACUUGAAGUCAGAGGAAUUUAGGUAGAAUUGGUGGACUAUUAAAGAUAUACAUGCAAUUAAACAGUAAUACGCUGGUAGGAUUGUCAAUAUUUUGAUUUGCAGUAUUUGUUAAAUAAUAAGAUGCAGAUCCGAACUUUAAGUUAUUGAGGUCUCGAUGAUAUCAUCAGUUCUCAUGAUUGGAAAUUUGAAACACGGAAAAAAUGGACAUGAGAAUGUUGGACCACUGUGAUCACUGCAAGCAAGAGUGGUUAUGGACAAAUUGCAUUGAUAUUCAUUUGGACGAUGAAGACAACAAGUAUUAUGAGUGGAGGUAAUUAGGAGAUACUUGACAAAAGUAUGACUAGGAACGAAAAUAUCGUCCAAUUUCAGAUUGGUAAAGGAAGAGGUUUUGUACGGUUGACUCCAAUUAUAGAUGAGAGAAGUCUCCGUUUUUGUUUUAGUUCCUGAACACCAUGUAAUAGAGGGUCCAAAAUUGAGUUCUACCUAGGUUCUAUGUUUGUUAGGUAUUAUAUAGUGUAGGCUGUUUCCCUACUUUAACAUUAAAAUCGACCUGACCUCAAUGAUGGACUCUCCAUAUUAUUUGAGCUGUCCUCUUGUCUGGCAUGCAAUUGUUGGCCCAAAGAAGUAGAGGGAAUGAAAUAUUUGUAGAGACCGCAGUUAGUUGAGUGUAUGUAUUGCAGUUAGUAUCAUGGAAUGUCCGACACUUGAACUGGGAUAUAUGGUCUAUGAGACAUUUUGACAUCUAGACGUUAGUGUUAAUUGUGUAUUUAAACAAGUACAACAGUUGGGAGACUGCUAAUUCUAUUUCCUUGAGUGUGUGUAGUCUGUAAGAUAUUCUCCUUCAUUUGUGGUUCCCUAUUUAUCACAUAGAAUUUCCAACCUGUGGUUGUGUGACAAUCUUUGCCUUUUUUGUGGAUAAUGUGGUACAGCCCAUCAAAAAUCGGUAAUCGCAACAUUAACAAGACUUUUCAAUGAGACAUCGGAGGCGUUGGGAGGUGCACGUGCAAAUCCCGGUAAGAAGCGUGAAAUAGAAGACAAUUCAAGGAAGAUAGGUGCAUUGUUUGCCAAACUCAACAGUGGGGACAUAUCUAGAAAUGCUGCUGAUAAGCUUGUUCAGCUUUGCCAGGCAUUGGAUAAUGGUGAUUUCGGUACUGCCCUGCAAAUCCAGGUACGUUUUUUAAAACUUCAAACUUUUUUUUUCUUUUUUUUUGAUUUUUGCAUUGCAUAAAUAAUGAGCUUUAAUGGGGGCUCCUUUGGUUUCUGCUUGAUAUCAGGUGCUUCUUACCACUAGUGAAUGGGAUGAGUGCAACUUUUGGCUCGCAACUCUAAAGAGGAUGAUCAAGACAAGGCAAAAUGUGAGACUAUAAGCCUGUUAUUACGCAAGUUUCGGAUUGUUUGGUUCCCAGAAAUCUUUCAUGGCCUGAUCUGCAAGAGUGCGGGACGGUUUGUUUUCAUGCAUUCAAGAAGUGCAUAUCUAGAUUUUGGCUUCGGGAUUUGACUAGCUUUCGAUUAAUUCUACCUUGGAAGGCAAAUAGUGGGUUUCAACGCAAAUAGUGAAGAUAGUCUCUCCGCACAUUAAAAGGACUUCAUGGUGGCUCUUUCGGUUUUACUUUUGUAGUGCUUAGAAAUAGCAUUGAUUUUUUUUUUUUUUUUUUAUCACUUUCGACAUUUUACAUAAAUUCAUAGAACGUUUACUCAGCUGCUUUGAGCUUUUCCUAGUGAUCUGGGUACCAUUUUGUCAUAGGCAUGAAAUUGUACCACCUUUGUGUCUUUGUUAUAUGAACACAAUUAGAAUUCCGACUUCAAUUUUGUUGAAAAUGACUGGCUGUGUAUCAUUUAUGUGUUACUGUUUUUGCAAUCUGAGAUUUCGGUAUGGUUUGGGCACAUGAAUUUGAAGGGGCCUCUUAUUAUUCAUGUCAGCGUAAGUGCACUUGGUCUCUUUAGAGAUUUCCGCUGUCUAACGGUCAUAUAUGAUAUUAUCUUUUUGGUUGCAUAUCGGAUUGUUAGAUGCUGAAUGUAUUAAGUAAAUGCUAUUUUCGAGUUUAUUACGAGGAGGAAGAUAAGUUGUAAAUGUGCAUUCUGCAAAUUUGUAUGGAUAGAUUGGCAUUAUAUCGAUAUAUAUGCUACAUUUGUAUUAGACAUUGUUCAUGUGAUGUUCACAUUUCCAUACCAAGGUGGCAUGACCAGAUGUGGUCGAGUUGAAGCACCCCAAGAACUAAAAACUAAGUUGGAGGACUAAAUUGUAAUUUGAAAGUGAUGGAUAAGUUUAGGAGCACCUACAAGUUAGCCCUCGAACUUAUCCACCACUUACAAUUUAGUCCCCAAAUCAUCCACCACUUCGAAUUAAUCAAGUUUUGUUUUCAUUUGUCCCCUUUUGGUAGUGAUUCUUGGUUGAAAUUGAGAAUAAAAUCUAUAUUUUCAACGUGAGAUUUACUUUUACUUUACUUUGGUGUUAAUAAACGCAUAUGAUAUGUCAAGAAUUAUAUUUACCUUUGCUGUCAUUCUAUUUCUUGGCAGAUUAUAUUUCUUGGUAUCUUGUGGACUCCACUUGUGUUUUCUUUUUCAAACAAUUAAACACAUUAGCAAUUUGUAAUCGAAACCCACCUCCUUACUUUUAUUUCGAAGAAAAACUAAUAAAAAUGGCUUGAAAGUUUUGAGUUUUAAUGAUAAGGACAAAAUAAAGGGUAAAAUGAAUAGUACUAGGUUUGACUUUUUAGUGUAAAAAUGUGAUUUUUCGUUAAAAUAAACAGUACCGCGGACUUUUCUUUAAAACUCCCUUUAUUUCGAAGGAAAACUCAUGGAUUAUUACACUAGUGACUACAACAUGAACCUAGUUCUUUAUAAAUAAGUGGCUUGCUAUUGAAACUCUUUUUUACUUUCUACGCACCUUUCUCAAUUUUCAGCCGUUGAAUCGAAAGAGUUGAAGAAUAUCAAAGAACAUUUAUCGACAAGAGAUGUGUAAGAAAUAAAAAUUGAUGUAUGAAUAACAUGGAAGAGGAUCCUCUCCUGAGCUCAUGAUGAGGAUCCUCCUGACCACGAAAUCAGGAACGUUCAAAUUUAAUCCAACGGCUCCAAACAGGGGGUCUCUCUAAAAGUUAUAAUAAUUGCAACCGUUAAAUUAAAUUUGAACGGUCCGGAUUUCUUGGUCAAGAGGAUUCCCAUCCUGAGCUCAGGAGAGGAUCCUCUUCCGAUUAACAUCACCAAACAAUGAAUUUGAGCCAAAAAAUAAAACCGCGCCACACGCUAGGCUACAGUGAUAUAAGGCCUAUCGAGUUUCAGAAUUUCAAAAAAGUAGAGGCCAAGAAGUAGCUGUAAAGCCUUGACAAAGGGAUACCUAAUAUGCUUGUUUCUGCUUGCUGCCAAACAGCUAAAAACACAAUUCAGUUUGAAACCAUGUUUGGAGAGCAGGCUAGCAGUGCUCUGGAAUCUUUUGAUAUCUUUCAAAAUUCAGUUUGUCUUGUACUUGAUUGUUUUAUCCAGUCCAAAGGGAAACAAACAGUAGAUAUAGCCACAGCUACAUGCCUACAACAUAAAGAGAAUGUUUGGCUGCUGCUACAAAUCCAUGCGAGUGCUCUUAAACUUGGUGUUUGUGCACUUUUCCACUCCUUUUCUUGGACCCGCAGAACACUCGUGUUCCCGGAAAAUGCGUCAUAAAACAAGCUUCUCACAACAAAAUGAAGAGUUUCUUUUGACCAUUCUCUUCUUUAUUACUAACGAUAUUUUUACUUUAUUUUAUGUUAGACAUAGGAAAAGAGUGUUCGAACUCAAAAUGUUGCGAGAUAAAGUAGAAUAAUAAUAGCCAUAGUAAUUAAGGUAACAAGCAUUCUUCGGUUGCUACAUAAUAUAGUAAGCUAAUGUGGCUCAUAUAUAGGGAUGGGCAAAUACCCAUUAGUUAUGGAUAACCGCGGUUACCCGCUUAUUUAAAUUUCACGGUUACGGUUAUGGGUAUAACCGUUUACUUGUGAAAUUUAAAUUGGCGGUUAUGAGUAUUAACCACGGUUAUAAACGGAUAACCAUUUACCCAUUUAUUUUAUAUAUGUAAAAUUAACAAAAACCAUGUUCCCUAUCGGACAAAACUUAGAUAAAUGCUAUUUACUAUAGUGCAUGAUUUCUAUAGCUAAUAUAAUAUAAUUUUUCUUAAACACUUUAAAUUUCAUGGUCCAUUAUAUAUAUUAUGUUAAUUUUUUACAUUCCGAGUCAAAUAACUCAAGAAUAAUGUCUUUUAAUAGUUUUCGUAACCCAAUAAUACUUGGCAAAUUUUAUAUUACCUUCAUUGCUAACAGUUAAAAAUAUUGUCUGUAAACUAUUAUUUCAAUUAUUGGAAUGAUAUACGGACUUAAAAAAUUAAAAUGCGGAAAUGUAUGAUGAAUGUACCUAUAACGGUGUUUAAUUGUUAGAAAAAAAAAUUAUGACAAAUUUUUCUUUUUUAAUUUUCAAGUUGUUAAAAACACGUAGAUGGGAGAAAAAGAAGUAAAUGGUAAAAAAAAAAAAGGAUAAACGGGUUUAAAAUGAUAAAUGGGUAAACGGGUACUAAACGGUUACGGUUAAAUGAGUACACGGUUAUGAGUAUGGUUAACCGUUUAUAAAUGGUUAUGGAUAUGAGUAUAACUGUUUAGACAAUUACCCAACAGGUAAACGGUUAUGCGGGUAUGAGAAUAAACGGUUAUGAAUAAAUAACCGCGAUUACCCGCCCGUCAUAACCGUGCCCAUCCCUACUCACAUAUGUAGUAUAUCUAGCAUUAUUCACAAAUCAUACAAUAUGCCUUUGAUUUAUAUACAUGAGACUUAUCUACGAAAAGUCAAUGAUCAUUUGAUUUAUCAGCACUUAUGACGUAUUUAUGACGUAUUUACCACACGAGAUUAGAGUGGGAAGAAACAAAAUCGCACUCUUCACUAUGCAUUCGAGCAUUUGCUAGCAUUUAGGGCAUCAGAAGAGUUCACCUAAUCUCAUAAUUGGAUUACUCAAAUAGAGAAGUCAGAUUCUUACUUCACCCAUAUUUCAACUCCUCCUUAAUUUAAUUUUUCUUAAUCCGAUUGCGUAUUAGUAAACCAGCUAUUUAGUAUAUGAGGUGGGUAUCUAUCAAUAAAGGGGUAGAAAUUAGGAAAUUGAACAGUAAAAGUAAAGGGACUGUUACAGAUUAAAAUUAACUGACAAGACUAGGCAUUUUCAUGAUGGGUAAAGCAACAGUGUGAUACUGUAAGAGAGUCAAACAAGAAUUCAAAGUGAAAUGAUCUAAGUUGAGCCCUUCGAUAUAUUCUUGGUUGAAAAUAAUUCUACCUUGUCGACCUAAUGUCAAACCCAUCUAGAAGCAACAAAUUGUCUACCAUGUUACAUGUACACGGUAUCAUCAUCGAGUGCUUGCGAUUUCUCAUUUAAUCCAAGUACGAGUCAAUAAAGCAUGAUUAAUCUAUACCUUCAAAGAGAAGAAUUAAGUCGUGCAUCUACCAGCUACAUCUGCGUUUUUUACGCAACGUGAAUUUGUAUUGUGGAAAAAUCCAACUUAAAUCGUGCUUUCAAAUGGGUAUUUACUUCGGGUCAAAGAUUUAGAAAAAAUGAGAGAUUGGAGAAACUCAGACAAAAAUAGUUAUUUAGGACUCGUUUGGAAAUGCUUUAAAAUGACUUGGGUUCCACAAACACUUCGGGUCAAAGAUUUAGAAAAAAUGAGAGAUUGGAGAAACUCAGACAAAAAUAGUUAUUUAGGACUCGUUUGGAAAUGCUUUAAAAUGACUUGGGUUCCACAAACACUUGAAGUGUUUCGAGCAAGAAGCAUCAAUUAUGUGUUUCUUCCAUGAAGCACUUCAAGUGUUUUUUUUUGUAGGGUUCAUUUGCAGUUUAUUAAAGAUUGAUUCAAAAAAUAUUUUCAUCAAACCACACCACUUUCAGCGAUUUUAAAAGCACUUUCAAAUGAGGAGUCCAAUUGAUGAUGAUUAGUGAUGAGUAAAAAUGUUUAUAAUUUAAUUAGUUUGAGAUUGCAAUGAUGCGGGGAAACAAUCAAUACAAUAAAGAUGAGCAAAAGGGCACGUUUCUGCCAAAAUAACAUAAAGCUUUUCAUCAUGAUGCACUAUACACUUUCAUGGCUUCUGUUGCAAGAAUACGUACUAAAAUAUGGAAAGAAAAAAAAAUUGAGAGUAAUUUUCGAAGCAUGGGAAAUUUUGGUCAAAAAUAAAAAUAAAAAUAAAACUUGUAGAUUGAUACCAUUCUACAAUUUCGUGUGGAUUAGAAGAGACGUUUUCUUCGUGACUUGUACAUCUUCAACUUUCAACUUGAACAAAAGUAUCCAUUGCUUCCUUUGACACGCACUGAAUCCAGUGAAUUAUCGAAUACGUGGACACCAAUCAAAGCCUAACAAAAAACAAAGUCGCAUAGACAUCUAUGAGGCUCACAACUAAACAUAAAUCUAGUGGUAUGCACACACACUUGAACCAAAAACAGAUUGCCUGUUCUUCUGUUCAUCUGAAUAUAAACAAGACAUUACAAAAUUUGAAGGCAUAUGCAGUGCAACGAGCCACAGUUCUUCAAAACAUUACUCUUGACUCGGCAAAUCCUAAGGAUCCCUGAAAUUUGAACAAUGCGGUAACAAAGAUGCAGAACUACAAAGAUCAAAAGCGGUAUCACUUGGCAUUUGACAUAUGUGAACUUUCAGACUACAAAAAUCUUCAUAUCAUUCGUCGACAUUAAACAACUUACAAGACAAAAAACAAAAAUGAUCAAACAACUUACAAUUGGGGAGAUCAAUUAACAACACAUUAACAAAUUAACGAAUCACAAGACGUGAGGAAGCAAAACCAAGAACAAAUAAGAGAGCAACAAAUCUGCAUCAAUGUAAAAUUUGCAAGCAAGAAAGCUUACAUGCCUUCGUUCUAUUCACAUAAAUCAAAUUUAUGCAGCAAGCUGUAUACCAGCAGCUGCACGAGAAUUGCCGCUCACAUGAGGCAUUGCAUCAUCUCUCCUUGAACAUGUAAAUGACUUUUUCCCAAAAGAAUGAUUUUGCAUCAAAUCAGGGACUCCUUUCCCAUUACCAGGAGUUGAUUGAUUACUCCUACCAAUAUAUCUUGCACUACCAAAUCUAGAAACCAGAUUCGCCGAUUUUGAACUGGAGUUAUCUCCAUCUGCGUUACCAUGGAACUCCGACUCCCCAUCAGUACCUGCCAUAAGCUCCAUCAGAUUGGUGCUAAACCCCAAAUCUGAAUAAACUCGCCGCGAAUUCCUCAACGCUUGCCUAGUCAAUUUCGCUUCUAGGGCUUCCAAAUUCUCUUCUCCAACACCCUCUAGCUUCGAAGUCAAAUGUGCAUUCCUUGAUUCAACCGGGCGCCCCAUGGUCUCUACCAUUGUACAUGGAUUGUUAAAACCAUUCCACGAAUGCAGGGGAACCAGUUUACUCAACCCAGUAAGCCAAACCACGACCUCCUUCAUCGAUGGCCUACGCUCCCUACAAGACCUCACACACUUGGCUGCAAUCACAGCUAAUUGCUUCCUCACAACAGGGUCUUUAGGAGGUACAAUUCGCGGAUCAUAAACCGUUAUCAGCUUCCCUCGCUUUAUAAGCGGGAUAGCCCAAUCAACGAUCGAAGGCGGAGAAUGCCCAACAUCAAUAGCCUUCCUACCACUUAUAAUCUCCAACAACAAAAUCCCAAAACUAAAAACAUCAGUUUUAGUACUCAAAUUGUCGGGGGUCACAUAGCAAGGGUCCAAGUACCCCAUCGUCCCCGCCGGCGGGGUGGACCGGAGCCUAUACUCGUCGAACUGGCAGUACCUCAGAGCCAAUCCAAAAUCCCCCAACCGGGCAUUGUAACUACGAUCAAUCAAAACAUUAGCAGACUUAAUAUCUCUAUGAAUUACAGGUGGGUUCGAUGAAUGUAAAAUGUCAAUUGCCUUAGAUGUUUGCAAAGCUAAUCUAAUCCUACGACCCCAAUUCGGAGGCCGAUUUGUACUCGAAUGCAAAACAUCGUACAGCGUACCGUUGCUCAUGAACUCCACCACCAAAAGCCUUUCUUUCGAAUCAUUCGAAAACCCCAAAAGAUUGACCAGCCUCGGACUCUGAAUCUUGGACAAGAUCUCGAGCUCAUUGUCGACCUCGUUCGCGGUCUCCGGCCCAGAAGACGAGGUGGGUCGGAGUCUCUGGCUGUGAGCUCUCGAGGGUCUUUUGACGGCAACAAGACGGCCACGGAGCACAGCUUUGUAAACGUAGCCAUGGCUGCCUUUGCCUAAAAGCUUCUGGUCGGAGAAGCCAUUGGUGGCGGCGACAAGAUCACUGUAGUCGAAGUGUUGGAUCUUGAUGGGGUUUUCCGGGGUGGCGGUGGCGGUGGUUUUGGACGAUGAGGUUUGGGAAUUGGCGACGGAGAUGGCUGAUUGAGCUCUGCAGGAAAGGUACCCCAUUAAAGUAAAAUCGAGAUUUCGACUCUGUGUUUUGGUUUUCUGGAUGGAUUGAAUGGGAGAGACGAGAGUUUGGUGUGAUGAAAUAUACGUGACUUCGAUUAUAUGAAAUUUCCAGGACCAAAGUUGGUUGAAAAUUGGGUUUUGUUGGUGUCGUGUUCUGCAACUGUUUGUGCGGUGUCGUUAUUGUAUAUAAGCAAUUAUAUUGACCCAAACAAAAGAUGGUUGAAAUUUGAGUUUUCUUGAUGCCCUAGGCAAAUUAGUAUUUAUUAAGGGAAUAAUUGUCUUUGUCUAAUUAAUGGAGUGAUUUUUCAGUAUGAUCGGAAUACGAGGUGAUACAUCACAUGUUAUUGUACAAAUAGUGAGAUAUGUGUGUUAAAAAUUUAAAAAGUUAAAAUAUUAAAAAAUUUCACUAUUUUAUAUAAAAACAGUUAGUGUACUACUCGUGUUCCGGUAACAAUGAAAAUUUUCUCCGAUUGAUGGGUCAAUUCUUGCCAAAAUAGGGUGGAGUUACUCGUGAGCAAGUCUUCUCUUACUCAAUUGCUACCAUCUCCACCCCAGUCCAAAAAGUCAGACAGUUCAUGGGCUCACAAUUGCCUGACAAGCCCAGGUGGCGAUUUUAGCCAAACUCUUAGCCCGAGUUUGAUUUGAUGCCAGCAUGAGUUCGGCCAUGUGCAAAAAAAAUUCUACGUCAGACGCGUGCAAUACAAUGCUCGUGGGUGGCCCGUCAUGAGACAAAAAAGUAUCGUGAGGCCUGCGUUGCAAGUUAUCUAAAACGUGAUAGAAUCUGGGCUGUUGGAUUUCCAACUGUCCUCAUUACUUCAGCCAUUUUUUUUGUUUAAACAAAAAAAAAAAAGAAAAAAAAAAGAAAGUGACCAUUUUGUCCACAUGGCACAAUUUGGCACAUUGUCUUGAAAAUUAAAUGAAUCUAACAGUCCAUAUUAACUUGGUUAAAAAAAUAAAAAUUGAGAAAAAGUACAAGACAAGAAUUUUAAUGUAAUUUGGGAUAAUAAUACGUGGCGUGACAAAAUUGAUAUAUUUUUUUUAAAAUAAUGUUAAUGUUUAAUUUGGUUCGAAAAUAAUUUAAAAAAAAACAGAAAAUGGAAAAAAAUAUUGAAAUAUUGCCUAUAAAUAUCCAAAAGGCUACAAACAAAAAAAAGAAGAGAGAGAGAUAGCAAAUGGAGGGAGAGAUGAUCAAUUUCUUGAAGGUAUGGUUCACAGUCUAUCUGUGUCUAUGUCACUGCUAAUCUGCUGUGCCACUGCUAUGGCACUGCCAAGUUAGUCUCCAAAGGGUGCAAAAGCGCGGUGAAAUGUUACGACCCAAUUCUAAGAGCAAUUUAAGAGCUCUUGAGCACCAUUUCUUUACUAGAGAAAUGCUCUCCUACGCACAUGAUUGUGCGCAUGAGUUGCACAUAACCUAUCCCCACUAUAUUGACAGUAUAAUGAUAGUACAAUUAAUGAUGAUAUAGUAUCCAUAUAAAGAUACGAUGUCAAUACACUAUCAAUACGGGUUGCAGCCCACACCCACAACCCGCGUGCACUGGAGAGAAUUUUUGUUCUUUACAAAUCAGUUUUAAGAAGCUAGUUUUACCCAGAUGCUCUAUAAAGGUGGGAAGCAUGAAAGGUCUUUGGAUGGAGUGAGUAGAUUGGAAGAGACAAGUAAAACAUAUGACAACUUUAUAUACGUGGAAUAUGUAUAUUAACAAAAGAAUAUAUUUGUCGGAUUUCUAUAUCUACAUUAUCUUCGUUGCAGGUUCAUGAAUCUGAUAUAAGAACUUAUCAUGUCCCAAAGUGAGAACCUGGAUGCGAAGAACCGCACGUUUACUGACUUUUCCGAUCCAUCUCUGAGAAAUUCCAAGUCCUUGGCAAGGUUGUUCGGCAUACCUUCAGGGGCAUCAAGCAAAGGUAAUGCAACUGAACCCUCAGUCUCUAGGUUUUUGAUCCACCCGCGUAACAAGUAAUUCACAACCUGCAGGACAAUGACAAUUAGUCUUCUAAGAACACAAAACAAGAAAGGAAAUCAUCAAACGGGAAAUCCAAAAAUCCAAUCGAAAGUGCUCCAACGAAAGGCGGAUAGUGAAUAUGGUUUAUGUACAUUUUUCUUCGUAGAAAAAUCCAACCAAUCGACUUUUGCUGAAUCUCUCAGAACUUCGAUGAAUGAAAUAUCUACUUAUCUAAAAAGAGUUACUCUUGAUGUAUAAGAAACUUAUUAACAAAAUCACAAAUAAUAUACAAGAUUUACUUUCCUAUUUUACUGAUCUAAACACACAAACUUUUAAUAUGUAUCCAAAUUAAAACAUAUAUAACAGCGAUAAUAUAUGCCAACUUUUCCUGCAAUAGCAAGUAUUCAAUGCACGAAAAAGGAUAUUUCGGUGCUAAUUAGUUAACUGCUUACCUCCGGAACUUCAUCAUGAGGGCAGUGACCAGCGGGACUGAUCUCGUAAUAUGGAGCUUCAGGCACCUGUUGCUUCACCUGAAGGCCCCAAAUAGGUUUCACCCAUGGAUCUUCUUUUCCAUACAUAAGACAGAUUGGUAUGUUGUUCAUUUGACAUCUAUGGAAAAAAAAAUGUACUGGUGCCUCUCAAUUAACUUGCACCAGAAAAACGAAAGCACAUACAAAAUUGUCUUUAUGCAUAUAAGUCAUAACCCUUGUAUUGUCUACCUGGCCAAAGCCUCCUUAAAGGAUAAUCUUCCUUGAGGAGCAAGCAUAAUCGAGGCCAAUGAUGCAGCAGCGGCUGGAUGCUCUGACGUCUCAAGUAUACGGGAAAAUACUUUGUCAAUGUUUGUUGAAUGAUCUGCAUAAACUUGUUUGAGUACCUCUGCAAUACUCUGAGGAUCACUUAUUUUUUGCCAACUGAAACCAAUGAAGCAAAUUAGAGCAGUUUAUGUACUAACUUACGACCUGAAUCAUAAAACAUAUCCCCAAGAAUUUUGCCAGCUUUAAAAACUUACAGUAUUUCUGUGAUCUUUCUCACACUGGCAGGUAAAGGAAAUGAUCCUGCAGACGGGAAUAUUUUUGCUAGUCUUGGAGAUCUUACGGGAUUAGGUAAAAAUCCCCAGAAAGGAGUUGCAUUCAGCAAGGUAACACCUUUCACCAAAUGAGGGUUACAUGCAGCAAAAUACAAAGCAACAAAUCCUCCUAGCGAGUUCCCCGCAAUAUAGACAGGUUCACCGAUUACCUGCAAAGAAGAAUGGUUGCAUUUAUAUUGCUCAUGAGUAACAACAGUCCGGGAAGUGAUGAAGAAAGCUACUUCUCAUAUAGAAGAGAAAAAAAAAACUAAAAUUAGAUGUUAUUUCGCCGCAAAAAAGUAGAAGUCAUACAAACUCAAGCAAAGGAGCCAUGUAAGAUGCUCAAAUUAGCACAAACAACGAUGGAAAGAGAAGAAAGGAAAUAGACCAAGUCAUCAAAAAUGCUUCCCAAACUUUAACAAACAGAGGUGCCAUGAGCUAUAGUGUACCUCUUCUAUGAAGUAACGAACUUGAUCCUGCCAUAAGUCAAUAGAGUAGACAAGCUCGCUUGCCCAUGGUUCGGGUUUUUCUCCAAAACCCCACGCUAAAUCUUGGCCGUCGGACAUACCUUCUUCGCUCUUACGAGGGGCAGGGUCCUCAAAAGGCAAUGACCUACCCUGCCCGAGGAAAUCAAUUGCCCACACUCUAAAAUCACGCCCCAAAUCUUUCAGUUGCUUCUCGUAGUGAAAAGAGCCAACCCCAAAACCAGGAAGAAACAGCACCGGAGGGGAUCCCAAGUUCUCACAUCCGGCUUUCUCGUAAUGCACAUUGAACUUGGGCUUCCAUUCCCAAAAACAACUACUCACUGGGGCACCAAAUUCGCCUUUGGAUUCAUCCGGUAGACCAGGAAUCAAAACCUUAGUAACGGAUUCCGCCGUUUCUGAAACAUUUGCAUCCUCAUCCGCGCCAAUUACAUAGCCAUUCGAGCUUCCACUUGAUAAAACCGGACCAACAUGCUUGAAGUUUUCACUGGUGUUCAAUGACCUAAAACCUCCCCGGUAUCUUAGUUGCUUCAAGAAAGACCGAUCUAAACUGUAACACCUCAAAAGCUCGCUUCUGGGAUCAAAUUGAACACCACUAACUCCUUUUUUACUAACAUCUGGGAGCCCGAAUCGACGUAAAUUUGAGCUUUUCUCUACUAAUUUUCCCCUUAAAUUUACAGCAUCACAGCACGGUGCAGAACUGUAUGAGAGUGUUUCCAUAUCCACUAAAUAUAUUCUGCAAACAUGAACCAAAUCUGAUAUGAACAGAAUUUCUAAUCAAUUUAUCAAUCAUUAACUUGCAAAUUAACACCUAAAAACAGUAUAAGAUAAAUAACUUAAUAGAAAUUCUUCUUCUUUUUCUCUGUUGGGUUACCUUUAAAUUCAGCAGAGAAGUGUCAUAACAGUUGCGAUGGCUUUCGUGGGAUGCUCAGUCAUUCUUCUCCAAGUAUUUAGGAGAUUCUGGCAGAAUCUAGAGAGAGAGAGAGAGAGGGAGUUGCUUAAACGCUUCUUCUUCCUUUCGAGACAAGGAAAAAGAAAGUGACUUACAAAAAUUGUGUUGAAUAAUUGUCCGUUAAACAACAAAACCCCACACCCCUCUGCCGACCUAAAAACACUAGAGAAGUUUAGUACCUUGUGAUGAAAUUACUUGUACAUUUGUUUUAUAACCUUCUCCUAAACACGAAGCGUUCAACUAGUUAGUAACUUAAUUUGAAGCGAAUCAUGUAUUUGUGCUUGUUCCAUAGCAUUUUUCCAUGUUUCAAAUCAAAAAGUGUUUUAAUAUCUGAUUGUGACAAAAUAAUUGACAAAUCAAAUGUUGUUGAAAACACAAUGAAAUGUUCACGAUAAUAAUCGAAUAGCUCAAUGAUUUCUAAUUAAGAUUAUUUUUUUAAAAGUGAUUUUGAAUGAGGAUCUAAAACAAAGGACGGUCAAAUUAUGAAAAGAAAUAUUAUAAAGUGCUCACAAAAGCAUAAUUAACUUUAUAUUAAAUUGCUAACUGAUUAACGUUGAAGCGCUUUUAUCUUCUUAGUAAACUGGUUAGCGGUCCAACAAAGAAAAACAAGAUUGGAUUUUACAAAAAGGUUUGGGUAGAAAAAGCAGAAAAAAAAAACAAAGGAAGGAAUAAGAAAGAGUAAAUUGUAGCAAUAGUCACUUAACUUUAACUUAAUUGGAGCAAUGAUUAUUUAAGGAAAAAUUCAUUACCAUUAGUCACUCAACUCAUCAAAACGUGCAACUAUGGUCCCUCAACUAAAAAUUCAUUACAAUUGGUCCCUCAACUAAAAAUUCAUUACAAUUGGUCCUUCAACUUUAAUCCAACUGGAGAAAUUGUCUCUCAACUUUAACCCAAUUUGGGCAAUAAUCCCUCAACUUUAACCCAAUUCGAGCAAUGAUCUCUCAACUUUAACUCAAUUGUAGCAAUAAUCCUUCCAACAUAACUCGUUUUGACAAAAUUCCGAAAUUGACGAAAAUUACCAUAGCUACACGUUUUGAUGAGUUGAGAGACCUCAAUUGUAGCAAUGGUCUUUCCAUUAUAACUCAUUUUGACAGAACUUUGACGAAAUUGAUGAAAGGGACCAUAACUAUACAUUUUGAUGAGUUGAGUGACCAAUGGUAAUAGAUUUUUAAUUGAGGGAUCAUUGCUCUAAUUUGAUUAAAGUUGAAGGAUAAUUGCUACAAUUUAUUCAAUAAAAAAACCGAGAAAAAGACAAGUGUAUAGAAGACAGUAACAUCAAUAUCAUUGGUUCAACCAGAUUCUUCAAAAGCUAUGUUCCUCUGCAACUGAAAUAGAUUCCAAUACCUACAAUCGGAUUCCAAGCGCCAAUCAAUCAUGUUUCAGUGGGUCCAAUCGCUUUGCAAAAUCGAAGGGCAUCAUACGCUGCCGGUUCGGGUACAGUGCUAACACGUAUUCUGGGUCGCAGCAGAGUGCGCCUAAGCGAGCUAUUUCUUUACGCAAAUGGAUAUAUUAUUUCCUCUUCUUUGUAUUGCUUGACACGUUUAAUGCACCUAAGUUUGAAAAAGACCUAUUUGUUGAUUUCUCACUCGAAUCGAACUUGUGAGGUGUGAUAAUUUCUUUCUGAAUUAAUUUUAGCCAAUUACCUCUAGACUUUCAUAAUUAGCCAAAAUCAUUCAUGCGUUAGAUUUUUUUCAUUUUUAUUUGAUAUUUUAUUCAUUUUGGUCAUGUGAUAUUCAUGUGAGAAAAUUAUAAACACAAAAACGUCAUUUUACACAAAAAUUAACCUAUAUCUUCCUUCACUCACUUUGACUAGCUCAGCUCAACUCGCCACAACAACCUCCUUUGACGCAACACAUGACAGAUGAUAUCUCCUGAUUUCUUGGAAUUGUUUCCUGUUUCAUCAAGAUUUCCUAUAUCAUUAAAACAUUCCUUUUAUGUAUUCAUUGACAAUUCACCUUCUGGAUUAUCGAGGGAUUGAGCCAGUUUAGCUUCUCUUACCUUUGCUAUAUUUCCUGCAUUUGCUGCUGUGCAUUAUCUUUUAACACAAGCUAACGAAGACACAAACGUAAACCCUAAAAGAAAAAUAUUCUCGAAUCCACCAGAAUUAGGAGAAAACCAAAAGGUUUAUUUGACUAAUUCUUGAAUCCCCAUUACAAUAAAAGCCAAAAGGCUCCAAUAGACUUAACUCAGCCCUGGAAAGUUCAUGGGUAUUUGGGGAAGUGAAAUGACAUAAAUCAAACAGAAAACCAGAAGUUUGAUUUUAUUACAAACAUUAAACGUUGUUUAGGAGGCUGAAAACCAUCAUUUUUUGCGUUAAACAUGAUGAGGUCAUGGUAACUAUGAGUCUUGUUCUUCUUGCAAUUCUCCUUAAAACAACGUAUUACACGUCCAAUUUUGAUUCCAGAAGAUUUCUUACUGCAUUUUCUAUAGUCAUCGAUUGAAUUCAAUAUUUCUCUGCUUUAUUUCUUCUAUUCUAGAAUUUGAAACAUUUUUUUCUCAUCUUUCUUCGAUGAAAUUGACCUAUCUCUUAUCUUACAUUAGACUUCUCCACUUGAAAGAAACUCAACUGCGAAUUCGUCUUUAAAUUGACUCUGACAUUAGGAAUCACAAAGCUAGAUAAUCACAUAUAAUCUUUAACAUGAGGAGCACAAACUUCUUCAAACAUGGAUGGUAUAACCAUGUAUUCGGUUCCAUAAAUAAAAUUUGAAUAAGUAGUUGACUCAUCUUGUCGUCCGGGUUCACAUGCUUGGUAGUUCCUCGUGUUUGAUAAUGGCUUAUCUUCAAUCGCGACAUCACUUUGUAUUGGGGACUCGAUUCAUGUGCUUGGUAGUUCAUCGUGUUUGAUAAUGGUUAGGUAUAUUCAUGUGCAAGGUUUUAUGUCUAGUUAGAUGACCAUUAUAAUAAAUAAACAUAAAAUCAUGUACAUGAAUCUUAACAUAUUUUGGCAUGAAAACCAUUCACAAUGCAGGUAUAAGGCCACAUGGCUGAAUCAGAGGUAUUGAGAACUCAGAGGUAUUCAUAAUUAAUGUCUAGUUAUUUAUAUGACAAUCAUUCAACUGUAACAGACUACUCAAGCAAAGUAUGAUCGUAAGUUAGCAAGUCAACACUAAACUACAAUAAUGUUUUCCUGUUUUUGACUGGAAGUCUAAUUAAACAAACACUCUAUAAGAAAAGAGAGAGAGCUUACUUAAGCUUGGAGAAUUGCUUACUUGAAUAUGUACACUUGCUCUUUAAUUAAUAUAAUAUGGAUUACAAAAAUAUGGAAGGUUACAGAGAUGAAAGUUUACAAAGUAUGGAAGAAAGCUUUGAAUACUUGCUCAGUGUGAGGGUUGAGGAGUUUACGUUUUUCUCGUGUGUUUUUUGUGAAUGAAGGAAAGCCUUAGUUUAUACAGAUACGAGAUUGCAAGAUUACAAAUAACUUUUCAAAUAGUUACAAGAGUACAAUUAUUUACAGAGAAUUUUUUUUUUCAAAGAAAAACUUAUGGAAAAUAUUUGGAAAUUUUAAAUUUUAACCAUAAUGACAAAAAUAUAUUAUAAAUAAAUAGUAAACCAGCAAUAUUUCGUUAAAACUUUAUUUUUUUUCAUGGUUGUCACUAUUUCUUCUUGAAGUAUUCAGACUGUUUCUAUUGGAAUAAGUCAAUAUUUAGAAGAAAAAAAAUGUAAAUAUCUUGUAAUUAUUAGAGUCAUGUUUUAGGAAGGAUAUUGUGUCAUUUACUUUGUUUCCUUUUGUAACAAGGAUUGUAUGUACUAUUUAUUCAGAAUAUGCAAUACAUGAAAAUUAAGUCGUAAAAUUCUAUUUGGCAUCAGAGCCAAGCUGCCGUAACCCUAGAAACUGUAAAACUUUUUCCAUCCGUUGUUGUGUUGGUCGAAUUGGUUCCUGCGCAGUUGUUGCAGAAAUCAAUUCAGGCCGUGUAUUCUUGUAUUGCAGGCUGUGAUCCUGCUGCUGCUUCAAAGUACAAACUGUGCCGUGCUUUCGUGCUACUGGUGUCGUGAGGAACGAAGGAGAACAACUGUUGUGCACUGCAAUUUUUUUGUUUCUUUUUUUUCCGCUGCAUACCUAUAGGAAGAGACAACUGUUGUGUCGUGUGUCGUGCACAAUUGCAAGUGUGCUUUUAUUGUUGCUUUCUAAGUUGCUGCAUGAAAAUAAAAAAAAGGGAUUGUCUUUCUUGUUUAUGACGUGUGUUGGUCCUAACGAAGGGAAAAUAAGGGAUUGAAAGUGUAAUUUUGUUUUUCAAGUGCUGCUCUCUGUGUCUCUUGCAACGUGUGGUUCCGUAAUUUGUUUGGUACUAUAAUUACCAUGUAUCGGUGUCUCGUGAGUUAUUACAAUGGUGAAUAUAGGUUGGAUUUUGGAUUCCGGUGUAACCGAUCAUAUGACUUUUGAUAAGAAUUUAUUUACUAGUAUGACAACCAGUUCACGGAAGUGUAUUGCAACUGCUAAUGGAACAACAACACUAGUUUUGGGGGCCGGCACUGUGAACCUCACGCCAGCCCUUCCCCCUCAUCACUGCCUACUUGUUCCCUCGUUGUCUCAUAAUUUGCUAUCUAUUCCUCAAAUUACUGAGCAAUUAGAUUGUGUUGUACUUAUGUAUCCAAUGUUUUGUUUGCUUCAGGAUAUUCAGACCAAUGAGAUAAUUGGGCGUGGCACUAAGAGAGAGGGGUUAUAUUAUGUGGAUGACGUCGUUCCUGGCAGAGCUAAUGCAGUUCGAGCAUCCCGUACCAAUAAUUUACAGGAAGUUUGGUUAUUGCAUCGUCGGUUAGGACAUGCUUCGUUUGGUUAUUUGAAGCGUAUGUUGCCUAAUUUAUUUCAUGAAAUAAAAGAAUCAGACUUACAUUGUGAGGUAUGUAUUCUCGCGAAGAGUCAUCGCGUUUCGUUUCCUCCUAGUAUGAAUAAAAGAUUAUUUCCUUUUGAACUUGUGCACUCUGAUGUUUGGGGUCCCUCUCCUGUUAGUACUUUGUCUGGAAUUAAAUGGUUUGUUACCUUCGUUGAUGACUGCACUCGUAUGACUUGGAUUUAUGUGAUGAAGAAUAAAAGUGAUGUGGGUAUGGUGUUUCGAUCAUUCGCUCAAAUGGUUGCAACACAAUAUUCCUCUGUUAUUAAGGUUCUCCGCUCUGAUAAUGGAGGUGAGUAUAUUGGUUCCGAGUUGUCCGGCUUUCUUCGGGAUCAAGGAAUUCUACAUGAGACUACUUGUCCUUAUACCCCACAACAAAAUGGGGUUGCUGAAAGAAAGAACCGUCAUAUCCUAGAAACUGCUCGUGCCUUGCUCAUUGGUGCAUCUGUACCUAAACGGUUCUGGCUUGAAGCUGUCACCUAUGCCGUGUAUGUGAUUAACCGUAUGCCAUCCCGGGUUGUGGAUUUUCGUACACCUCUCCAAGUAUUGACAGAGUUUGUUCCAGUAGUGUCAACUAAUACUCUUUCUUCUCAUGUAUUUGGGUGUGUAGCCUAUGUUCACAUUCACAAGAUUCAUCGUAGUAAGCUCGAUCCAUGUGCUCACCGGUGUGUUUUUCUGGGAUUUGCUCCUCAACAGAAAGGGUAUAAGUGAUACCACCCUGAAACUCGUCAUAUGUAUGUAACUAUGGAUGUUACCUUUUCCGAAUCCGAGUUCUUUUAUGCUUCGACUCCAUCACCUUCCGAUCACCCGGGGGAGAAUAUGAGUGGUGAUCUUGGGUGGUUGGAAAUAUGUAGCUCAUGGGGAGUAUUUAUUGACAAAACAAGUUGUGAAAGCUCGGCAAGACACUGCCGAGAAUGGAGACAGUGAAUCUCGGCAAGACACUGCCGAGAAUGUGAGUAUCAUUCAGCCAAGUAGCACUGAACCAGUUGAGUCUUCUCGGCAAUGUGCUGCUGAGUGUGAUGCAGAGUGUCAACAGGGAGUUGCCGAACCAGUUUCACCGCUCCAGCAACCAUUAGAUACCGAACCCGCAACCCCCCUCUCUCUCAAGCUCAAUAGUGCCACCCAAUAUGUCUUCUCUGAAUAUUCCUGAGGUAAGUACUACUGAUGCUCAUGUAACUAAUCCAGAUAAUGUUAUGAGUACAUAUAAGUUGCCGCCAAGGCAAAAUCGUGGUGUUCCUCCUGACAGGUUUUCUCCAGAAGGAAAAGUGAAGUAUCCAGUAGCUAAUUACGUGUCAUGCUCAAACCUUGCACCAGAACGUCAAGCCUGGGUAAACAAUGUGGAAGCAAUCCAAACACCAACCCGAGUUGAGGAGGCCUUGAAGGAUCCUAAAUGGGCUGCUGCGAUGGAUAAGGAAAUGAUGGCAUUACAUAAGAAUAAUACAUGGGAGGUAACUGAGCUACCUAAAGGGAAGAAACCAGUUGGGUGUAGAUGGGUCUUUACGAUCAAAUACAAGGCAGACGGAUCGGUAGACAGGUAUAAAGCAAAGUUAGUAGCAAAAGGCUAUACUUAAACUUAUGGUGUUGAUUAUCAGGAGACUUUUUCUCCAGUAGCGAAGAUGAAUACAGUACGAGUUCUGAUUUCUUUAGCUGCAAACUUGAAUUGGCCACUAAAACAGUUUGAUGUGAAAAAUGAUUUUCUUCAUGGGCACUUGGAAGAAGAGGUAUAUAUGGAUUUUCCUCCAGGGUACAAUGCCAGAGGGAAAACCGGAGUAUGUAGGUUGCGAAAGUCACUCUACGGACUUAAGCAAUCGCCUCGUGCGUGGUUUGGUAGAUUUACCCAAGUUAUGAGGCGGAUUGGGUAUUAUCAAAGUCACUCGGAUCAUACAUUAUUUGUGAAACGGGAAAGUGGUAAAGUGACAGCUUUAAUUAUUUAUGUGGAUGACAUGAUAAUAACAGGUGAUGAUUCGGAAGAGAUGAUGAAGCUAGAACAAAACCUUGCCGCCGAGUUCGAGAUGAAGAAUUUGGGAGAUUUGAAAUAUUUUCUUGGCGUGGAAGUUGCUCGGUCAUCUAGAGGUAUUUUCUUGUCUCAACGUAAAUAUGUUCUGGAUUUAUUAAAGGAAACAGGAAUGUUGGGAUGUAAGCCUGUGGACACUCCUAUCGUAGAGAAACAUUAUUUGGGUAUUUAUCCAGAUCAGGAACCGGUUGACAGAGGUAGAUAUCAAAGACUAGUGGGGAGGCUGAUUUAUCUUUCUUACACUCGUCCAAAUAUUGUCUAUGCUGUAAGUGUGGUUAGUCAGUUUAUGCAGUCACUAAGUGUGGAUCAUAUGGCGGCAGUAAUGAGAAUCUUGGCAUAUUUGAAGUCUGCCCCUGGUAAAGGAAUUUUGUACGAAUGUCAUGGACAUAUGAGGAUUGAGGGAUUUACUGAUGCUAAUUGGGCAGGUGAUGUGACUGAUAGACGGUCUACAUCUGGGUAUUUUACUUUUGUUGGAGGUAAUUUGGUUACGUGGCGAAGCAAGAAGUAGAAUGUGGUAUCACGGUCUUCUGCCGAAACCAAGUAUAGGGGUAUGGCACAUGGUGUGUGUGAGAUUCUUUGGCUACGAAAGUUACUUUGGAGUCUUGGUUUUAAGUAGAAUGAGGCAAUGAAGUUGUAUUGUGAUAAUAAGUCCGCCAGGGAAAUAGCCGAGAAUCCAGUACAGCAUGACAGGACUAAGCAUGUUGAGGUUGAUAGACAUUUUAUCAAAGAAAAGCUGGAGAAAAAGAUUGUGUCAAUACCGUUUGUGAAUUCAGAAGAACAACUUGCAGAUAUCCUAACCCAUGCCGUGUGUAGUAGAAGAUUUGGUAAUUCACUUGUCAAGUUGGGCAUGAGUAAUAUCUAUGCUUCAACUUGAGGGAGAGUAUUGGAAUAAGUCAAUAUUUAGAAGAAAAUGAAUGUAAAUAUCUUGUAAUUAUUAGAGUCAUGUUUUUGGAGGGAUAUUGUGUCAUUUACUUUGUUUUCUUUUGUAACAAGGAUUGUAUGUACUAUUUAUUCAGAAUAUGCAAUACAUGAAAAUUAAGCCGGAAAAUUCUAUUGUUUCUGCAUGAUGCGAUGAGUUUUUCAUUAAUUUUUCCCAAAAGAAUUGAAAAAUGAAAAGUUGACCUGGUGAGUUAGUUAGGGAGAGAAGAGAUCCAUUCUUCUUCUUCGUGAAGACCAUAAGCAGCAAAGAGACGAAGUCUCUGUUCUCCUCUCCUCCUCCAAGAUCUUAUUUUCUUUAUAUUUCUCAAAAUACAAGCCCAAAUUUGAUGCCGUUUUCAACCACGAGAUCCAUGAAACGAGCUCUAAAUAUCAAGGUAUUUUUUUUGUUUGUUUGUUUGUUUUUGUUUUGGUCCGUUUUAGAAAUAUCCUCAAUUCAGAGUUUUAAUCUAAUUGAGAUAAUUUUGUAGCUUGAAGUGUUGUUUGAGUUGCUUAUGAGCUCGGGAAGCUAAUUUGACGAAUUGGGGACUCGAUUGAUACUUUUGGGUAAGUUUCUAAUCCGUUAUGUACAAUUCCAAUGAGGAAUUGUUCUUUUAGUUGGAGAUUUUUACCAAUUGAGUUAAAAAUUCGAAAUUAAUUUUUAGUUAGUUACUUGAUAGUGAAUUUGGAAUUUAUGUAAUGGGUAGUUUUUUGCAUGAAGAACAAGUAAAAAAUCUGGAAAAAAUGUCCCUGCUGCUGCUGUACUGUUUUCUGCAGUGCACAGAGCCAUUUUAUAAAUUUGAAUUUACUUUUGCGGCAGUUUGAUGAUUUUCUAAAAAUAGAGGGUUCCAACUGUAGUUGGUAGAAAGUGCAGUGGUAAUUUAUAAAUUUAAGCAAACUUAUUGGGCAACAUGCUUGCUAUACAGCAAGAGACCAUGAACAUGCUUACUCGAGGGUACUUGGGAAAUUGGGAAUACAAUGCUACGGCGAUUGAGCGUUGUAUUUUUGGGAUCGUCUUGGGGCGUGACGACGAGCAUUGCUCUCUUCUCUGUUAUUUACUUUGUCACAUCCUUGGUUAUUCUAAUGUUGUCCAAAUAGCUCAAGAAAGUUUCCCCCAGUAAUGAAUACACCACCACUUGUUUUCAACCAACAUUUUUCUUCUGAAAUAAUGAAGUGCAAUAAUUUUUUCUCCUUUCUGGUAGAUAAAUCAAGUACAUUUUAUGCCUUUUUUCAAAAUAAAAAAUGAAAAAUCUCGGGCUUGGUUGACGAAAUUGUCCGAAUUAAAGGUUAAAUUGCUAGUUAGGUUAAGCAAUAUAUGGCAUAUACUACAAUUCUACAAAGCAACAAGUUGACAGCUUUCUUUCUCUAUACAUUUAUGUCUUUCUGUAUCUCAUUUGACUUACUCCCCUUCCCUCUUUCUAUCUCUCAUUUCCUCAGAAACAUAAACUGCAACCAUGCCUUUGAGAAGAGCCUUUGAAUCUGCUUCUGUAAGCCUGCUGCUUAACAAGUUGGCCAAUCAAGAUGUAAUUGAUUUUUUCCUCAAGUGGAAACUGGACAGCUCGCUCUUAACAAAGCUCAAGACAAAUUUGCACAUAAUUCAUGCAGUUCUCAAUCAUGCUGAGGAGAAGCAAGUCAAAGACUUAUAUGUCAAAGCUUGGAUUGAAGAGGUCAGGGUUGCAGCCUAUGAUGCUGAGGACAUUGUGGAUGAGCUUGCUAACGAUGCGCUUGAAUCGCAAUACAAUAAUCAGGCAUUGAACUAUGUCUGUGACUCUUUGAAUGCAAAUGAAACAGUCAAGGAAAGCCUGGACUUUAAGAUGAAAGACGUUGGUAAUGCUCUGAAUCCAUUUAAGGAACGUGUAGAGCCAAAGUUGGAAAAGAUCAUAAAAAGAUUAGAUGAAAUUGCAAAGCAAAAAGAUAUUCUUCGUUUGAGAGAAGAUGCUGGAGGGAUGUCGUCUGGGAUUGAUAGAUUGCCAACAACUCCAAUGGUUAAUGAAUCUCAUGUUUAUGGCAGAGAGUUUGAUAAGGAGGAAAUAGUCAAGUUGCUGGAUUUGGGUAAGGAAAAUGAUGAUGGGAUUUCCAUAGUUCCAAUUGUAGGCAUGGGAGGCAUGGGAAAGACAACACUAGCUCAAAUUGUGUAUAAUGAUGAGGUCGUGGGUCGGCAUUUUAACUUGAAAGCUUGGACCUGUGUGUCUGAUGUAUUUAAUGUCUGCAGGAUAAUUAAAACACUUGUUGAGUCGGCGACCAAGAGUACUUCAAGCACAAACAAUCUGGAAUUACUUCAAGAAAAUCUGAAAAAAUUGUUGGACAAGAAGAAAUUUUUGGUCGUUUUGGAUGACGUCUGGAUUGAUGUCCGGAAUGAUCAAAUUGAUGCCCGGAAUGAUCAAAGUUGGGAUGCAUUAAUGAUACCUUUCAAGGUUGGCGCUCCAGGGAGUAGAAUUAUAAUAACAACACGCUCUGAAAGUGUUGCAUCAACUGUGGGUGUGAGCACUGUUGUACCUUACAAUUUGAAGGCAUUGUCGGAAAAUGAUUGCCAGUCAUUAUUUGAACAAAUUGUGUUUAAUAACAGAAGUUUAGAUGCCUAUGGAAACUUCAAAGUGAUUGGCAAGAAAAUUGUAGAGAAGUGUAAAGGGUUGCCUUUGGCUGUGAAGGCACUUGGGGGUCUUCUGCGUGCUGAACCUGAAAUGGAUGAGAAUUUCUGGAAUGAUAUCUUGAAAAGCAAGAUGUGGGAACUUCCGGACAACAACAUUCUACCAGUGCUAAGGUUAAGCUACCAUCACCUCCCUGGGAAUUUGAAGCGAUGCUUUGCUUAUUGCUCAAUGUUUCCUAAGGACUAUGAAUAUGAGAUAGAGAUGUUAGUCAUGCUAUGGAUGGCCGAGGGUUUUGUGGAGCCAGAUGGAAAUAAAAGAAUAGAAGAUGUAGCUGGAAGAUAUGUUUCGGAAUUACUAUCUAGGUCCUUCAUCCAACAUUACCUCAAUGACGCGAAACGAUUUGUGCAUGACCUCAUCCAUGAUCUAGCGCAAUCUGUUUCUGGAAAAACAUUUUUCAGGUUGGAGGAAAAUGCAGAGAGUAAUAGUGAGCUGCCCACAAAAACUCGUCACUUGUCAUACAUUCGCAAUCCUGAAGAUGUUUUUCAGAAAUUUGAGCCAUUCAGCAAAGUUGAGUGUUUGCGAACAUUUCUACCAUUACAUCCGUUGCAUGGGUUCAGUCUUAGCAGCAUAACUGACAAGGUUCCUCGUGAUAUGAUGCCAAAAAUGAGAUUCUUGCGGGUGUUAUCCUUUAGUGGUUAUCUCAUAGCUAAGUUGCCAGAUUCAAUUGGCAAUUUGAAAAGUCUUCGUUACCUUAAUCUAUCUCAUUGUGAAAUAGAAGAGCUACCUGAGUCAACAAGCAGCCUAUACAAUCUGCAGACGUUGAUAUUAUUUAGAUGUGUAUCCCUUACCACACUGCCUACAGAUAUGGGAAACCUUAAGAAUUUACGGCAUCUCAACCUUAUUGGAACUAACCUGAAAAGUAUGCCUCUGGGAAUGGGAAGAUUGACUAACCUUCAAAUGCUGUCAGAUUUUGUUGUGGGGAAAGCCACCGGAUCAGGGAUAGCUGAGUUCAAGGAUUUGUCACAUCUUCGAGGUUCCCUUUCCAUUUCUGGUUUGCAUGAGGUGGGCAGCAUUCGAGAUGCAAUUCAGGCCAAAUUGGAGGCAAAAAAUUAUCUUGAUGAGCUAGUUCUGGAUUGGAGCAGCAAUGGUGAUAGUUCACGAACUGAAAAAAUUGAGACGGAUGUACUCGAUGCACUACAGCCUCAUGAAAACCUGAAGAAACUCACCAUCAAGUACUAUGGUGGUACCGAAUUUCCAAGUUGGAUGAUUGAUCCUAUGUUCAGUAACAUGGUAUAUCUGCAUCUUUACGGUUGCACAAAGUGCACAUCUUUACCAUCCCUUGGCCAACUACCUUCUCUUAAAGACCUUGUAAUUGAAGGAAUGGAUGGAAUAAAUCAUGUUGGACUUGAAUUUUUUGGGGAUGGUGAUGAUUAUCGAAUUCCAUUUCCGUCGUUGGAGACUUUGAGAUUUGAGAACAUGAAAGAGUGGGAGGAAUGGUCAUCUAUAGAAGAUGGAAGACUCGAUGGAUUUCCAGGCCUUUGUGAGCUUUCCAUAUUCAGAUGUCCGAAGUUAAGAAAGUUCUCGCAUGGAUUUUCCUCCCUGAAAAAGUUGCGCAUCAAGAACUGUGCAGCUUUAACUACUUUUUCUCGUCUUUCUGGACUUGGAAACUUGGAACCUGCAGAAUUCCCAAGCCUUCGACAGCUUGUUCUUGUAGGUUGUAGUGAGCUUGAUGAACUUCCUGUUACGAUUCCUUCAUUGGAAUAUCUAGAGAUAGAUGGUUGUAAAAAUUUGGCUGCACUUCCAAGGCUAAUGGGCCUUAUUACAUUGUCUGUGUUAGAUGCUAGUGUUGAACUACUUGGAUGCAUGAUGGAACUAAGCUCACUAACCUCUCUGCACUUGAAUAAUGUUUCACAGGUCAAGUCUCUGCCUGAGGGCUUGGUGCAACAUUUCACAAAACUUGAAGAGUUGAGUAUUGAUAGCUUUCUCGAACUUGAAUUCUUGUCAAUUGAGAGAUUGGGACUGGCAGGUCUUGCAUCCCUUGGACGCUUGACCAUCUCCAAUUGUCCUAAUUUCAUUGCCUUGCCAGAUGAAGCGGAUAAGCUCCCGCCUGUGCUUAAAUAUUUGAGUUUGAAACAUUCUCCAAGCCUGGUGAAGUUUCCACAUGAGCUCUACAAACUGAAGUGUCUUACAGAGUUGAGAAUUGAAUGGUGUCCAACGCUUGAAUCAUUUCCAGAUACAGGGUUGCCGUCCAUGCUUAAGCGUCUUGUAAUCAGUGAUUGUGCUGGUUUGAAGAGCCUUCAGAAGGAGGUGAUGAGCAACAACAAUAGCCUUGAGUACUUGGAGAUACGUAAAUGUUCUUCUUUGACAUCAUUUCUUGAGGAAGGAAACUUGCCUCCCACCCUCAAACAUGUAAAAGUUUGCUAUUGCAGAAGCCUGCAAUCAUUGCCGGAGGGUUUGACGUGCAAAGACAACAUGACGCUUCAGUUUUUGGAGAUAGACAACUGUCCCUCUCUCAUGUCAUUCCCAAGGGGUGAGCUACCCAGAACACUUGAACGCCUUGAGAUCAGCGAUUGCUCUAAACUCUUGACCUUGCCAUCCAGCCUUCUCAACCUCCUGAAUCUGGAAAUCUUGCAAGUAACUGGAUGCCCCUUUCUUGAGAGUUUUCCGAAAGGCGGGUUGCCAGCAAACAUAAAAUCAGUUAUAAUUUCUGAAUGUGAGGAGCUCAAGUCCCUACCGGAGUUCAUUUACAAACUUAAACGUUUGCAAAAACUUGAGAUAUCUUGUUGUUCUAAUCUCAUCUCCUUGCCAAAGCAAGGUCUGCCCACCAGUUUAAGAUUACUCACAGUUACAGAUUGUGAAAAGCUCAAUCCCAUACAUGAAUGGAAGCUUCACAAACUCCACUCUCUUCAUGAUCUCACCGUCGGUGGAUUUCCUGGCCUUGUAUCCUUCUCAAACGAGUACCUUCUUCCCAACAAUAUAACAUCCCUCAUCAUCCAAAGACUCCCAGAUCUUGGAUCCAUAUCGGAGGUGCUUGAAAAUCUCUCCUCGCUUCACAAAUUGGUUAUCAGGGAGUGUGAUAAGCUCCAAUAUUUGCCAGUGAAGGGGCUGCCAGCAACGCUUUGUCACCUAUCAAUUCAUCGCUGCCCUCUUCUGCUGCAUCGGUGUGAACGAGACAAAGGAGAGGAUUGGUCCAAGAUUGAAAACAUCCCCUAUGUGCAUAUGAGUUAAUGGCAUUAAGAUAAUGAGAAACACAGAAGUUUUCUCAGGUAUGCUUCUCAUUUCCUGACAAAUUUACGUUCAUAUUUUAGCACUAUUUCCACACAAGUUCAUAUUAUCACCCCGCUUUGUAAAAAAUUGCAGCAGCACUACGACUGACGAAGGACGAGCAGCUUACAUUCGCUGCCCGUAGCUGUGACCUUGUUACAGCCAAGAUGUAAAUACAAAGCAUCUUCUUGCUCAAAGCACCUCCCGUCUCACAUUCAUUGAAUUCAGGUCAAGUACUGUUUGUUAUUUGGCUCCAAUUUUUUAAAUACGAACUCUACUUAGACUCAUUAAAUGUAAGAAGUCAUUCUUCUUUACAGUCUAUCACUAUUUGACAAACUUAUGAAAAACCUCAUGACGAGUACAAAAAGAAAAACUUCUACAAACGUUUCAAAACAUACUUUUCCUACUAGAAGGGAAGACUCAUUUGUCAUCACAGACUUUCUUAUGGUAUUUAGGAGCAUCGGAUAAUCUAGAUUGGGAUUAGCAUGGGUGUUGGCAUCAAAUCAGUAUUCUCAUUUGUAUUGAAAUCACUGUUAUAAAAAACGCACCCCAAGGCGCGUCUAGAGGGCUUUGGAUGCGGGGCGGGGGUGAGGUCUGCCCAAUGGGAGUAGGCGAAAACUCGCCUACAUGUUGUUGAGGCGCACCUUAGGGCGUUCUGAGGCGGUCGAAAUCCUUGAAAUUUUUUGGGACCCCUCGAAGUCAAAGGUUGGGCCCCUAGGCUUUGCACUUUUUUUCCCCCUUCAAUUGCAGCAGCAGCAUCUUUGAAGGUGAUUGCGAAAAAGGUUUUUUUUUAUUUUCAUUUUUUUUAAGACAUGGGCUAAAACAAUGUCGUUUUGGCCAAGUCUUUAAAUUUUUUUCUUUUUUGGAUAAUUUAGCCCAAAACGACGUCGUUUCGGCUCUAUACUUUAAAUAAUCCACAAGUCCUCUUUUUUUUUUGUAAUAUAAUCCACAACAGUCUCCCUUUUCUUUAUCCCUUUUCUUUAUAAACCAUAGCAGUGCCCUAUUUUUUAUAACUCAUAUAGGUCCCUAAUUAUCUAGGUCGCAGAAGGCUUCAUCUCAAGUCUCAAGGCUUUUGUCUAGGCGGGACUAUCCAUAAAACAUCUCAGCUGCGCCUUCGCCUUUUAAAACAUUGAUUGAAAUUGACAUCGGUAAUUAGCACCAAUUUUCUUUUUGGAAAACUCAUGAUGUGGUAUGAUACCAUCAUGAAUUCGACGACUCCAACAACAAUAUAGGAGAACAACAGUAUUAUUACUCAUUUCCAGAAGAGCGUCUGCGGCUGCCCCACCAAGCUCACUUAUCUGUCCAUCUCCAAUCUGCCGAGUCUUUGGACCAUCCGAGGCAAUUCAGUUUGAAUCUCCCGACUUGGACUCGACGACUCUACUCUUACUCUCGGCUGCAGAUCUCGUCCGAGCCUUGGAACCUUCGGACCAUCCUACCAGCCCAAAAUUCUUCUCCUCCAAAAAAUACGACGACCGUUUUGUCACAUUCCCUUUCAUUUUAUGACCACUAAUUCACAAGUCGACAGCAAAAAGAAUUUUAUUUACAAGUUCCACAAAUAAAGGAAAUCUAUAUCAGUUGCCAAACAACUUUCAGUUUUCAUUUUAUUUGUAAAUUAAAAACUGUUACCAAAGAAGUUUAAAACAGGCCAUUUUAUGGCCACAAAGUACGAGAAUAAACCCAAUUUAAAGGAAGAAACUGAAAGGGAAAUGUUGUUUAAACCUAAAUAAAGAUAAGUGUGUGAGAAGUUAAAAUGAGUGUGGAAAUUAGCUCCCGAGCUGAAAAAAACGAAUACACUGUGACACUGGCACAUAUAAAAAUAUAAAAUAUGCCAUGUGUAGUAUCUGAAGACCGGGAAUAAAACUGCACCAGUUAGUACUGUAGAUGUUUGACAUUUUAUCCUCCAACAAAAGUGCUGGAGUGUUUGACUUCUAAUCGAUCAUGUUCACAGAAUCCUAGGCAAAAAUCAGGUAACUAAAUCAUACUGCUUUCACAAAGAAUUCCACAGUUUUCUGCCUCGUCUUCUUGCUUUUCAUAUAUUCUGCAACAAAAGUCUGCUUUUUAUAUUCUGUUCUGUUCCAUCAUAUGUUAUUGCCCCACUUAAAGUUGUUCUCCUCACCACCUGUGGAAUCGAAUUUAUCAAUUACUUUCUACUUCUGGUUUCAGCUCAUGGUUGAUUUUAUGCUUAUAUGUUCAAAUAAGUUAACUGAAUAUUUUUCAGAGGGAUCAGCUGCUUGUAUAUAUUCUUGAAUUGUAUUUGAUUUGGAUGCAGCUAAAGGAGACUCUGCCGAAAUUUUGAUAAAUUCCUUUCGCUAAUGAAAUUUGUCUUGAAAGUUCAUCUCACUUCAAUUUUGAAUUCCGGAUCCGUACCUGCAGUCAAAACCUCAUACUUUUAAGUAAGAACUAAGUUUGGUUUAAUUAUGCUUCAAGUUAUUAUAAUUUGUAUACCAAUAAAAUGGGAAUUGGCCCAAUUGUUUAUUUUGCAGAUACAUAUUUCUUGUGUUGUUUAGCUUCAAGUAGUUCUUAUUUCAAGUAAUCAAAGAAAACAUGGAUGAUGGGGAGGUGGUUGCUUCAGACCAUGCUUUGCUUCCAAAUCCCAAUUGCUCUAGCAAUUUUCCUGGUUCAACUUCUGUAGAUACAUUUUUUGAUGAAAUUCUGAACACGCAGACAUGCACUCACACUCACACUUGCAACCCUCCUGGCCCUGAUGCUGCACAUACACAUACUUGCUACCACACACACACUCAAGUUCUUUCGUCCGAAGAUGACGAUGAUGAUAGCAAGAAUAAAGAGCGUUCCAUCCUGAAACCACGAAGAAGAAGGCCUCUGGGCAAUAGAGAAGCCGUUCGAAAGUACAGGGACAAAAAGAAGGCGCACGCAGCUUAUUUAGAAGAGGAAAUCAGGAAAUUGCAGGUGUUGAACCAGCAACUUGUUGGGAAAAUACAGGCACAGGCAACUCUUGAAGCUGAGUUUUUAAAGCUGAAAGGCCUUGUGCUGGAACUUAGACGAAUGAUUGAUAAUGAGUUGGGUGCUUUCCCCUUCCAAAAACAAUUGAACAGUAAUACUUAUUUCAAGGAAAGCCAGUGUAAUCUGCAGUCUAGUGUUGGGGCAAUGGGACUUCAUUGUCAAACCGAUUUACCAUGCUCCUGUCCACCUGUUGGGUCAUCCGUCCAGGCGGGUAUCGGUGCAAGGCAAAAAACGAUGGUGUCAUCAGGAAGAAAUUGUCAGCCUGCAGUAAUUGAUUGCCGAGCAAAUACAAAUGAGGCAUCAACACAAGCUGAGUAAUUUACUGAAGCAACUAUAGCAUGUAAGUUCCUUGUAUACCAGAGUAAAUAUCCGUAAACUAAAUAUGACGAUAAGAGCAUGUUUGCUUAUUAGGUAUGGAAUAUAAGGAUGGCCCGUAUAUAAAGAAAAUUGAGGUUCCACCAUAAAACCAAUUGACAAUAUAUAGAGUAGCCCAAUCUCAUUCAAGUCUAUGCAAGGCCCUUCCUCCUAUCAAUGUAGAACUCGUUUUCAACACGCCCCCUUACAUGUGGUGAAUUUUCGAGCCUAAUAUGUGGACAAAACAACGGGGUGACGGGAGCACAUGUGGCAGUUUGACUUCACACGUGGGACAACCUGCUCUGAUACCAUAAAGAAAGUUGAGGUUUCACCAUAAAACCGAUUGGCAAUAUGGGGAGUAGCCUAACCUCUUAUAAGUCUAUGCAAGGUCCCUCCUCUUAUCAAUGUGAGACUCAUUUUCAACAGAUGUCAUUCUCAUUCCUAACAUACUAUCCUUCAUUAUCUAAAAGAUUAGGAAUGAAAAUCUUGUGUGUGUCAUGUUGUAAAUAUGUGUUUGAUUCCCAAUUUCAACAAGAUAUCAUUAACAAGGGACCCGUAACAAGGGUUUUAUCCUAUACCAGAAUAAUUUCCCGAAAAUGUAAGUAAACGUGUCCUAUCAUAUUUUAGGGUGUAAUACAUUGUGUAGAAGACAUGUGAGUUUAUGUUCAUAAUAUUUGUUGUUUUGGUAUUUCUGAAUAACUCAAAUCAUGACUUCUCUUUGUUUCUUGAUGCAUGCUUAUAACAUUUUUGUGGAUGGAGUUUAAUUAGAAAUGAGAAGUCCUUUCUCAGACCGUAUAUUGGGACUUGAUUGUUGUUCUGCCACCAAUCUAUAUGAUGUUCGACAACAUGAUGAAGAUGCUAAGUUUUCUUUUCCUAGCUUCCUUUCUCUGUCAACUUUUCCCGACUGUGUUUUCAUCGUUUCAGUCUCUGGUCGUCUGAAUAUUUCAUUUUGCUUCCCUGGAAUUGUUAAACCUUUGAACUAUGAGCAGACCUCAUCUUAGAAAGCCAGGUUUUCACAAAAAAAGGGCGUUGAGGGUGCACACUAUUACCGUGUGUAGCGUAUAAAGCCCAUUGUCAAUUAUUUAAUCCAAAAAAGAAAGACGUUAUCAAAAUUGAUCUUAUGGUGUCCAUUCCGUAGAAAUAUUCUCUUGCAAUUAAAACAUGGUUUUAAUAAAUCAAUCAUCUAAUAAAUGCUUGCCAUGUAUUUAAAAAGUGCAACAUCGGUCGAAUAAAUGUUUGUUACAUAGUGUCUUCGGUUACAUGAGAGACUCUCUCUUUUUUGUUAAGAUUAAUCACAACCCUAUUAUAUAUAGUAUUGAUUUGCUCAGUUAAUAUUCUUUUUUUUAGCAUAAAAGACAUUUCACACUAAUCUACACUAAGGAGAAAUGUGAGGUUUGAAUCCAAAAUACAGUGGAUUGAACCAGAAGACCAUAACCACCAAGGGUAUCUACCAUUUGUUGAGUUGAUAUUUUUGUCAGUCAACCUUUGCACAUGAUUCUUCAUCUGUUUAUUAUUUUGUUCCUGUUCCGAUUUUUUUAAGGGAAUUUUAACGAAAAUCUCAUGGUAUUGUUUACUUUAUCAAAAAAACAUAUUUUUACACUAAAAAAUCAAUCAUGAUAUUACUCACUUUACCCUUUAUUUUAUUUUUUUCAUUAAAAUUUAAAAUUUUUAAGCUCUUUUCAUUAAUUUUCCUGUUUUUUUAAUUGACCUUCAAAUAUAUAUGAGGUGAAGGUUUGAGGAAUUUCAAAGAACGGGGUGGAUCAAAGAGGCUAAAUUGUGAAGUUCACUCUGACUUUGGGACUUGGUUAUAAUAUAACCAAGUAUUGAGUACAAUAGGGUGCGUUUGUUGCACCGGACUAACUCGGACUAUAUUAGCUUUAGGGACUAAGCUGGAUUAGCUUAUACUAGACUAAGCUGGAUUGAUUUAGUGAAGCGUUUGGUAGAAUGCCGGACUAAAAAAAAAAGAAUAGUUAACAACUAUAAUUUUAUAUCAUUAAAUACACAUUUAAUAAUAUUUUAUUUUUUAUUCAAGCUUUUUCUUUGUGUUUGUGUCUGGAACACUCUCCUCUCCCUGGGAGUUCAUUCUUUUCUUCCUCGUUAGUGCCGCUCGCCAACACUCAUUUUUUCUUGCAAAACAAAAGCCUUCAAAACGAUUUUUCCUGCAAAAUCGUCCCUAAAGCUACUCUCUCCUUCGUCUCUCCAUUUCUCUUUGUACCAAAGCUACUCUCUCCCUUUCUCUAUCCAUUUCUCGGGAAUAUUCUAGGAAAAUAAUUUUUUUUUUGGGAAUUUUUUGGGAAUUAUUGGGAAUAAGGAAGAAUUUUUAUAUGGGGAUUGUUGUUGUUUUUGUUUUGAUUUUUUUUUUAAAAAAAUUUGGUGUGGAGAUUUAGGCAGUGGGUGGGCUGGGUUUCAGAUCUAGGAAAGAGAGAAGCAGAUAGAUGGGCAAGGGAGAGAAAAGCAGAUGAAGCAGAGUAAGGGAGAGAAGCGGACGAAGAGAAGCAGAUGGAGUGAAGCAACGAAGGUCUUAGCAAUCCGAUGCCUUUCGAUGGGACUCGCUAAGACCGUCUAGCGACGUCCUUUGUCGAGGCGAGUCCCGGCUAGUCCCACUAAAGGUUAUCCUGCUGCGUAACAAACACGGUAUUGCUCUGAGUUUUAGUCCUGUCCAGUCCAAUCCUACUUAGUGAGGGCAAACAAACGCCCCCUUACCGAUUAACUAUCAGAUAUAAAAUAAUGAUAUCUAACAAUUAUAUCUGACCAUCAAUAAGCCACUCAGUAUUACGAUCUGGCGGUAUUCUUUUUCAUUUGUAAGUGAGAGGUUUUAGGUUCGAAUCUCGUAUAUGGCGAAUUCGAUACCAAAUUAGGUUACCCAUUAUGUGGCUAAACCCAUUGUCAAUGAUUUAAUCCAAAAAAGAAAGAUGUUAUCAAAAUUGAUCUUAUGGUGUCCGUAGAAAUAUUCUCUUGCAGUUAAGACAUGGUUUUAAUAAAAUCAAUCAUCUAAUAAAUGAUUGCCAUGUAUUUAAAAAGUGCAACAUCGGUCGAAUAAAUGUUUGUUACGUAGUGUCUUCGGUUACAAGAGAGACUCUCUCUUUUUUGUUAAGGUUAAUCACAACCCUAUUAUACAUAGUAUUGAUUUGCUCAGUUAAUAUUCUUUUUUUUAGCAUAAACGAUAUUUCACACUAAUCUACACUAAGGAGAAAUGUGAGGUUUGAAUCCAAAAUACAGUGGAUUGAACAAGAAGACCAUAACCACCAAGGGUAUCUACCAUUUGUUGAGUUGAUAUUUUUGUCAGUCAACCUUUGCACAUGAUUCUUCAUCUGUUUAUUAUUUUGUUCCUAUUCUGAUUUUUUUAAGGGAACUUUAACGAAAAACUCAUGGUACUGUUUACUUUAACAAAAACCCACAUUUUUACACUAAAAAGUCAAUCAUGGUACUAUUCACAAUUUUAAGUUCUUUUCAUUAGUUUUCCUGUUUUUUUAAUUGACCUUCAAAUAUAUGUGAGGUGAAGGUUUGAGGAAUUUUAAAGAACGGGGUGGAUCAAAGAGGCUAAAUUGUGAAGUUCACUCUGACUUUGGGACUUGGUUAUAAUAUAACCAAGUAUUGAGUACAAUUACCGAUUAACUGUCAGAUAUAAAAUAAUGAUAUCUAACAAUUAUAUCUGACCAUCAAUAAGCCAUUCAGUAUUAUGAUCUGGUGGUAUUCUUUUUCAUUUGUAAGUAAGAGGUUUUAGAUUCGAAUCUCGUAUAUGGCAAAUUCGAUACCAACUUAAGUUACCCAUUAUGUGGUUAAACCGAACUCCACAUUCGCUUAAUAUAAAAUAUAUCGUUGUACUAAAAAAAACAAUUAUAUUUGACCAUCAAUAGAUGAUCGUAUUAAGUACUUAACGUAAUGUACCCUAGUCAGUCCCGAGACUUUCAAUAGUUUCUAAUUUGGCUAAUUGUUUUCAAGUAGUUGUCUAGGGGUUCUAAUUCGAGGACAAUAUCUUAAGUACGUUAUAGUUAAUAAAUAAGAUCGUUUCACACUACUUUAUAGGCAGUUAGCGAAAUGCCCACACGCUUCAAUUGUUAAACAAUAUAAAAGUCUCAGAUUACGGAGUGACCCUCGAUCAAGGUAUAAAAUAUAGAUGAUAUCGAAAAUAUCAGUAGUCCAAAAACACAAAAAUUUUGAUGAAAAUAUCGGGAUAUUAUCGAUAUCGAUAAAAAUUGAAUAAAAACCACGGAAAUUGUAAGAAAAACUUGGAAAUUUUUAUUGAAACUUUGCAAGAUGUUUAUUUAAUCAAUUAUCUAUUAGUUUAUCACAAAAAAUUGGAAGAAAAUGCAUUGCAUGAUGGAUUUAACUGAUUUAAGUUGAUUAUAUAGCGAGCUAGCAAACAUUGUGAGUGUAUAAAAUAUGUAGUAAUUAAUGAAAGAAGUUUAAACACACCAUAAUCAUUUAUAUAUAAUGAAUUAAUACAAUAUUUUACACUUUAUACAUUGUAUGGUAAGAUACAUGUGUGACUUAGCAAGGUCUAAAAUAUCGAUGAUAUCGGAAAUAUCGGUAGUCCAAAAAAAUAUCGAUAGUCCAAAAACACGAAAAUUUCGAUGGAAAUAUCAGGAUAUUAUGGAUAUUUUAGACUAUAACAUGAGCAUACCACAAUCUCAACCCUAAGGCCAUCUUCAACCAAAGGCUGGCCAGAGGGCUCGUUUGAGUCCUCUGGCCCUCCAAGAUUCCCCAAAAUAUUAAUAUUUUAAUGAACAGUACAGGGCCAUAUUUGCCUCCGUCUCCAACCGAGGGCCAGAGGGCCAAAGGGCUCGUUUUAGCCCUGUCACAAAAAACCGUCUCCAACCGAGGGCCAAAGGGCCAUAGGGCCAAACAUAAUUUAUUAUUUAAAAACUACAAUUUAAUGUUGUAUAAAUGGCCUAGGAAGUUAUACGAAAAAAAUAGAAUUGAAAAAAAAUAUGAAACAAAUUUUGUGAAAUAGAAGUUAUAGGAAAAAAAAUAUGAAACAAAAUUUGAUUCAUAUGAAAAGGAAAAAAAGGGAAAAAAAGAAGUUUAAAUUCAUUAAAAAAAAAAAAGAAGUUUAAAUUCAUUAAAAAAAAAAAAAAAAAAAAAAAAAAAGAGGCCUAAUAAUCCAACGGCUACUAGCCGUUAUAUUAAAAAACAUUUCAAACUAUUAAUGUCGGUUAUAACCGACACUAAUAGUAGAACUAUUAAAAAAAAAAAAAACCUCUUCAAUGCUGUCGGUUUUAACCGACAGCAAUAGAAAACAUUAAAAAAAAAAUAAGCCAGCCCUCCAGCCCUCCAGCCCUCUCCGAUUCCGUGGGGCCCUCCCAGAUUCCAGAGCCCUCUGGCCUAGCCCUCGGUUGGAGACGGUUUUAGGGCUAUUUUCGGCCCUCUGGCCCUCUGGACCCUUCGGUUGGAGAUGGCCUAAUGGGCUAAGCAGAUCAGCGCAAUGAAGACGUCGAAAGCCCACAACAAUAAUUAGGCCCCAAGACAUCACUUGCCAGGAACUCUAUCAGAACACUUGGCUCACAAGCAAGACACCACUCCUCUCCCGAGAGGAGUGGCCAACUACCAUAUCUCAGCUCAACCAGUAGGGCACCCAAACAACCAGUGCAAGGCUCCUUAUAGUGUCCUUAUGGUCUCACUCUUCCCUACACAACUCCAUCUUAAAGACUACCUCCUACAUGUAUAGUUCAGGAUAAGGUAAAAGACCUUUGGAUGUCUCCUAGGCAUCCACCAAAGAAAAUAUUUCUCCACGGGCAGAGGACACCGCAUCCACACGUCGGCUUGCAUAGUAAACACUGUUGAACUUCUGCUAUAUAAAUAGCCACUCACUAAAUCUGGUAAUUGAGAACUCUCUAUGAACUUUUCAGUUUUGCCUAAACCUCUUAUCGUCUUAAGUAUCGAAGACUCUUUAGCAAACAUAGCACCGGUGUUAAUUAGUUGAUUUUUGGUGUUCUUUUUUUUUUGGGACAAUUUGGAUGCGGUCCCUAUCUAUCAAUAUUCUUUGAUUAAAACCUUGUUAGUUUUUAGUUUUUGAUUGAGGUCCCUGACAUUAAUAUAAUAAUAUAAGUUACUAUAUUUUUUUAAAUUAAAAAUUAAAAAUUGAAAUUUGUAAUUGUUUAAAUUAAUGAGAUUUUAAAUAAAACCCAUAACUUAUGGGAUUAAAAAUAAUAAAAUAUAAAUUAUACUCUCUAUUAUAUUGUGUGUGUGUGUAUACACAUAUGUAUGGGUACAUUAACCAAAAUUAACAAAAAAAGUUAUUGUACCAAAACAUGGAUACAUUCUCAAAUCAACGAAAAAGAAUGUACCCAUAUAAGUUUAAACAUGGAUUAAAAAAUUUGAAUGGAUUUUAUUUUAAAAAAAAGGUACAUUUUACAUAUAACAAAUUGAUAUAUUUGAGAAUGGGUACAUUUAAGAUUAAAAAAAUUGAAAAAUUAUAUGAAUGGGCACAUUUAAGAUUAAAAAAUUGAGAAUCUUUUUAUAUAUAAAAAAAAAAACUAAUAGGUACAAACUUAAUUUAAUUUAAUUUUUUUAUUAUUUUGGAAAUGUUUGAAUUGAAAAUUAAUAAGAAGUUUAAUAGAGGUGUGAGUAUUAAACCCUAAAUUAAUUACUAAUUUUUAUAUUAAAAAAUUAUAUAAUAAACAUGUAAAUUCAUUAUCACAUUAAUGCUAGGGACUUGAAUCAAAAUUUAAGAACUAAUAAGGUCUUAGUCAAUGAACAGUAAAAACUAGGGACCGGAUACUAAUUUUUUUUUUUUAUAUAUAUUUUUUCCGGUCAAUUCGCUUGGACAAAAAUUUCCGACCACACAGUCCUUUUGAAAGUGACCACAAACCUCAGUGUGUAAUUACCUCUUUGUGCAUGGCCUCUCUUCACGUGAAGCCAAAUCAGCUCUGCAACUGCUCAACAGUAGUGCAGAAAAUUAACAGUUGUGUAUGUGGACGUGCAUCGACCGCUCGAUCACUUGCAUACAACAGGUAUUCAAAUUUUUCUUGUCAAAUAAUGAUGGAGAGAAAAGGACAUCUUUAACAAGGGCCCAUUUUUGUCAGAUUUCCACUUUGAUUGGAGAGGGAAAGGAUGCAAGGACUCCACUCUUUAUCAGAUAUCUCCUGUCGAUACCACUUAUCAUUAAUACACAAUAUUAGGGUUCAACAUUUUAUCUGAUUGAAUAGUACAUUGUGAAUACUUUCUACAUUAUGUAUUGAUUAAUUAUUAACUACAUGAAAACUUAGAAGGAGGGACUUUUUCUUUAGAGAAUUCAGAUCAAUACCAACUAAAUUGUAUUUUUCAAGGAUAAACACUUAGUUUAAGGAAAAGCAUAGUAAGUUCAACAAAAUAUUUAGGGUAGAUAGAAGCUUUAUUGCAUGACAGACUAUUACUAAAUGAGAUUAUUUUCUCGAACGCAAGCUUAUUUCUUUUAAGAUUUUAAAAAAUUUGUUGGGUUCUUGGGUUAACUGUUAGGGUGCGUUUGUUUGGGCUCGUUAACCCUUAUUGAAUUGGACUAGACUAUACGUUAGUGUAGUCCCGUGUUUGUUACUUACAGGGACUAAGUUUAAUGGGAUAAAGCGGAACUCGUGUGGACUAUCUCCCUCACUAGAAGGUCUUAGCGAGACCCCUCGAAUACCAUGGGAUUGCUAAGACCUCGUCUGCUUGCUUCGCCAACAUCGCCUACACCCGCCAACCCAAAACCACGGAGAACCUAGAAUCCAUAAUCAAGUCAACUCAUUUCGAAUCGUGGAGAACCCAGAAUUGCCAACUUUUCAUCUGCUUGUUUCGAAUCGUGAAGAACCCAAAACCCAGAACUCAGAAUCACCAACUCUUCGUCCGUUCGUUUCAAAUUGCAGAGAGCCCAGAAUCUCCAACUCUUCGUCUUCCCGUUUUGAAUCUCGACGUACCCAAGAUCAAGUUGCGCUCUCUCUCCUCUCUGCUCUCUCUACUCUCGUCGUCGUUCGUUCACCUCCGAGCUCGCCUGGGUCCUCGCCGGUAGACAAAGAUAGAGAACUUGGCAGGUGGACAACCAUGGUCGACGCCCACUUCCAUCUGUAACCACAUCUUCAUCUUAGUCUUCUGCACAUCUGCACAAAUUCGAUGGAAUAAAAAAAAUUCCAGAUUCGGUGGAAGUGCAAAACCAAUCUUCGAAUCAUGAAACCCAGAUUCGAAUUGCUUAUUGCAAAUCCCAGAGAGAGAGCGUUAUGAAAAACUAACCUAUUUUCAAUAGAGGGAGAGAGUGUUCAUGUGAGAGCACCUCCAGCGGGGGAGGUUGCUCGGGGGCCAGUGGGUCAAACAGUAGCAAAUUGCUGGGGGGAUGACCUCCAGCGUAUGGAAGCCCCAGCGACAGGCGAGGCCCGAGGAGCAGGCCCGUCGAGGAUUGCCAGCCCGAGAGCCCGAGGGCUGCGUCAGGCGCGUGCGUUUCACGCGCGCGUGGGCGCGAGUCGUCCGACAAAAAAACAGGGCAGGGGCCCGCGAUUUCAGUUUUGAAAAGUUACCGUUGGGGAAGCCACGUGGCUUCCCCAUGUCCGUUUGAUUGAAACGGUCCUAUUUUAUGGGCCGUUGGAUUUCCAACGGUAAAAAACAUUUAAAAAUCUAAUUUAAUUUCAUCCGUUUGAUCUAAGAUCAACGGUCCACGUUAUUAGGCUUUGUAAAUUAAAAAAAAAAAAGAAAAAACAGUUUAAAAAUCUAAAAUGUUACCGUUGUGACACGUGGCACAAUCUGGAGUGUUGGAAUUUAAAUUUUUUUAAAUCCAACGGCAGAGAUUAAUUAGGUGAAUAAAAAUUAAAAAAAAAUGUAAAAAAAAUUCUUAAAAAUCCGAAAAAAAAUUAUGAAAAAUUAUAAAAAAAUUUUGAUUUCACUUCACCUAUAAAUACCUUCUCAUUAUCUUCUACCCUACACCACAAUUUCAUAUUUUUCUCAACUACUUUCAACCACAUUCCUAUCUUUCUUUCAAAGUUUCAAUCCAAUUUUUUUCCAACAAAAUGACUACUCAACCAGGUACGAAUUGGACGCUUCUUGAAGAUGUUGCGUUGUGUACUAGUUGGGUUCAAGUUACUCAUGAUUCGAUUACGGGUAAUGAGAUGCAGUUGCGAGAAAUGUGGAGUCUUAUUCAUACCAAUUAUCUUGAGAAAAUGGGUGGGCAAAGAACUAAGGAAUCGAUGUCCAGUCGUUGGAAAUUACUUAGUCAAUCGUUUAGUACGUGGAGAGACGCCUUGGCACAAGCUAGUGGUAAUCUUCGAAGUGGGGAAAAUUUAACGGAUCAGGUAACAAUAUAUUAUUUAUUUGUUAGCUACUUUCAUUAUAUUUAUUUGUUUGUAUUAUUUAUUUGUUACCUUCUUUCAUUAUAAUUAUUUGUUAGCUACUUUCAUUAUAUUUAUUUGUUUGUAUUAUUUUGUUACCUACUUUCAUUAUAAUUAUUUGUUAGCUACUUUCAUUAUAAUUAUUUGUUUGUAUUAUUUAUUUGUUACCUACUUUUCAUUAUAAUUAUUUGGUUGUAUUAUUUAUUUGUUACCUACUUUCAUUAUAAUUAUUUGUUAGCUACUUUCAUUAUAUUUAUUUGUUUGUAUUAUUUAUUUGUUACCUACUUUCAUUAUAAUUAUUUGUUAGCUACUUUCAUUUAUAAUUAUUUGUUUGUAUUAUUUUAUUGUUACAUACUUUCAUUAUAAUUAUUUAUUUGUUACCUAUUCUCAUUAUAAUUAUUUGUUUGUGUAGGAACUUCAAGCACAAGCUUGGUAUGGUGCCAAAACCAAAAGCAAAAACAAAACAUUCACCCGGUUUGAAUGUUGGAAUAUUGUCAAAGAUUGUCCUAAAUUUAGAGUUGUGAAUGUCGGUCCAGAAGUUUUCAUGAACAGCACCCCUCUACACUCUACACCUGAGCAUGCCUCGCAUGAUCAUGAUGAAGAUGAUGAAGAAGUGCCUGAAACGCCCCCCGUUGAACAAGCGUCGGGGUCGACCCGUUAUCCAAUUAGGCCUCAAGGUAAGAAGGCUUCAAAGAGAAAAGGUAAUGCUUCCAAGAAUGAUUAUGCAAAGUAUAUGGAAGAUCUUGCCCGCCAAGGUGAAUUGAAUUUGGCCCGGGAAAUGGCUAAAUUUGAGGCUGAUAAGGCUAGAGAGGAUGCAAAAGCUGCAGCUUUUGAGAGAAAAUUUGAAGCUGAUGAGAGAGAAAGAGAACUACUUCGGCAAGAAAGGGAACAUAGAAGAGAAGAAAGAAUGGCUGAACGAGAUCGUGACAUUAUGAAGGAGCCUUUAGAAGGGAAGUCUCCAGACUCUAAAUAUUUUUGGAAGUCAGAGAAAGCGGAUGUGUUGCGAAGGAGGCGUGCAAGAGAAGCGAGAGCAAGAGGAGAUGGUCCUAGCACCACAAGAGAAGAUUAUCCUAGCAUGACAAGAGAAGAUCAUCCUAGCACCACAAAUUGGUUAGGUGAUGGUUAUCAUCCAUUCAUGAACCCAUAAUUUUCAAUCAAUUCGGGUUGUAAUUUCUUAUUCGGGUUGUAAUUUCUUAUUCAUUGAAUAGAGUACUUUAUGUUGUUUCCAAUUUAUUGAACUUAGUACUUUAUUCAAAACACAUUUAAACACACCAAAUAAAAUAACAUCAACACACCAAAUAAACACACCAAAUAAAAACAAACACCAAAUAAAAUAAAAUUACAUUUCAACUCACUAAAUGAACUAAAAAAACACACCACAUAAAAUAAAAUAAACACACCAAAUAAAAACAAACACUAAUGAACUUAAGUAUCGUCAGCACCCCUCAAUUCCCACAGGUGCUCUAUCAAGUCAAGUUGGCGGGCAUUGUGCAUAUUUGACCUUUGAAGUGCAGUAUAUCGUUGGAUGAUCCUUUCAUUGUAACGUCCAUCCCUUUCUAAUGGCUCAUGUUGCACGGGCUCAUCGGUGGCGUCAUGAGCACAAUAUAUACGUGUUCUUGAAUUGUUCAUCGUGUCUGGCUCAUAUUCAUCAACGGCUUCAUAAUCGUACUCAUCUUCCACAAUCAUGUUGUGAAGAAUGAUGCACGUCAUCAUGAUGGAUCGAAGCGACUCUACAUCAAACAAUCUGGCAGCACCCCUGAUGAUCGCCCAGCGAGCUUGGAGGAUACCGAAACAACGCUCCACAUCCUUCCUGUACCCUUCUUGACAUCUUGCAAAGUGUUUUUCCUUUGCACUGCGCGGACGUGGCACUGUUUUGACAAAUGUUGACCACCUUGGGUAAAUGCCAUCAGCUAGGUAGUAUGGCCCGUCGUACAUACGUCCAUUGACCUCAUACGUGACUUUUGGUGCAUUUCCUUGCAGGACAUCGUUGAACACUGGGGAUUGGGCAAGGACGUUGAGGUCAUUUUGAGCUCCCGGAACCCCGAAAAAGGCGUGCCAAAUCCAUGUAUCAAAAGAUGCCACCGCCUCCAAAAUGAUACUUUUUGAUCAUUUUCUGUCCCCAUAAGCGCCUUGCCAUGCACUUGGACAGUUUUUCCAAGUCCAGUGCAUACAAUCAAUGCUUCCAAUCAUCCCUGGAAAACCUCGCAUCUCGCCUUUCUUCAGAAGCCUUUGCAAGUCCAUAUGAGUAGGUCUCCGGAGGUACUCUGCGGUGUAGAUAGAUUCGAUUGCCGAACAAAACCUCAUGAGGGACUCAAGAAUGGUUGAUUGUCCCAUCCUCGUUAUCUCGUCCACUUGGUCUGCAGCUGCUCCAUAUGCAAGCAUCCGCAAGGCAGCAGUAAUUUUUUGCUGAGGCAGGAGACCCAUAGCACCAAAAGCAUCCGGCUUUUGCACAAAGUAAGAAUCAUGGUUGCAAACAGCGCCCAUGAUUUUGUUGAACAAAUGUCGUUCCAUUCUAAAACGACGUCGGAAGUAUGUUUCAGGGAAUGCACUGUUACGGACAAAAUAAUCGUCCAAGAGCUCCUGACCUCGUCGUUGCCUGUUUCUAUCAAUGUUUACAGCACGGUUGGGCCUGCAGAUAUGAGCCACAGCUUGGACGACUCGACGGGAUUGUGAGGCUCCUGCCAUUCUUGAUUCGUCAUCUCUCCGUCUACGCUCGUCAUCCUCUUCCAUCUCAUUUUGGGCCCAAUCCCUAACAUUGAACAUUCCUUGUGAUUGGUUAAACAAUUCUUCCUCUUCUUGCUCGAUUUCCCACAUCAUCUUUGAAGAAGAAGAAGAAGACAUUGUAAAAAGGAAGCAGAAACUAUGAAUAAUGAUAGGGAUUUUGGUGAAGAAGGAAGCAAAAACUAUGAAUAAUGAUAGGGAUUUUGGCGAAGAAGGAAGCAGAAACUAUGAAUAAUGAUAGAGAUCUUGAGAAAAUUGGUGUGAGAUUUAUGAGGAUGGAUGGGGGAUUAUAUGGAGGAUUUAGAAGGGAUUAGGUUGUAGAUAAUGCCACGUGGCAUGCCGUCAUUCGUUAAAAAUCUGGUGGAAAUCUAUCCUCAAAGAUUGUAAUCGGAUUGUGACACGUGGCACGACGUGAUUGGUUAAAAAUCUUAUCAGAAAUCCAUCACCAAUAAUUGUCUUUUCAGAUAAUGACACGUGCCUUGACACAACGAUUAAAAAUCUUAUCGGAAAUCCAUCACCAAUAAUUUUCUUUGCGGAUAAUGACACGUGGCGCAACGAGAACGAUUAAAAAUCUUAUCCGAAAUAACAAAUAUAAUUAUUUUGAAUUAUUUUAUAAAUACAAAAUACAAAAAUUUUAUUGCUAUUGGCUUUUCGGAUAAUGACACGUGGUGCAACGAGAACGAUUAAAAAUCUUAUCCGAAAUUACAAAUAAAAUUAUUAUGUAUUAUUUUAUAAAUAAAAAAAUAUUAAUAUUUUAUUGCCAAUUGCCAGGGCUAUUCAGUGCAGGGGUGGAGAUGCAAAAGGCAAUUGACAGGGGAAUGCACUAUUCAUUAAGGGCAGUUACUGUUCACUAGGUGGAUUAAAUAGUGAAUUGCCUGGGGGGAGGGCUCCUACACUGGAGUUGCUCUGAUAGAGUUCUGAAAAACUGACAGAAAAGAGGGAAGAGUGUUCCAAAAAAAAAGGAACAGAAAAAAGAAAAAGAAAAAGAAAAUGGAAAAAAAAAUUAUUAUUCAAUUUGUUAGUCAAAUAUUGCACCAAACAUUUCACUAAGUUAGUCCAGCUUAGCCUAAUCCAAGCCAGUCCAGUUUAGUCCAUGAAGCUAGUCCAGUUCGAGAUAGUCCGAUACAACAAACGCACCCUUAUGGUUUUAGUAGGUAUUUUAGAGUUUAGGAAAUUAGAAUGUCCUGAGGAAGAGCCUAGUACGUAGAACUCAAGUUUUGGGCAGAGCCUAAAAUUCGUGAACUAAAUCAUGUGCCCUAAUUGAUAAACGUAGUGAUUUCUUUUGUUUUUUUUUUUUUUUAGUAUUAUGUUACGUAUGCAUGUUACCAUUCGGAAUGUAAUGACUUAAUAUGGUUUUGAUGGUUGAGUUGGAUAUUCUGUCUUUACAAACAAAUUAGUUCAACUAGUAUUAAACUAAAAAAUAUAGCAUUUAAUUUAGAUUUGAUAUGUAAACUAAACUCAAAACUAUUCGUGUAACCUCAAUCAUCAAUUCAAUUUGAUGAAAAGAACGUAUACCUUUUGAAAAUAACCACCAAACAGGAAAACAUUUUAUCAUAUAAUUUUAAACAAAAAAGUUGAUGAACAUAAUGUUUCCGGUAUCAAUGUAGUCUAGUAUCGUAGUGAGUUGAGUUUUUACCCAUACAUCCCGGAUUUAAAACUCCAUUCUUUCCUAAAUUAUUAUAAUUUCGAACUCUCUCCCCUAAUAAUAGUACUUUUUUUUAGUACAUCGACAUUUUUUCAUUAUGGGGAGGGGGAGUUCAGUUAAAUCACACAAUGAACAACCUAAUUUGAUAUCCAAUUCAUCAUCCACGAGAUUCGAACCUAAGACCCCUCACUUUUAAGUGAAGAGAAAUACCACCAGAUUGUAGUACCAAAUGACAAUAAUAGUACUAAAUUUAAAAUAAAAUAAAAAAUAAUAUUCCGGCGAACAUUAUGUAUCAUAUUAAGACGAUAAUAAAAUGAUCUAAUCAUUUUCCGUUUUGCUUAUUUUUUUUAAAGAGAUGAUUCUUAAAAAUAAAUCCUGCUAAAAAUGAUCUUACUCAAUAUUGUAGAGUUGCCCAUCAUUGUGGUCCACUCUUAGGAGGAGCCUUUCAUUUACAGCACCAAAUCUAAAGCCCCAUUUCAGCAUCGCGGGACUCCUUCCUUUGGUUUAGGUCGCGGCAACUUCCUUUUUUAAUGAUUUCUCUCUUUUUUCCCGAUCUUUCUAGUCAUGUCUUUGUAGGAGUUGGAUUGUAUGCCCUCCUCAUCCCAUAUAUUUUCCAUAUCUUCCUAUUUAUGUGGUCACGGUUAAGCCACGUCAACAUUUUAUAUUCUCAUUAUUUUUUGUCUUAUUAUUUCUAUAAAAAAAAUCAAUAUAAAAUAUUGACGUGAUUUAACCGUGACCACAUAAUAUAAGAGGGCAUGGAAAGGGUAUGGGAUAGGGAGGGCAAACAAUCCAAGUCCGUAUUUGUAUUGCUCUUCCUACGUCCCUGGUUAUCCGUUUGAGAAGUCACAUCUUUAUUUCUCAGCUUUUUUUUGUAAUUUUUUUAGCGAUCUUUGCCGUUUCCCGGUGAUUUAGAUUUGUUGAUUCUUUUCCGUGUAGCAGUUUUUUGUGGUGGAAUUUGGUUUGGAAUUUUUCCUUAUUGCGGGUUGAAUUGCUUUGCACUGCGAUACCUUCCUCAACGUAGAUUGGUUUUCAUAGAACGGCUACCAUUGUGGUCGAUGGUGAGAUGGUGAGAUGGUGACGGUAGCAAAUGUCAGCUUUUGCGGAUUAAGGAUUAGGAUUUCUUUUCUAUUUUCUGUCUUUUUGCUGAAUAGGCUUUGGCUAUCGCCACUUUAUUGAAUUAGUUUGAUGUAAUUGUAUUAGGCAUUUCUCAUUCAAUGAGUUUUCAUGUUUUUGACCCAAAAAAAAAAAAAGAGGAGCCAUUCAUAUUCAUUACUUAGUUAAGAGGCAAAGCCGCAAAGCCGCAAAGGUGCUUUUCUUGUUUUUCUUGGUUUUUACUUUUCGCUUUUUGGAUAAUUGAAAUCUUAUAUUGUAACUGCAUUUAAUUUUUAAUAGAAAAUAAAAACAAAAGGAUUAUCAAACAAUUCAUAAAAAAAAUUUAGUAUAAAGUAAAGUACCACCUAGUCACUCAGGUGCAUCCACGAAAGUGCUACAUCUCACUAUCUUCCUAGAUCUCGUUGAUAUGCGAAGGACCCAUAUGAAUCAUUCAUGCAACUAUUUCAUCCAUAAUAUCAUACAUAAUAUUGUAGCUUAGCGAUAACAACUAUUUGCCUCAUAAACCUCGAGUGAGACAUUUCAUGGACAACAGAAGGGGACAUUAACAUUGUCCCAUUCCUCUUGUUUUCUUAACUCUGUCCCCUUUCUGUAAUUUAACUUCAUCUUCCGACCUUUCCUUUUCAUCUUAUUUUAUUCCAUUAACAUUUCAAUUACCAUUUCUUAGAUGUUCUAAUAUCAUGAUAUACUAAAAGGUGGAUGAAAUAAAUUAAUUUCAAACUCAUCAUCUAUGAAAUUCAAUUCUAAGACAUCUCACUUACAAACAAGUUAAUUAUAGAUUAUGAAUACAGGGUUAAAAAGGUUAAUUUAUCUUUUUCUUUUCAUUCUUUCAGUAUAUUAUUUAAGGAAAAUUAAUGAAAACAUAUUCAAAACUUUACAUUUUAAUAAAAAACCAUCUAAUAAAUUUAUUUAAUGAUAAGCAUAAAAAGGAAAAAAAACAAAAAAUAUAAACAUGUGUGCCUAGCGCGUGUUAAGUUUCAUAAACAAUGUAGUACCGUUAAGUUUCAUAAAUAAUGUAGUACCGUUAAAUUUUAGAAACAGUAUAGUUUCAUAAACAAUGUAGUAAGUUUCAUAAACAGUAUAGUAAAUUUCAUAAACAAUGUAGUACCAUUAAGUUUCAAAAACAAUGUAGUACUAUUAAGUUUGAUAAACAAUGUAGUAAGUUUCAUAAACAGUGUAGUACCAUUAAGUUUUAUAAAUAGUGUAGCAAGUUUCAUAAACAGUAUGUGUGAUGACGCGCGGGUCUCGCGCAUCAGUUUUUUUUUUAAUAUUAAAAUUAUGUCUUUUUCAUUAAAAUUUAAGUUUUUUUGUCAUUUUUAUGAAAGUUUAAGGGUUUUUCAUUAAAAUUUAAGUUUUUUCAAUUAAAUAAAGUUAUAACAUGGUUUUUGGUUAAAAUAAAUUUAGUCCAAACCCUUUUCAUGAAAUUUUCCUAUUAUAUUUUUAUACUUUUACCACUCAAAACAGACCAAAAACAAAAACAAAAGCUUGUGGUAACACAACAAGGGGACCAUUAUUCAUAUAUGCAUAAUAUUAUAAAUGUUACAAGUAGUACUACUUUGAUUGAUUUUAUUUUCCUUGUUAAAAUUACUAUUUUAAUCUUUAAUAUUGUUAAAAUUUAUGGCACAAAAUGCAUUAAGAUAUUUGAUUGAGCUAGCGUUGCUCGAUCAAUGCUCAAUGCUCAAUGAAUAAUCAUUCAAUCCAGCCGGAAAUGACAAUUUUUUUUUUUUUUUUUUUGAGAAAUGCUAAGAAACUCCUUCAAAGUGGGAUUCUCUGUUAAGAAGUUUUCAAUGUGUUGGAAACACACUCAUUCCAACACACUCAUGUAUACCAUAACAAGUGUCAUAAUAUAAGUGGUUGAAAUUUUUUUUCUAAGUAUCCAACCACUUGUAUUAUGACACUUGGUGUUUCUCGGUACACUGACAAAUCUAUCCACACCAUACAUUAUUUGCCACAUUACAGUUUAAUGUUAAUUCUCUUACCAAUAUUACAAAAUAUUGUGCCAAAAACAUGAGGUGACGGGAAGUCUAUGGAGACUCCCAUAGUACAACUUACGUAUCCUUAGAAAGAACUGGCAACAAAAAGAGCGCCACUUGUCAAACAAAGCAUAAAUAAUUAUAUCAUCCUACAACAAAACAGAACAUGAAAGAAAGCGUUUUUAUCACAAAUGGUCCCUGAAAUUGACUAUACCAUCAAGAUGAUCUCUGAAAUUGAAAAUCAAUCAAUAUAGUCCCUGAAAAUGGGUGUCGCAAAUCAAUGUGGUCCUUCCAUCCCAAUUUCAUAAAAAAAUCAGUUAUGUGCUUAAGUGGCACAUAACUUGGUCCCACAAUCUAAUUACAUAUUGUCCAUGUGAAUUUAAAAAAUAAAAAAUGAUUUUUAUAUUGUAAAAUAAAAAACUUAGAAAAAAAAAUGAUAAAGUGGGCAACGGCAAUAGGGCUGUUGGCGCAGCUGCUGUCGGCUCGACUGGGGGUGGUGACUGGGCGACACUUUGCAGAGUUGUGUAAGGAAGAGUACCUAAGGGCGAGGAUGUAUUGUGGGUGAUGGUGGAGCUGGCAAUGCUGAUUGGGGCGGAUAUGCAAAAGGUGAUUGGGAGUGCGAUUGCAUUAAGAUUUUGAGUAAUAGGGCUUUGCCUAUCUAGUUUGGAGUCGUCAUAACAGCUUUGGAUUUUGGAAUUUACCCUUUGUGUUUUUGAAUCGUUUUUGUUGAUGCACAAAACCGGAGGGGUCUUGGAACAACGUAAAUCCGACCGUGAAUCUGCAAGAAAGUAAAGAACACAAGAUGUAUUGUGGUUCACCCCAAUGUUCGGGCUACGUCCACACUGAUAUUGUAUUUCUCUGUUUGUGAGAGGAUUGUGAGGUAGAGAGAGCUUUGUAUGUAAGGAUGAGAGUUCUGAAUAUGAGAGUGAGCCCCGCUAUUGUAAGGGUGAGGAGGCCCUUUUAUAAACUAAGGGCUCCUCCCCUUUUUACAUAUUUGCCAUUUCAUUUAUUACAUAAUUACAUUUGAGCCCCCCGAGUAUUUAUACGAGAUCUAAAUACAAAUGCCCUAAGUAUGGUACAAACAGUAGUCCCCCAAGUCUUCAGUCAAGAGAGUCUUUUGGCUGGAGACUUGAAAUUCAGUCCAUGUGUAGGCCGAAGUAACUAGAUGUCGUCUAUAACUGAUACUCGAUAUGAGGCGGUGCCCAAUCUAAAAUGAUGCUCAACUAGAAAUAGCACAUGUUGGGAGACUGCUCGGCUUGUGGCUUAUGUUGCCUUGGUUGGCUCGACUUGUGGCGUUGAAGGUGAGGGAGUCCCUUUUAUAGAAUAAGGGCUCGCUCCUCAAUACAUAAAUGAUGGGCUAGAGUUGAUGCUCGCGGCGAGGCGGUUGCUCAGUAGGGGGCGAUGCUCUCUAAUGAUGGUGAGGGAGUCCCUUUUAUAUAAUAAGGGCUCGCUCCUCAAUACAUGAAUAAUGGGUGCUCUCUAAUGAAAGUAAGGGAGUCAUUUUUAUAAAAUAAGGGUUCGCUCCUCAAUACAUAAAUAAUGGGCUAAGUCUCCCAAGUAUUUUUAUGAGGCCCAAUAUAUGGUACAUAGUGUAGUCCCCCAAGUCUUCAGUCAAUAGAGGUUGUUGGCUGGAGACUUCAAAUUUAAUCCAUGUAUAGGCCGAAGUGGCGGUUGUUCGGAGGUGGUAUUUGUAUACCCUGCACUGAAGCUUUGUAGGUGAAGUUUUUGCAAGUGAAGCUUUUGAAGCUGGAGCUCUAUAAAUGAAGCUUUCGAAGCUAAUUGACAUGAAUGAUGCUCAUGAAUGUUGACAUCAAUGAUGCUCAUGAAUGUUGACAUGAAUGAUGUUCAUGAAUGUUUAUGUAUGAUUGACAUGAGUGAUGCUCAUGAAUGUUUAUGUGUGAUUUGACAUGAGUGAUGUUCAUGUAUAAUUUUGGAGUACUAGACGUAUUUUUGAUCACCUGGUUGGUGAUAAUAGCGGCAGGCUGCCGAAUAAUUUUGGAGUAUUUGGCGUACUUUUGAUCACCUAGUUGGUGAUAAUAGCGGCAAGUUGCCGAAUAAUUUUGGAGUACUGGGUGUACUUUUGAUCACCUGGUUGGUGAUAAUAGCGGCAGGCUGCCGAAUAAUUUUGGUUGGUGAUAAUAGAGGGCCUGACUCUUUUAGGCAUACCGACCUUCGCCCUCCACAUAACAUUCCAGCCCAUUAUUUUGGGCUUGCCAUUUUUUUUUAUUACCCUCUGAUGGGGUUAUACAGAUGUCUCCGAAAGAUAAGAAAAAUAAAUCACAUCAUUCAAAAAUAAGAAAAGUAAAUCACAUCAUUCUAGGGGGGGUGUUUAUUCCUUACUUUUGCAGUGUCCCCAUGUGCUCUAGCAGAGGAAAGCCUAUCUUUUGCUUUCUGCUUUUUCUCGGUUUUUUCUACUUUGCUUUCGCUUUUAUUUCUGCUUUUUUAUUCUUUUCCUUUUCUCUUUUUGCUUUUGCUUUCUCUCUGUUCACUGCGCCUCUUACUUGCCGUAGCUCACUUCAUUGGUGCAGUGUAGUGGUGCACUGACAGCUGCCGCUUUGUUCUGUUCCGUGGCUUUUUCAGAAGGUGAUUUCACAUGGCUACCACCCCAUCAAUGAAGCUUCAAGCAGGUGGGUCCUCCACAGAACCUGAUCCAUCGGCGACAUAGUCCCAAGCUUCACACCUUUGUUCUGGAUCUUCACAAUGCUGAUGAAGCUCGAGAUUAAAAUCAUAGACAUGGUCCUUGCAAUCGUUUUUACAGUGGCUGGAUCCUUGCCCAUUUUUACCUGUGCCGUCUAGAGCCAUGACCACAGCUUACGGGGGCUUGGCGUGGAGGAGGACAAACGUAUCUUUGGUGACGUUCAAAACGACGCCGAGUUGAGCAUUGCUCUUGAAGGCCACACAAAGACAGGAAGUGUCAGCUUCGAGCACAGUCUUGAGGCCAUUGCAGCAAGUCUCUGCUAGGUGGGGAAUCUUCUAUGAGAGCUCAAGUGUCACCUUGGCAUUCAUGGUGGGACCCAGGAGCGUCAGGGAUGCCGUACUGUCUAGGAAUCAAAGGCCUUAAGAACCAAUUCCACCUGGGAUGCCAUACUGCCCAGGAAUCGAAGACGGUGGUGUCAUCCCCAUCCCAUCGCCGUGCGUAUUUGACCUACUUCUGGGUCCUUGACCCUGACCCGGCCCAUCUGACUUGCCCUUUUUUCCCAUCAAAAAUGGAGAUCUGAAAGUGAGACGCAGAGAGAGAGAAGAGAGAAAGAAAGCUUCGGCGAGCAAUCAGCAACUUCGCCACCUCGAAGCGGCUUGAGGAGACGGUGACGUGGAAGAUGGAGCGGCCGUCCUCGUUCCUGAGGGAGAAAGCUUCGGCGAGCUAUUUCUGGAUAUGCAGGAUCUUUCUUAUUGUCGUGAUGAAGUUUCUGGAAAUGAAGCGAGAUUUGCUGCGCUUCCAGGGUUGUGAGAGGAUAUAUUUUGGGUCGGUUUCUGUGUGCGACUGACUGAGAGAGGAGAAAGAGACUGUGACUUUUUUUUUGGAUUUCUUUUUGUUUAGGUUUCUGUGUAUGACUAACCGAGAGAGGAGAAAGAGAGAGAUUUGGUUUCUUGGGUUUUUGUGAUUUUGCAGAUUCACGGUGGAGGUGAAAAAAUGAAAGAGAACAGACAUAGCUUUUCAUGUCGUUUCCCACAGACGGCGCCAAAUGUUGAUGCACAAAACCGGAGAGGUCUUGGAACAACGUAAAUCAGAUCGUGAAUCUGCAAGAAAGUAAAGAACACAAGAUGUAUCGUGGUUCACCCUAAUGUUCAGGCUACAUCCACACUGAUUUUGUAUUUCUCUGUUUGUGAAAGGAUUAUGAGGGAGAUAGAGCUUUGUAUGUAAGGAUAAGAGCUCUGAAUAUAAGAGUGAGCCCCUAUAUUGUGAGGGUGAGGAGACCCUUUUAUAGACUAAGGGCUCAUCCCUUUUUUACUUGUUUGCCCCUUCAUUUAUUACAUAAUUACAUUUGAGUCGCCCGAGUAUUUAUACGAGAUCUAAAUACGGAGGCCCUAAGUAUGGUACAAACAGUUUUAAUCUUUGAAUUUUUCUGGGUUCAAAUGUCAAAUUUUGUUUUUUUUUUUUAGAACUGAAAAUUUUGGUUGUACAACGACGCUAAAAUCAUGGCGACGAUGUCGAUGAAGGUGAUGACCAGAAACUCGUUGUUGAGAAAAAUGGAGAUGGAGGGUUUGCAAAGCGGUUGGUGUAUUUGGCUACGGUGGAAGGGGAAGAAGUUGAGCAGAUAAAGUACAUAGUUUUUAAGUUACUUUUCUUUUCUCUUUUUUCUUAUUUAGUUACUUUUCUUUUCUCUUUUUUCUUUUUUAAGUUUUUAAUUAUAUAAAAAAUAUGUUUUUAAUUUUUAGAUAUUUUAAAUCCAAAUAGAUAAUAUUUAAUUUGUUUAUGGGACCCAGUUAUGUGCCAUAUCAGCACAUAACAAAAUUUUUAAUGGUAUUGUGAAGGAAAUACCACAUUGAUUUGCAACACUCAUUUUCAAGGACUACAUUGAUUGAUUUUCAAUUUUAGUGACCAUCUUAAUAAUAUAGGUCAAUUUCAAAUACCAUUUGUGAUAAAAACAUAAAAGGGUUUUGUUUAUACCAUAUUUAGGGCCUUCGUAUUUAGACCUCAUAUAAAUACUCAGGGGACUCAAAUGUAAUUAUGUAAUAAAGGAAGGGCCAAAUAUGUAAAAAGGGGAGGAGCCCUUAUUCUAUAAAAGGACCUCCUUACCCUCACAAACCCUAGGUCUCUCCUAUCUAGAGCAAAGCUCUCACUCUCUCCCUCACAAAUACUCUCAGAGAAAUACAAUCAGUGUGGACGUAACCCAAACCUUGGGGUGAACCACGAUACAUCUUGUGUUAUUUACAUAUCUUGCAGAUUCAUGGUCGGAUUUACGUUGUUCUAAGACCUCCGGUUUUGUGCAUCAACAUUUGGUGCCGUCUGUGGGAAACGACACGAAAAACUAUGUCGGUUCUCUUUCAUUUUUUCACCUCCAUCGUGAAUCUGCAAAAUAUGUAAAAAUCUGCAAAAACCCAACAACCCAAGCUUUCCCCCCCUCCCCCAAAAAAAAAAGAACCCAGAAAACAACAAAUCAAACACUAUUUCCAGUCAAUGUUUGGCAGCCGAGAAAACCAGUAAAAAAAAAAGCAGCUCAGAGAUACAGCUGGGUUGUGGGAUCUUCAACAUGUGGCGCGUUGUGCUGCUGCAACGAUUUGGGUCGUUCUGCCAAAAUGCUCAACCUGUUACUCGAAGCUCCUCGGCAGCUUAAUCCCACAAGGCGUUCAGAAGCUGGGUCUCUAUCCAAUCCUGCCAUGCUGCCUCAUUUUUAUUCAUUAGUCCACUUUUCUUUCGCUUUUACCUCCAAAUCUUCUUCUUCUUUCCCGAUUUGAACCUCCAAAUCGCGUCUCCGGGAUUCGGUUGUCUCUGCGAAUUAAAGAUUUCGUGCUUUUUUCGGAUUCAAAGUCAAGAGGAAUGAGCGUGACGAAGUCUCAGGUUUGGCAGCCCUGCAAGAAGAAGCGGUAGUUUCAGUAUAAGCAGCUACUGCAUGUGCCACGCCAUCAAGCCCCUCUUCUGCGGCAUGGGCAUCAACCCUAUUGUGCACGUGCUGGACGAAGACCCCAGAGGUAAGGAUUUGGAGAGGGUGUUGAUGAGGCUGCUGGGGACCUCCUCCGCCGAGUCUACCUCAAGCAUGAAGCGUCGGCUUACAGUUGGGCGGUUAACCAAGCCACCAUGGUUCAUUCUUCUUGUCACCAUGGCCUACAUUGCGAAGCUCUGUCCACCAGUCCUGGAGUUCAGAAUCAACUUGGACCGCAUCAUCAAAAUCUGUCCACCAUGGCCUACAUUUUCUCUUGGGUCGGAUCGACGAAGCUUGAUUUUGUGCAUCAGAAUCUGUUCUUCAAUCUCAUAUCCUUGGACGUAGCCUAUAUCACCGCCGCCAAGUCCUUCUGCAGAUUUUACGAUGCCUCGGCCAUGGCGGUGGAUACAGCUUUUUGAAACCCCGUCUCCUCCGUUUUACUCCCCUUCUUCCCAUUUCAGCCCGCAGCGCCACUUCUACCUUGCCGUCGACAGACACCAGUUCAAGAUGGAGACCUUAAUGGACUUAUUGGGCUGGCGGGUCGGCGUCCGGGGUUGCCUAUUGUGGUCUGCUGCAGCUCACGUGACGAGCUCGACACCAUUAGCUCUGCCGUCGCCAACGUCCCCUGUAUCUCUUUGGCUUCUCUGGACUACGCUUAUCUAUUUGAUAGAGAUGGUCAUGGCACAUAAGUUUUAUAUUCUCUAUUUGACGGAGAUGGUCAUGGCACGUGAUUAAAAUGGAGGGGCUGAAAGUGGAGGUGGAUGACGGUGGAGAAGGGGAUGCAAUUGUCACUUUGGCUGCAAUUAUUACCACGGAAAUAUCAGUUGUCAAGCAUUUGUCACGUUAGAGAAAAACAAAAGAAAGCAAGUGGGUGGUACAUGCAGGAAAUGGAAAAGAGAAAGAAAAGCAAAAGAAGAAAGCAGAAAGAAAAACAAUCAAGUGAGCUGCGGCACAAAAGCAAAAGAUAGAGACGCAAUAGAGAGAAAAGAAGAAAAGCAAAAGAUCUUCGUAUUAUUAUGAUUCCUUCUGUUUGCCAUAUGAAGAGACAGAGAGUGUAGCAGAAAAACACAAGCAAAAGCAAGGAAUAAACACCUCACCAGAAUGAUGUGGUUUACUUUCCUUAUUUUUUAAUGAUGUAAUUUAUUUUUCGUAUCUUUCGGAGAUAUCUGUAUAAACCUCAUCAGAGGGUAAAAAUAAAAAAUAAAAAAAAAGGGCAAAGCCCAAAAUAAAUGGGCUGGAAUGUUGUGUGGAGAGCGAAGGCCCAUAAGCCUAAAAUAGCACCAACCAGGUCAUCAGAAGUACGCCCAGUACUCCACAAUUAUUCGGCAACCUGCCGCUAUCACCACCAACCAGAUGAUCAAAAGUACGCCCAGUACUCCACAAUUAUUCGGCAACCUGCCGCUAUUACCACCAACCAGGUGAUGAAAUGUACAACUCGUACUCUAAAAUCUCGUCUCUGGGAUUCGGCUGUCUCUACGAAUUAAAGGUUUCGUGCUUUUUUCGGAUUCAAAGUAAGGAGGAAUGAGCGUGACGAAGUUUCAGGUUUGGCAGCCUUGCAAGAAGAAGCGGUAGUUUCAGUAUAAGCAGCUGCUGCAUGUGCCACGCCAUCAAGCCCCUUUUCUGCAGCAUGGGCAUCAACCCUAUUGUGCACGUGCUGGACGAAGACCCCAGAGGUAAGGACUUGGAGAGGGUGUUGAUGAGGCUGCUGGGGACCUCAUCCGCCGAGUCUGCCUCAAGUAUGAAGCGUCGGCUUACAGUUAGGCGGUUAACCAAGCCAUCAUGGUUCAUUCUUCUUGGCACCAUGGCCUACAUUGCGAAGCUCUGUCCACCAGUCCUGGAGUUCAGAAUCAACUUGGACCGCAUCAUCAGAAUCUGUCCACAACCCGCCGCUAUCACCAUCAACCAAAUCAUCAGAAGUACGCCCAGUACUCCAUAAUUAUUCGGCAACCCGCCGCUAUCACCACCAACCAGAUGAUCAAAAGUACGCCCAGUACUCCACAAUUAUUCGGCAACCUACCGCUAUUAGCACAAACCAGGUGAUCUAAAGUACGUCCAGUACUCCAAAAUUAUUCGGCAACCCACCGCUAUUACCACCAACCAGGUGAUGAAGUGUACAACCCGUACUCUAAAUAUCAUUUGGCAACUAGCCAUUCAUGCCACCAACCAGGUGAUGAAAUGCACAACCCGUACUCUAAUAUCAUUUGGCAACUAGCCGUUCAUGCCACCAACCAGGUGAUGAAAUGUACAACCCGUACUCUCCUUCAUGCCACCAACCAGGUGAUCAAAAGUACGACCAGUACUCCAAAUUAUACAUGAGCAUUACUCAUGUCAUUCAUACAUAAACAUUCAUGAGCAUCACUCAUGAUCAUCAUUCAUGUCAACAUUCAUGAGCAUCACUCAUGUCAACAUUCAUGAGCAUCACUCAUGACAACAUCCAUGAGCAUCACUCAUGUCAAUCAGCUUCAAAAGCUUCAUUUACAGAGCUACAGCUUCAAAAGUGUCAUUUAUAGAGCUCUAGCUUCAAAGCUUCACUUGCAAAGCUUCACCUACAAAGCUUCAAUGCAGGGUAUACAAAUACCGUCUUCGAACAACCGCCACUUCAGCCCAUACAUGGAUUCAAUUUGAAGUCUUCAGCCAACAGACUCUAUUGACCGAAGACUUGGGGGACUACAUUAUGUACCAUAUAUUGGGCCUUAACUAGGCUUCAUGAAAAUACUUGAGGGACUUAACUCAUUAUCUAUGUAUUGAGGAGCGAACCCUUAUUCUAUAAAAGGGACUCCCUCACUUUUAUUAGAGAGCACCCAUUAUUCAUGUACUGAGGAGCGAUCCCUUAUUUUAUAAAAGGGACUCCCUCACCUUCAUUAGAGAGCAACCGCCUCGCCGCGAGCAUCACUCCUAACCCAUCACUUAUGUAUUAAGGAGCGAGCCCCUACUCUAUAAAAGGGACUCCCUCACCAUCAUUAGAAAGCAUCGCCGCCAGCUGAGCAACCGCCUCGCCGCAAGCAUCACUCCUAACCCAUCACUUAUGUAUUGAGGAGCGAACCUUUACUCUAUAAAAUAGACUCCCUCACCAUCAUUAGAGAGCAUCGCCGCCUACUGAGCAACCGCCUCGCCGCGAGCAUCAACUCUAGCCCAUCAUUCAUGUAUUGAGGAUCGAGUCCUUAUUCUAUAAAAAGGACUCCCUCACCUUCAAACGUCACAAGCCGAGCCAACCAAGGCAACAUAAGCCACCAGCCUCGCAGCCUCGCAGCAUGUGCUACUUCUAGUUGAGCAUCAUUUCAGAUUGAGCACCGCCUCAUAUCGAACAUCAGUUCAAGACAACAUCUAGUUACUUCGGCCCACACAUGGACUGAAUUUCAAAUCUCCAGCCAAAAGACUCUCUUGACUGAAGACUUGGGGGACUACUGUUUAUACCAUAUUUAGGGCCUUCGUAUUUAGACCUCAUAUAAAUACUCGGGGGACUCAAAUGUAAUUAUGUAAUAAAGGAAUGGCCAAAUAUGUAAAAAGAUGAGGAGCCCUUAUUCUAUAAAAGGGCCUCCUCACCCUCACAAACCCUAGGUCUCUCCUAUCUAAAGCAAAGCUCUCACACUCUCUCCCUCACAAAUACUCUCAAAGAAAUACAAUCAGUGUGGACGUAGCCCAAACCUUGGGGUGAACCACGAUAUAUCUUGUGUUAUUUACAUUUCUUGCAGAUUCACGAUCGAAUUUACGUUGUUCCAAGACCUCCGGUUUUUUGCAUCAACAGGUUUCAACCCAAAAAGAAAAAUACUCCUCGUAGGCCCAACAAAUAGAGGCCCAAUAAUGGCUAGUAGAGAAAACAUAGAAGAUUAGGGGAUGGAUGACCUGUCACAAGUUCCGCAGCUGCCCGAAAAGCAAAGGCAACCAACAACCCACACCACCAAUUUCGCACCACAAAAACAAGGGUAGGUACGGUUUUAAGGUAAAAUCAAAACCGAAAUUUACUUGUUUUCGUUUUAUAGUGUGAACCGAAAUGAAACCAAACAAUUUGGUUUUUUUUUCUGGAUUAAGCCCAUUUAUAUGCAAAGUUAUAUCUUUUUUCUUCUUUUUUCACAGCACAGUUUUCAAAUCCAAUAGUCUUGCGCAAGUGUUGCCAUGAUGAUUAGGUUUUCUUUUUCAAUUCACUAUGUUUCUAGUUCAAACAUGUCCCUUCUUUUUUAAGUGAUUUAGAGUAAAAAAGUGUCUUUUAUUCGAUAAAUCUAAUAGUCUUGUGUUGAAAAUCAACAAUUUUAGUUGAAACAAACACAUAACAUAUUUCUUACUUCUUAUGGUUUUACAAAGGCGAAUAUUUUUAACCUAAUAAACAAUCAUCACAGGCGGCUCAGUAUUUGGGGAUGAAUUACAAGUUUGUAUUCUAUACAACACGUCCUGAGUUCGAUGGUGGUCAGGAAAUGUUGAAAUGCUUCUAUGAGUCUUCCAAGUCCAACCCCCCCCCCCCCAAAAAAAAAAUAGACUAUCAUGAUGAAGCUACAAGCUAUUUUCCUUUUGAGUAAAAAAAAAAAAAAAAAAAAAAAAAAAAACCUUAAUAAAUCUAACAAUUUGAAGCACAUAAAAAUCCAAUAGUGCAUCCACCGUUCUAAUUUUUAAGCGUAGUAAACAAAUGAAUAAACUCGGAUUUCAAGGGGUGGAAGAAAUUGAGAUAGCUUGUGAAAGCCUCCUUUGCAUUGCAGUUUAAAAAUUCGAAUCAUGCUUUUUACUUCUAAAGCUUCAGCCAAAUAUCAAUCUAACAAAAAUUCAAUCAUUCUAUUUUUUUUUCUUUUCUGAACAAAGCUUGAAUUACAGCGAUGAUCCUUUACGAAUCUUUACAGACAUACAAUCACAAUACAUAUACCUUGUAAUGGAAUGAAAAAAUUGUGAAAACCAAAUAUACACUUAUGAUUAUACUGAAGUCCAAAUUCAAUGACUAACUGACUGUCAUGUUUGCUUUGCGGAAAAUAUGCAUGAAUUAUGUUUUUGAAAAUGAGAAAUUAGGUUCACAUCCUAUUUUUUACUACUUCAUUGAUUAAAAUCCUAUUCAUUUUCAAUUUUUGAUCAAGGUCCUUGGUAUUAAUAACAUCAUUAAUUAUUUGAAUAAUAAAAUAUUUUUAUUUUUAAAUAUAUUCCUUUAGUGUUAAAAAUGUUACAAUUAGUAUAUUUAUAUUUAUAGCUAAAUUUUUUUAUCAUAUAUUUUUAUUUUUAGUGUUAAAAUAUUUUCUUUUCAUUUUUAAUUUGUACUCAUAUAUUAGUUCCUUUUUGUGCCCAUAUUUUUAAAGUUUUUUUUUGUGUUUUUACCCAUGUGUAUACCGUCAUGUGACAUUGUAUAUUUAAUCAAUGAUAGAAAAAUUACAUAUGGUAUAUUUAUGUUUUAUGCCUAAACUAUGUAUCAUAUAUUUAUAUUUUUAGUUUGUACCCACUUUUAAUUUGCAACAUUUUUUUAAAUUUGUAGUAUUUUCUUUUUAGUUUUAUUUUGUACCCUAAUUUAUUUAUAAUGCAACCAUUCUUCUUUAUUAAUGUACCACUUUAUUAUAUGUGAAAUAUACCAAUUUUUUUGUAAAAUGUACCAAUUUUUUUUAACACUGAAUACAUUCUUCUGCCAUUUAAUAUUUCUUAUUUUUACAUAGUUUGUAAGAUCUCAUAUCGCCCAGGGGAGUGAUCCUUAUAUGUAUAUUCUCAUCUCUACCUAGCACGAGGCCUUUUGGGAGCUAACUGGCUUCGGGUUUUGUAGGAACUCGGAAGUUAAGCGAGUAACGUGCGAGAGCAAUCACAUGAUGGGUGAUCCACUGGGAAGUUCUUGUGUGAGUUUCCAGGAACAAAACCGUGAGGGCGUGGUUGGGGCCUAAAGCGGACAAUAUCGUGCUAUGGUGGAGUUGAGUUCGGGAUGUGGUCAGGAUCCGGGCCAGGAUGUGACAUAGUUUUUAUCCAUUUAUUCAAUCAAAAUGUUUGAAUUUUGUUGUACCAUAUAUUGGGCCUCGAUAUUUGGGCUUCAUUACUGAGCCCAUGAUUUAUGUAAGAGGAGGAAACCCUUAUUCUAUAAAAGGGAUCCUCCUCACCUUCACUGAGGGAGAGAAAAAGAUACAGAGAGGCAGAGAAUAAUACAGAGAGCAAAUACUAAGCCUCUAUAGCCUCCAUGCAUACUGUAACCUUCAUCAACAUUUAACGACAUCAGUGUGGACGUAGCCCAACUUGAGGUGAACCACGAUAUAUCUUUGUGUUCUUGUGCAUUUGUGUGAUUCACAGUCAGAUUUAUGUUGGUCCAAGAUCCGCAAGAUUUUGUGCAUCAACAUUUGGCGCCAUCUAUUGGAAAGCUUUACCUACAAAAGAGUUUCCCGAAACUACUUGACCAAUCCCGAAACUACCAAGCAUCGGUCAGCGUUAUACCGUCAAGGACCCAGAAGAGUUUCCCUCAAACUAGGAGGCCAAUCACAGCAUGACACGUAUAGACAUCAGAAACCAAUCAUAGCACGACACGUGUCAACAUUAGAAGCUAAUCACAACACGACACGUGUCAAUAUCAGAACAAAGCUACAAACUCUCUUCUAUAAAAGGAGAUCAUUCUCCCACAAUAUUUGCUAAUGUCAUUUAUACUAAAUCAUUCACUAGUACUCAUUAAAGGAGAGUUUGAACGUAUGUACUUGUGUAAACCCUUCACAAUUAAUGAGAACUCCUCUACUCCGUAGACGUAGCCAAUCUGGGUGAACCACGUACAUCUUGUGUUUACUUCUCUGUCUCUAUCUAUUUACAUACUUAUCCACACUAAUGACCAGAGCAAUCUAGCGAAGGUCACAAACUUGACACUUUCUAUUGUACCAAAGUCCUCACUGAUUUUGUGCAUCAAAAUUUUUUUUUAUUGUAACCGUUUCUAAUAGUAUUAUAAUGAGGGAUUUAAAAUUUAUAGGAUUACAAAUCUCAUAAAAUAUCAAACAAUUAAUGUCAAAACUAUAAAAAUAAAAAUAUUAAUUGUAAUAUAAUGAGGUGUACAAAGUCAAUGGACUUUGAUCAAACUUUGAAUACCAUUAAGAUUUUAGUCAAAGAAUGUUAAGGAUUAGGGACCGCAUCCAAAGUAUCCCUUUUGAAAAUUAGUUCUCUGAGUUGAAUGAUGUCUUCAAUAGUUGACUUUAUUCUUUAAGGAAGUUGCGCCUUGUCACUGAUGAUGUCGCUGUUAUAAAAAUCCCAUCUAGCGCCACCUAGGCCUUACCUAGGCAUUAGGCAGUUGGUCACCAUACCGAUUAACCCAUAGACGUUUGAAAAUAAGAAAGGGUGCCUAGACUUGCUUAGGUGUCUGCCUAGAUCGCCUAUGUGUCCGCCUAGACCAUCUAGACUUGCCUAGACACCCGUCUAGUCACGACUUUUACUUAGAUUGAAAAUAAAUAACUUUCAUUUCACAGUUUAUUUAUUUUUCAAUAAAUUUCAAGAGACUUAUUGAAUAUUUAGAUGACCACGCAUUAUAUGCUUUUUUCUCAUGUUUUCAUUAUGUUUUUACUUUAUAAUUCAUAUGUCAUUCUAUUUUGCAGUUUAUGUAUCCUAGUAAAUUAUGUAUUUUUUAAAUAUAAGCAGACAUUUAUUUAUAUGACAUAUAAUAAAUUUAUUUAAAUUCGUCUAGGCAUCCGCCUAACCGCAUAGGCUCUAGGCCUCAGCCUCUCGCCCACCUAGCGCCUAGCAUCUUUUAGAAUCUUGGAUGAUGUUGAUGAGAAGAGACUUUUCAAUGUGUACAGAACACAGGUACAUACACAUAUGUUAUUAUACAAGUAGAGGGACAUUUAAAAAAGAAAAAGAAAAAAACCUUCCCUCUGCUCAUAUGAUAACUUAUGGCAUACCUCUAUAUAUUCCAAACACAUUGAAAAAUCUCUUUUCGAUGAGAACCCGUAAAUCUCCUUCUACCUGAACGCGAGUGAUGCCUAGUAUCAAUGCCCAUAAACUUAAGGCCUUGUUUAAGACAUGUAGCUUCUGCUUACACAAUUGACGUAUACAUAGCCUAAGAGAACUGCUCCUGCAGCUUUUGAAUGUUUAUAACAUUAGGAUAUACGUAUAAACGUUGAAUAUAUCCCUAACUAGUUUGCAGCAACUUCGAUCACAUUUCUUUUCUUAGUUAUUGUCCAAUUGUUAUGCGGAGCCAGGAUUUUGGCUUAGGAGGGGUCAAAAGUCUCACCUUAAAACGCUGUUGUGAUUUAAGAAAAUAAAUAUAUGUCGUGUCCUAACUACCGACCACCAUCAUUUGAGUUUAGUAUAAUGUCAUUCUUGUUAUCAUCUUUCUCAACUCAACCUCAUGCCCAAUAUCAUGACUCAGAUUCAAAAUAAAAAUAAGAACAAAGAAAAGUAAAAGUAAUAUUAUCAAGAGACUUCAAAGAAAAAAAUUAAAAAAAAAUCAAGCAAAAAUAAAAAAUAAAAACCAGCACUCUCUCACGACCUGGCUAAUUCAUGUCUCUCCCUCUUCUGAUCACCUAAGUCUCUCAAAACUUGCCACUGGUUAACUAGAUAAGGGCCACCAGCCUCAAAUGGAACUCAACAAUGAAAAUAAGGAAAAAGUUCUGGUUGAGACUCUAAAACCUUAAUAAGUCUUUGGAAAUUAGAGGAAUAACUCUAAUUUUUUCUGUGCGGAAAAAAUGGUAGAAUGGUCUCGGGACCAUUCUGAUAUCUUCAUGGUUCCGCCCAUGUAAACCUUGUCCUUUUUUUUCUCAUCAAGUAGCACAUGUGCAUCACAUUCGCAUAUCCUUAUAGAUAUAUAUAGUUUCAAUACAUAUAUUAAAGUUCCUUUCUUUAAUCUGAUGGGGACUUUGUAUACGCAUACAGACAAAGUAUAAUCUAAACCUGUAUGAGGAGGACCACUCAUGUCUCUACUAUAUAGUAUAUACAGCCGCAGCGUCGCAUCGCAAAUGAAAUCACGUAGCUUUCUCCCAUUUUUUUGUCUAAAGAAAAUAAGUUCUUUCUACUUUAUUUAAUCAUACUUGACCUCCUUCAAGUUAUUUUGUAGUUUUCAAAUAAAAUUUUAUGCAUCUGCAUUGUGUUUGUGCUUAAAUUUGGCACAAUUUCACUUAUUUGUGUCUAAAGCUAAAUUAUGGCUUUUUGUGAGGUUAUUUUGAAAUUAAACUAAACGAUGAGUAAAUUUUAUAUUAUAUAUUUUACCCUAAUCUUAAUAUAUUUUGGAAGAAUUUUGAUACUUUGAAUUGUAUUUACAAUAUAGGACUUUCAACUUCCUCUGGAGCAAAACAGGAUCAAAUGGACGAAUUUUGGAGUAAUUUCAGUUGGAAGACGUUCAUGAGUUACUUAGCUUGAUCGUACCAAAAUCUGGGAUUUUUCCACCAAACGGUUAUUUUCUGGCGAUAAAAUAAAGGAGCGAUACGCAGGGCUGGAAAAUGACGUUUUUGGGCUUAAAUUGCGUUUUUGGAGCCCAAUAUGACCUCGGAUGGGUUCGUGGCCUUCUGAAGAAGUGUUCAGAAUAUUUCAAACAUUAAAUCCAGCUAUAUUGGGCUAGUUUUGGAGCAGCUUAUGGGUCCAAAACGUGGCUGUUCAGAUUUUGGGCGAAUUUUACCAUUUAAUUUAGGGUUAUAUUUCCUAUUUUAUUUUAUUAUUAUUUUUAGUUUCCUAGUGGGAAUAAAGGACCUGUUUUUAGGGUUUGUGUGGGGGGGGGGGGGCUUAGCAGAUUUAUAGCUUGGCCAUCUGCAAUUUUUCUCUACGCGCUUCCUUCAACUUUGGAGACAGAGAAAAUUGCUAGGGUUUUGGAGAUUUUCUACUUGAAGGUGUUUUCAAUCAUUUUCUUAAUAAUAUUUUCUAUGAUUUCAAUUAUGAAUAUGCGUAACUAAUUCAUUUUGCUAGGGCGAAGCCUUGAGCCUUAGCAUGAAUAUGUGAUUUUUAUUACUUAUGAUUGAUUGCAUGCAUACUUUGAAUUGUUAAUCACCAGGAUAAAAACUAUCUAAUUGUCUUAAUGCCUGAUCACCAUUAGGAUCUUUAGAAAAUUAAUUUGAUGCAAUUUUGGUCGGAAGAUUCCCUGAAAUUGACGCUAGCUUCUUGUGAUUAAUAAUUGUAAUUUCACUUAGGAUGAACACCACGUCUUAAGGGUUGCAUGGUUUUUCAAAGUGUUUUCAUAAAGCAUAAUGAGUCUUUCAUGUUCAGAUUUGAUCCGAACGAACGGGUUGCAAGUUAGAUAUACGUUCUAUGUUGGAGGUUCCAAGUAGAAUAUAAAUUAGGAAAACCUAACCUUCAAAGUGGCAUGUGUAGAUCAUAAGUAAUUGGUAAAAGUUCAUAGGAUUGCUAGGUGAUGAUGGAACCCUAGUGCUUUCUUAAUUUGAUUUCUCCCAAAAACUGUUUUCUUUUUCCAUCUAGUUUUAAUAUUGCAGAUUAUCUUAUUUUUAUUAAUUAAACUCGGUUUUAAUUUAAGUAGGUUAUAAAAUCAAUCAUCUCAAUUUCUACUUUACAAUAAUUAAUUGGAAUUUGGUUUGUUUCAAAUUAUUUAAUAAUCCAUGUGGAGAACGACAUUGCGAGAUCCGUUUAUACUACAACAACCUUGUGAUUCUUGCAAGUAUAAUAGGAGUUUUUAGCCCAUUCACAUGAGGAGUAAAAUCUCUAUCACUAAACUUGCAUCAAGUGACAUAUACUUGACUUACAGAUGUCAAAUGACAUCCAUUAUUAUAUGUUAUAUGCUUAUAGAUAUUUUUCAUGAAAGUGCAGCAAGUAGAUUUGCUUCUACACUAUGGUUUGUUCUCAAUAUAUCUGAACCCAAGGCAAAAAAAAAAAAAAAAAAAAAAAGAGACACUCAAACAAUCGAACAAAUCUCUCUCUAGAAAACCAACAGCUGCACCAUUUUCAUUUUAAAUCUUUAUUCUACUAGCAAGUUUAGCAACCUUUUAUAUCAAAAAAUCCUUUCAAUAUUGCAAGCUCUUUCAUUUCUUUUAAUUAAAGUCAAAUAUGGUUCAGCUGAGGGCACUGACUAAUAACUACAACAUUUUACAACCUCACAACUUGAAGUUUCUUGCUUCGGUUUUGAUGUCGUAUCUAUUUAGAUCUUUCUAUGAGCUCAACCAUCUGGGCAAGGCCAUAGAUCACUGACUGAUGACUAACUACAUUUCACAACCUCGCAACUUGAAGUAUUAGGUUUCAAUUAUGUUCUCUCGCUUCGGUUUUGACGUCGUAUGCAUUUGGAUCUUUGUAUGAGCUCAACCAUCUACUUCAUGAGGAUACUGGCUAGAGCAAAGGCCAUAGAUCACCGACCGAUGACUAACUAUAUUUUACACCCUCGCAACUUAAAGUAUCGGUUUCAAUUAUGUUUUCUCGCUGUCCAGUUUUUUUGACGUGGAUGUAUUUGGAUCUUUGUAUGAGCUCAACCAUCUUCUUCAUGAGGGUACUAGCAAGAACAAAGGCCAUAAAUCACCGACUGAUCACUAACUGCAUUUUACAAUCUCUCAACUUGAAGUUUCGGGUUUCAAUUAUGUUUUCUCGCUUCGAUUUUGACGUCAUAUGUAUUUGGAUCUUUGUAUGAGCUCAACCAUCUGCUUCACGAGGGUAUUAGAGCAAACGCCAAAGAUCACCGACUGAUGAUCGAUGAGGUGGAGAUGGAGAGUACAAAGCUGACCUCUUCCUCUCCCACUGUUGCCAUCACUAUUUUGGUGGCUACUUUUUUUUUUUUUUUUUUUUUUUUUUUUUUUUUUUGGUGAUGCUCAUGGAAACAAACCGCAUGGGUUUUGGCCCCAGCCAGAAAUGAAAGAAAAGCGUGAGAGAAAUAAGGCAUGGGCGUUAUGGUAUUGGAACGCUCAAAAAGGAACUUUAUUGGGAACCAAAUUUGGCAAAUAGUGAAAGCUGACGAUGGUUCACGUGAGAACUGAGGAGCGUUCGGGAACCCUAAUUCUCAUUACUUUUUAAAGCCUUGGAACUGUGAGUGUAUGUCAUGCCCAAUUGGUGGGAGACAAAUAGUAACCAUGCGAUUAAGGACGUGUUUGGCUACUUUGGAAAUGUGAUCUGCGGCUUGGUUAAAGAGAAAAGGCAGUAUCUUCAUUUGUACUAUAAAACCAUGUUUUCAAUUAACAUUUUCCUAAAUUUUUGUAAGAGAAUAUUUCCUAAAUUACUCAUCUCUUUUUUUGCAGAAAAUCGAUGCCCCACUUACUAAUCGGGAGGCUACCAACUGAUACAACAUUAUGUAUGUAUAAUUAAUGGUAUUGGUAAUUUAGGAGGCUAGCUGUGGAAAUUAAAGGGUUUAGAAAAUUGGAUAAAAUACAUAAGCAGGAGUUGGUGAUCAUAAUUUAGUAAAAUAUUUAAACUGAAUUAUACCCCAAGACACCAAUUAAGUUCAUUAAUAACAGGCUGAUUGUGAAGUCCAAAGAUAAUGUUUUCAAGUCGUUUGUUAAUUAGUUGUAUUUUAAGGUAUUUGAGCUUAUUCAUGAUGAGUUGAAUUAUUCCGAACAAUUUUGAAUGAAGCAGUAUGUAUUUCUUAAUGCUGUUAGAAUGUGGCUUUUAGUGUGACAAAGACACCCCAGAAGUUUGUAUAUGGGAAUAUUAUUAUCUCAACGCUUUAGAAUAAUUUAUUUUAGUUACGUUGUUUCUUUGUGUAUACAAUAAUCUUCAAAUUAUAUGGUUGUCACUUGUUACAGGUUGGAAAAUGACUCUUUAAGUGUUAUUUUCGCUCUCCGAUUGACUGAUUUUGAUCCUCCUUGGCCUCUUCGUACACAACGGUCUAUUUGUUUGGAUAACAUUUGAGAAAUGACUUUCUACGCCUCUCACAUAUAUCACUAGGGAAAUGUUGUUGCGGACCAUUUUUGUUAACAUGAGUUUGUCUUCUCCAACUUUGGUAUGACAUGGUUCCCCUCUGCCGCUGCUCAUGCUGCUUUGUUUUUAGACUAUAUUGGCUUGCUUGGCUUCCACUUCUCAAAUUAAUGUGUAUCUUGGCAUAUAGAUUUAUCUCACUUUUUUUUUGUUCCCUAACCUUGUGGAAUUGUUCGACUUGUUUUGCAAGUUUAGACCUUUAGGUUUGGCUUUAUAUGAGGUUAGGUUUUAUGCCCCCUCCCCCUCCCCCUUCUUUUUCUUGUAUCUUUUUUGUUUUCGCUUUAGAGGGAUAAAAUUUAUGUUCCUCUUCUUUUUCAUGAUGUUACGAAGAGUAAGGUUUAUGGUCCCCUUAAUUAGGUGUAACUUUUUUUUUUUUAUCAAUAAAAUCUCUCUCAUGCCGUUGAAGUUAAAAAAAAAUCACUUUCCCGAAGUUAGUAUACUAAUCAGCGAAAUUUCCAUCAUAAUUUGGUGUGUGGCAAUACACGGAGCAAUGGACGGUAAAUAUGUUUUUUUUCCUUAUUUAGUAAAAAAGUCCAAAAAUUCAACGUCUUAUUGUUUGCAUAUUCGAAUAAGGAAGACAUAGCUUUAAAUACAUGCAAACUUUUCACAUAAUCAAUAAAACACAUUUAUUUUUCGGUCUUUUUAUAUAAGAUAGUACUAAUAACCAUGCUCCUCUAAAGGCAUCUCUGCUCCAAAACCUUAGUUCGAUGCAUAAAUUUCCUCCAACCCUACUCUUAAACACAGUUCCAAAAAUGUUAAUUUUUUUGGAUUAUCAAUUAUUCUACUUCAUAUAUGGAGUAGAUGUCACAUCCCAACCCGAGCCCCCACCACAUUCCUAGCUCGACUCCACCGUAGCACGAUAUUGUCCGCUUUGGGCCCCGACCACUCCAUCACGAUUUUGUUUCUGGGAACUCAUACGAGAACUUCCCUGUGGGUCACCCAUCCUGGGAUUGCUCUCACUCGAACUCACUUAACUUCAGAGUUUCAAUAGAACCCGAAGCCAGUAAGCUCCCAAAAAGCCUCGUGCUAGGUAGAGAUGAGAAUAUAUAUAUAAGGCUUACAGGAUCCACUCCCCUAGCGAUGUGGGAUCUUACAAUCCACCCUCCUUAGGGGCCCAACGUCCUCGUCGGCACACUUCCGACCAGGGAUUAGCUCUGAUACCAAAUUGUCACAUCCCGGACUCGACUCCGCUGUAGCACGAUAUUGUCCGCUUUGGGCCCCGACCAUGCCCUCACGGUUUUGUUUCUAGGAACUCACAUGAGAACUUCCCAGUGGGUCACCCAUCCUGUGAUUACUCUCGCGUGAACUCACUUAACUUCAAAGUUCUGAUAAAACCCGAAGUCAGUGAGCUCCCAAAAGGCCUCAUGCUAGGUAGAGAUGAGAAUAUACAUAUAAGGCUUACAUGAUCCACUCCCCUGAGCGAUGUGGGAUCUUACAAUCCACCCCCUUAGGGGCCCAACGUCCUCGUUGGCACACUUACGGCCAGAGAUUAGCUUUGAUACCAAAUUGUCACAUCCCGCCCCGGGCCCCCACCAUAUCACAGGCUCGACUCCGCCGUAGCACGAUAUUGUCCGUUUUGGGCCUCGACCAUGCCCUCACGGUUUUGUUUCUGGGAACUCAUAUGAGAACUUCCUAGUGGGUCACCCAUCCUGGAAUUACUCUCGCGCGAACUCGCUUAACUUCAGAGUUCCAAUAGUUACCGAAGCCAGUGAGCUCCCAAAAGGCCUCGUGCUAGGUAGAGAUGAGACUAUACAUUUAAGGCUUAUAGGAUCCACUCCCUUGGACGAUGUGGGAUCUUACAGUAGACACCAUCAUACUCUAUAAUUUGGAUUAUGUACUUUUUUCUUAUAAUACCUAUACUACUCAUUUUUGCUAUAGUACUUUUUUUUUCCUUUCAUAUCUCUUUCACAUUAUAACUAUUAUCAUAUCACAAAUUUGAUUUUAAUUUUUUUUAUCAAAAAUUUUAUACCAUUACAAAUAUUUCAUUGAGAUCUUUAAUUCAAGUCUAAUCUUGACUUUAUAAUACAAAUUUUGAACUUUACUAGUUAAGUAUAUGAAGUUAGUAUAAGAUAAAUUUUAAGAUGAGUCAUGUGUCACAGCCCGUCCCAAAUUAUUACUAUUGAUGAUGUAAAAUGACGGUUUUAUCCUUGGACGUUGAGAUUGUAGAGUGUGUAAUGUGCUUUGGGACUUAGAUGUGUUUUCUUUGGUUGGUUGGUGACCCACGUGGAGCACAUACACACACCCAAAACUCUCCCUUUCUCUCCCGUGCCUUCCCUCUCUCUCAUUCCUUUCGGAUUUUUGCAGAAAGCUCGUACAAAUGUACGGACAAACUCCAAGCUUCCAUUUCAAGCACGGAUCGACGUCAAGAAGGUAAGAUUUGAACUCCUUGCAAGUCCUUGAGUUCAUAUAUGCCAUUUUUAGGACCUGAAAACCUCAAAAACCCCGAGAACUCUAACCUUCGAUUUGGUGCACUAUUCAUGCACACGUAAAUGUGAAGGUUUCAGGUGAUUUGAAGCUUGUAGGAAGCUUUAAAACAUCCCUACGAAGCUCGGAGAAGAAAAACCAAGCGAUUUGCACGUCGGGAUGGUCAGUUUCAAGCUUGGCUGAUUUUUCUUGAAAUUCUCCGGUGAGAUCCCAUGAGAUUUAGGCCCUAAAACUUGUAUGGGUUUGUUCUACAAGUCCUAAGCUUCAUUUUGAUAUAUAAUUUGUGAAAUUUGGUUGAAAAUCGAGUGAGAUAUCAAGAUUUAAAGAUUUUCCCAGUUUCCAGCGCCGACGACGAUAGCCGGAGUUUUGAGUUAGGGAUGACGGAAUAUUCCGUCAACUUUGACGAAAUAUUCCAACGGCGUUAGUUAAUUUUAACAGAUUUCGUUACUAUUUAACGGAAUAUUCCUAACGGCAGUUAGGGUUUCUGUUAGGGUUCCCUGCGCGUGGCGGCGCGUGUUGCCGUGCCUUGGCCGGCGCGUGGGUGGUCGGAAAACUAUUUUUAAAAUAUGGGGAUGUUCAUGGAGUUGUGUAGAUCACGUUGGUAUACUCAAACACCCUAUUUGAGCAUUGUAUAAGAAGUUAUUAGCUAGUUUUGUUUAUGUGCUUUAAAUAACGUUUUUAUAGUGAUUUCGCAUAUAGGGGAGGCUUAUCCCGAGAACGAGCGCAGUCAAUGGCGACUAGGGGGUUACGACCCUUCGACAUACCAGUGAGUGGGCUUUUGGUUUUCAGUAUAUACUUAUAUACUUGAUAUUUUCCCAAAAAAUGCGUUUAAAUGAAAGUAUGCCUUGAAUGCCAUGCAUCUAAAUUUAUAUUUCGUAUAUGAAUUAGUUUAUGAUGCUUAUAUAUAAUUAUGGUGAUGUGGACGCUUAGGUAAGUACCAGGUGAGUUAUGUUUUGUGAUGAGAAUUAAUGAUUAAUGGCAUGUGAUUGAAUAACGUUGAGCUCAUAAAACUGCAUAUAGGGUGAUUGUGAUUUAGCCAAAGAUAUGGGACAUGCCUGUUAUUACAAUGUCACCUCCCGCACCAUAUGCUCAUAUUGGAUCCAAUUUAGGUGCAUCAUAAUCAUGUCGUACAGACCUUUACUAUGGUUCCAACUUGUAGAUGACUAGUGAUUUAUCGCCCAACUAUUAUGAGAGAGUAGUAUUGAGCAUAAUUAUAUUACACCCACUAUUGUCGUACAUACCUUUUCAUUUGGUUCCGACUCGUGUGCAGUAGAGUGUCGUAUAGAUCAUUGUAGUGACUCCGACUAGAUUUGAUUAUUGAGCUAUGAAUUCAACCGUACAUACUUCCAUAGGGGUUCCGGCUAAUAUGUUAUAUUUCUAUGAAUUUAUUCUCACCUGAAUUACUUACUCUAUUAUAUCUUGGUAUGACAUACUUAUGAUUAUGAAUAUGUGAAGCAUGAUUUGAAUUGAUAUAUUUGAACGCUCACUUCAUAUUUUGUCUCCUUUCUUGCCAUAAUCUUGUAGUACUCGUCAUUAUGAACGCUCAAGCGUAACAUGAUUUGAUCUAAACAAACGGUGGGCCUAUUUUAUAGAAUAUUUGUUUUCUGUUUUAGAAAUAUCUCAUUGUCUUUUAUGUGAGAUAUUCAUAUUUAAAGAAAUAUCACAAUUUGGGAAAUCUUCCCACCGACACAUAUCUCUUUCCACCAUCUCAUCUUUCUCUCUCUCAUCUCGUCCUCCCUCUUCUCGCCACAACUCAAACAAACGACGUCAUCUCAAAUAGAUUAACUCUCAAAACUCCACGUUUUCACUCACCUGGUCACGUCGAACCUAGCCAUGGGUUUGGAUUCGUGAUAAUCUGAACCAAACUGUAAAAGCAAAGGCUUCGACAAGGCCAAACUUUCCGACGAGUUUUUCAUCGUUUUCCCAGCAAAGGUAAGCUUCUAAUCCUCUUAAAUCGUUGCACCUUAUUUAGUAGAUUAAAUCUUGUGAUUAGUUGUCGAAAUGGUGAGUUGUGGACACAAAUCGCAGAAGAAGAAACCUACUGCAGUUCUAGCAAGUUUUGGAGAGAAAUGACAUGGGUUUUCUGACUUGAUCUCGUCGAUUUUAGACGAGAUCGUGACCACCAAACAACUCUCCAAUGUCCCUAGGCUCAGUUUCGAGCAACCAGUUGCAGUUUCGAGAUUUCCAAAUUCGGGCUGAAACUUUCCUAGCCUAUUUAAAGGCUUGCCAUUUUUUGGGCAAACCAAGGUGAUGCUUGGAUUCUACACCCUCAAUUUGGCCUAGGUUGUGAAUUUUUUAGUCAUUGGUUGAAUACUUCAAGCUCAUCGUGUGUUUGGAAAUUUUUCGACAAAUUUCCCAGUUUCCGAUGACACAGGCAGCUGACGAAACACAGUUGACCGGCUCACUACAGAAGAUGAAGAAAUAUAUAUUCUGUUAAUUGGGCGAAGUUAGGCAACCGUUACUUUUUCCAUUAACCUUAAAUGAAUAUUUCUUCCGGUCUUGGUAUGCAAACACGUGACAUUCAUAGCUGAAGUAUGGCAGUUCCGGGCGGCGUGUGGCAGCACGUGAGCCCUGUUUUUAACACUUUUAACUCCAUUUUGAGCAAACAAAAGACAUAAUUUUUCAAGUCUCUCCUUAGUAUUUACAAACUUUGGUUAAUUUAACCAUGAGUAUGUAAUAAUUUCCCAUAUAAGAAAAACUUAGCCCGAAGAGUUUAGAGGCCAAGCAAAGUAAGACGACUACAACCUGACUACAUAUCAGUGAGUGGGCUUUGUUUUCAAGCAUAUAUAUAUUUGUAGUUUCCAUAACUGCUUGGAUAAUGUGUUUUUACAUCAUAUCAUGCUUUUACUUAUGAUUAUAAGUAUUAUUUGAGGGUGUGUGAUGUGUAUGAAAUUAUUUUGGCAUGAUCACACGUAUAUUUUUAUUUGCUUAUCAUGCAUGCUUACAUUGGUGUCUAUAAUAGUCGUUUGGGCUAGGAUCGGCUAAAGUGUAUGUUCACAUCGCACAAUUAUGCUCACUAUGGAUCCAUUGCAGGUGUUAGCAUGUACUAGUUUCCAUUAAGCAACUAGGACUCGUAUGUGAUGCGCUUAGCACCAGCUUCAUGUGUAUGUAGUACUUGAGCGUAAACACCCAACUUGUUCCACGUAGCUAUUUUCUAAAUGGACUUGUGUCUAUACUAUUGUGAUAAGCAUACUAUUUUAUAUAGUUGAGAUGUUGCGGUUUACUGUACAUUUGAAUAUUUGUAUUUACCCAGUAAAUGUGAGAAUUUAAUUUCCUGUAUUUAUGAGAAUAGGAUGAGAAUAUUCUUCUGUAACUACACUCUUAUCUAUGCUCUGACAUUACAUUUAUGUAAUAUGGAUACAUCUUGCACACAUUCUUGUCAAUUAGUUUUAGGUUUCGAUUUUAAUUUAUUCACACCUUUACCCAAAAGAUUAUCAUAAUAUGACUUCGUCACCUUCCAAAUAUUGGCCAGCACGUCUCGGGUUUAAGUAUCCACCUAAAUAUCCGGCUCGGGAUGUGUCAAAAAGUAUAGAGUAUUAAGAAAUAUUUUGUUUUAGAGUUUCAAAUAUAGAGUACGGUUGAGGUAGGAAACUUUUAGAGUUGGAAUAUUAUGGGGAUAUAUCAUUUUAAAAUCAAAUUUUAGAGUUUGAAGUAAGAGUAGAAUUGGAGAUGUUCUAAUGACUCCUACAUUGAGAAAGAAUAAAGGAGCUUCAAACUGCUUAUAGCACUAAUUAAUACUGUUUUAAUAAUAUUAUAAAUAAUAACUUUAGAAAAAUCUUAAUUACAAAGUCAAUAUACCACUUCCGGUCAAUGUGACUCCUUAUGAGUUCCAAUUACUUUUCAUGCAUCAUGCGUGUUGGAAUUACUGAUAUUUCUUGUUACGGCCUAAUGUAAUAAGGCACUAACAAGUGGCAAACAAUAUCGUAUUACAUAUAUGUCAAUUUACUUGUACCAUGUUAUACUGUGCGUGUUAAUUAAGAUUAGAUUUCCUUGCAUAAUUCCCAAAAUCGAAAGUUUCAAUGCAUGUACAUUUCCAAACGUAUUUUGUCGCCUAGAACACCUAAGGUAACAUCCUUCCAUCAUAUCAUUUUUUUAAUAAACAAUAUUAUCUAUAAUAAAAAGGAGGACAUGAGCUUAGUCUCACAAUGAACUAGCAAUAAUGUGGUUCAAAUUCACCUUUGAUGAAAAUUGAACCUAAGACCUCUCACUUAUAAGUGAAGAGGAAUACUACUAAACCGUAAAUACUAACUGACAUUCCUCCUAACCUAAUAGAAUGUGCACAAGCAUGAUCCUUGUAGGGUUUGGGUUCGAAGGUUGGUAUCUGCAAUUUGAUGUUCUUCAUGGUCCCUCCAUCAUAUAUUUGAGUUCGAAUUAUUUAACCAUGUUGAGCCAUAUCUGUACAAUUAAACAGAAAAUUAAUAACUAAAGAGUUAAGAUUAAUUUCAGUGAAUCUUCGUAGAGAUAGUUUUCAAUAUAUACUCAUUUAAAAAUGAUCAGUUUGCAACUUCAAAUUAUGAAAAAUUCUUAUAAAAUGGAUCCCAAUGACUAAUUAGUUUUUCUGUCGAAUGUUACUAAUUAGUUAGCGCUUUAGUGUUCUUGUAUGUUUUAAAUUUUAUACUUUUGCUAUUUCGUUAGCAUAAGAGCUUAUUGAUCAAUCUUCCCUUAUUUUGAAAGAAAGUACACGUAUUUAGUAACAAUGUUAUUUGUUUUUGGGAAUAAUUAAAAAUGUUACGAUAUAAUUAAAACAAGCAGUAGUAUUAUUCUCGUAUCCUUAGAGUGCUUAAAAAUAAAUGAAACAAUCCUGCAAGAUUCAAAAUUGGAAGAGAUGUCAAAUCGAAACUUCUCUUCUAUUGAUCAAAAGAACUGUUACGAAUCACAUACGAACCACAAAAAAACACUAUCUUUUAGGCUAUAUAAGAUUAGAGAAGUAAUUCUUAACACACUCUUUUUAUUUUGUGCACAUCCUAUUUUAAUUUUGAUCAUAAUUUUACUUUAAUUGUUUAAUGUAACUGUUACGAAACUAUAUAUGUGUGUAAAGUGAGAAAGAGUGAAAAUCAAUUCUCUAAUAUUAUUCUCAAACCAUUUUUUUGCAGUGAAAUAAAUAUGUAAUGGUACAAUAAUCUUUACAUUUAUGUGGUAAUUAUUUUUAAAAAAUCAAAACCCAACUAAUCCCAUAUCUAUUGACCAUCUAUCAUGUCAUUCAAAGGAAGCUAUGAUGUGAAUUGAUAUAAACACAAUACUUCAAAUAACUUUUUGGAUAUCACGAUUCAAGAAUCCAACAUUGUGUUGUACCAUUACAUAAUAGGAGGAAACCAUCCUUUUGGGAUUAGGAUCCUCUCCUGAGCUCAGGAGGCUCAGCCUUCUGAGCAAAUCCAUCAGACCGUUGAAAUUUGAUCCAACGGCUACAAACAGAAAGCCUCUCUAAAAGUUAUAACAACUGUAGCUAUUGGAUCAAAUUUCAACGGUUCGAUAGAUUUGCUCAGGAGGCUCAGUCUCUUAAGCUCUAGAGAGAAUCAUGCUUUUCAUAUGAUACUGAUUUAAUGGCAUUUUAAUUUAUUUUUCCAAUUCCCACCAAGGACCAAAAAAUAAUAAUAAAAAAAAAUUGACAUUAAAAUUAAUCAUUUACUACUUCAAUUUUGAAAACUCUAGCUCUAAAGAGCAAGUCCUAGACCAAGUUAAGGAUGGAACAUAUAUAUUUGUACAAUUAAAUCCUUAUAAAUUAAUAGUAUUGGGAAUAAAUAAAUUUAUUAAUUUAACGAACAGUUUCUAUCAUUGAUUGUGAUUUUCCACACGUAUCAUAUAGAUAUCACAUUUUCUUCUCUCUCUCUCUCUCAGUCUGUGUCUCUCUCUCUACUCUCUAUCUCUAUCUCUGUCGAUCGAGGUCCCUCACCCACCACAUCAACACUAUCUUCGUCGAUUGAGGUACCUCCCACCCACCACCUGACCACCAUCUUCGUCAAUCAGGGUCUCCGUUGAUCCUAGGUUUGGUUUGGGUUUGGUUUGGGUUUGAUUUGAGUUUUUUUUUUGUUCUUUCACUGAUUUAGGUUUUUCUACAUUUUGGUUUUAGUAGGAAUUUGUAGAGUGAGGAAAUAGAACAUAAACUCAAGCAUUACUCAGAGCUGGUUUGGUAUUGCUGUGCUUUGAAAAAAAGCUGCUGUGAGAAUAAACGGCUGUGCUGUGAGAAUAAGCGGCUGUGAAAUAAAUCAGCAGAGUGUUUGGUAAACUUUUUUGUAAAAGUGCUUUUGGAAAAAAAAAGCAGUCUUAUAGUUGAUCUUUUCAUUAAAGAAGCACUGUAGCUUCGAGUGCUUUGAAAAAAAGCCAGUUUUCCAAAGCUACAAAUAGCAGCUUCAGCUUUUUCCUUUGAUUUCAGCUUAUUCUCACAGCAGCUUCCAAAAUAAGCCAUUUUUUUUCAGUUUACCAAACACCUAAAACCCUCACAGCUUUUUUUCAUGGGUGCUUUUUUUUUUAAGCACCUCACUCCCAAACUAGGUUCAGACAAUUCUCCGCAUCAGGUUUUUCAGGUUGCACAAUGACAUGGACCUAGGGGUGGGUUCAAAAAACCGAAAACCGAAAAAAACCGAAAACCAAACCGAACCGAAACCGAAAAAACCGAACCGAACGAAAAAACCGAACCGAAUUGAAAAAACCGAACCGAACCGAAUUCUUUUGGUUCGGUUCGGUUUUAGUGAUCUAGAAACCGAACUAAACCGAACCGAACCGAAUUAAUUAAAUUAAUUUUUUUAUUUAAUUAUUUGUUUUGGGUAUUAUUUUCUAAACCCAAUUUGUAAGUUAAAAUGUGCUAAACCCAAUGUGUUGCCAAACUUUAAGCUCAAAAUAUUUAAAAAAGGCCUAUAAAAACUCUAAACCCUAACCUAUUAUUUAUCCCCCAUAUAAGGUUACGGAACCAAACCUCCUCCAGAAGUACCUACAUCCAUCUCCAUAGCACUGCCUACUUCUGCCCUAGCUUUCUUUUCCAAAUCUACUCUCAUAUAACAUGUAACAGAAUCCAUAAACAUUUAUUUCGGGUAGAUUACUUGGGUAAUUUGUGAUGGAAAAGAAUCUAACACACACUAAAUAAAUCCACCAACGCAUUAUUUUUACUAAUCAAGUUGUCAACAUGCAAAUACAAGCAAACAACCUUGAUCUUUGAACAACAUCAUACAAUUUAACUUUUCUAAGUCAUUUGUACAAUUUUUGUGUUGUGAGGUUGUUAGUUUGGACUUUGGAAGACUUGAUUGAUGAUUUUAGUUCAAUUUUAAAUGUUUAUUUUCAUUGUCUUUGAUUCUAGUUAGAAUGCUUAUGUUAUGAUUGUGUUGGAUGUGUUAAAAUUUAAAAUUUCAAUGUUUUUCAUUUUUUUGAAAGAAAAAAAAAACAAAAAACCGAAACCGAACCGAAAAAAAACCGAACCGAAAAAAACCGAAAAAAAAAUGAACCGAACCGAACCGAACCGAAAUUUCGGUUUGGUUUCGGUUUUGGCAAAAAACCGAACCGAUUUAAACCGAACCCACCCCUACACCCAUGGAAACGUUAGAACAAACGGGUCGGGUUGGUCUAUUUUCAAUUUUGAAAAACAGCCAACCGCGUUUCAUUUCCAAACAGAUCCGAUCCAAUUCUUUCAAAUUUGGAUCUGACCCUGCUCAUGCCCACCCCUAAUUUUUUAUUUAAAAAAAUAUAUUCAUGACCCAAUGGCCAAUCAUACAUUAGAUUAGAGAAACAAAGUGAAAAAUUUCGACCAAAAAAAAAAGAAAAGUGGAUUUAUUCCCACGCGCUUGUUUAAGCUUCAAGAUGUCACGCGCGGAAUUGACUAGCAAAGAAUGUUGUGAUUACAUAGCUCAAAACAUGCAAUUGUUUUGUUUUCAUUUUGGUUCAAUGGUUUGAUUAAUGUUUCGAUUAAUUACGAAAUUAAAGAAGACAAUAUCGUGGAGCAUAAAGUACUCCAUGUAAGAGGAUUAUCAUCAUUUUUGGUAUUGGUAAUGAAUGCAUGAUAGGAAUCUCUUGUUCGAUUGUCUAAUAAUUUUUUUCAAUUAAAUCGUCAUAAAAUUGAACUCUAAACUUAUUUUAAUUUUAAAUAUCACUUACCCUUCCUCACUAGUAAUCAUUUGCUUAAAUAGUUUACUUAUUUAUUAUGUCAUCAAACUGUAAGUCUCAUACUAAUUACGUGAAUAAUUGUGUUAAUAAUUUGAAAAAUCGACUGAAAUGGUCAAUUUGUAAAUCUCAAUUGCUAGACUUGUCAAAAUCAAAUACAUACAACAUAUCAAUCAACCAUUGAAGAUACAUGAAUCGAGUAUUGAAAAGUAAUUGUUUCACAAAUUAGCAUGUAUAAGUGAUUGUUACGGCCAGUAAACCAAACAAAUCUAUUUGACGAUGACAUAAUUUGUCAAUUUUGUUUGUUACAAAUGAGAGUUUUGAAUUUUGAAUAUGUAGCUUACUCAUAUCCAUCACCAUAUCCUCAACACUGGACUAAUCCUGUUAUCUAAAUUUUCUGAAAUGUAUGGUACAAAUUGAGAAUCUCACACAUGUGAAUAAAAAUAGGAUACAUAGUGCAUACCUCAUAACAUGAACAUUUGCUUGAAAGUAGAAUUAUGAGAUUGGCCAUACACCCCAUGUGGAAGCUCUCCAUGGUUCCCUCUCUCUCUCUCUCUCUCUCUCUAAUGAAAAGCUAUACUUUUCAAUUCCCAACUACUUUUGUUACUCACCACCAAGAGGCAACAAUUUUGUACUCCCUCCUUUAUCUUUCUUUGUGCAUAUAACUGAGUAAUGAACAUAAAAAGGUGGGGGAGAAAAUGAUUGGGGCUCAUUGCCUCUUAAAAUUAUAAUGUGAUAUGAGUUGGGUGCUUGGACAGUGAGAAAAGGAGAGGAGAUAAGGGAAGGAUUCAGUCAUCAUUUAUUUGUUUGUGGGGCAUCUUAUUCAAAAAAUGCAAGAGCAUGAACCAUGCUUCCCUAUCAUAUACAAAUCCCCAUACCAUUUGUAGUUUUCACUCACCAUAAAAAAAAAUCUCAAAAAAUAAACAACCCAUCCUCCCUUUUUGCGUAUGUUUUUGUUUAUGUUGGCAUGCUUGAUCUCUUUUUCUUUUCUUGAUAUUUUUUUUAAGUGGUUUUAACUGUGAGAGGUUUUUUCAGAAGCCUUUUUCUUGGGCAUGCCCAAUCAUCUUCUUAUACGUUUUGGAUUGUUUUGUUUGAAAUGAGAUCUAUCUUUUCCCCUCAAAAACCAUCAUCAUAAUAUCAAUUAUUUUCAAGAGAGUGAGACAUGACCUCCAGUGACCCCUAAUUAUGUGGUUGAUGAGAGAAAAUUUAAACACUUUGUAAGGCAAAUUUUUAUAUUUUUACUCGUUUGGAAACGCUCUUAUUAAAAAUAUAUUUCUCUACAAACUCACUUAAGGAGAUUGUUUAAAAUGAUUUCUUUAACAAACACUCGUUUAAAUUUAUUUAUAAUAAAAAUGCUUUUAUUAGAAGUACAUUGAAAUUUUUAAUAAAAAUGCAAGUAUUUCUUAAGAAACAAAUAACGCAGAUUCUUCUAGAAUGCACUUCAAGUACCUUUUUUAACCCAAAAAUAUGAGUAAUGCUAUUCAUAUCAUGUUUUUAUACCACAUUUCUAUAUCACCUUAGGUGACAUCUGAUGUGGACAGCCACAUCAUUUGAAAAAUUUGCAAAACCCAAGGAAAUGAAGGAGAAAUACUUCUCGUAUACCACAAUCAUCAUUUAAUUAACUAGUUUUUUUUAUUAUUAGUUUAUUAAAUAAUGAACUAAAUUUAAAAAUAUGAUUAAUUCUAAUGAUGUGACUGUCCAUAUCAAAUGCCACCUAAUGUGAUAUGAAAAUGUAAUACAAAAAUAUAGUAUGAAUAACAUUACACUAAAAAUAUUAAUUUGUUCUGCCAAAUAUAGUCAAAAGUAAUUUUAACAAUUUAAAAGCAUUUUAAGUUAUUUUAAAGUAUUUUUAAUUAAGCGAGUUUAUUUCAAACCAGAAGCACUUAAUUUUUUCAUUUAAACAUAUAACAAACGCUUUUUGUAAUAUAAAAUUGCUUUUAAUUAUUUUAACCUAAUUCCAAACAAUAAUACCCAGAAAAAUCCCAUUUGCGGAUCACUCAUCUUAUUAAUACAGAUAGAGGCAUUGACUCACUUACAGAAACACAGAUAGAAUCCGUCCACAAACCAAACCCCAAGAGCGUGCAAACCACACUGCAAUCAACCACUGUCCUCGAUGAAUCCCUUAAGAUCACCAUUGGCGCGUGUGCUGACCUCCCCACACAAGCAGCGUGGAGUCAAACCAGGUUGUUUUCGAGUUGGGAAAUAAAAACACAAUUAGAGGGAGAAAUUUAAAGAGUGUCAGAGGUUAGGGGCAAGAAUACGUGCAGUAUUUGAAGCAAGCACACAGAUCUGGAUCCCACUCAAAGCACUCGACUCGGACACUCAGCACACUCACUCACUCUCUCUCAUCACUCGGUCCUUGUCCUCUAUAAACUUCAGAGAGAGACCCAACAGAGAGAGAUACGAGGAGGAGAGAGAAGAAAAUCGAAACCAAACCAAAGCUAGAGAGAGAAAAGCUCAGAACCCAAAAUCCCAGCAGUGCAGCAGCAGCAGCAGUGAAGCAAUUGAUGGUUCUUCUGCCGCGGCAAAAGAGGGCCUAAAAACUAGAGAGAAAAGGCGGUGGUUUGCUUUUGUAGUAAAAGUUUGACUCGGAUGUUCCAUAGCUAUAAGAUUGGGAUUUUAUACAAUUUAUAGCAAAUAAUAUGUUUGAAGUAGUUGAGCUGCAGGAAGACACACAGAAACCAGAACAGCAGCAACACUCCUACUCCUUUCAUCUUUCGUGGGUAAGCGUUACUUUAGUCACAGAUUUUGGUUUCAGCUUUCAAUUUGGCAUAAAAAACUUCGAAAAAAAAUUGAUUAUUUUGUUGGGGAUUUUAUUUCAGUUCAGUUGAGUUCAAACUUUUCAAUUUUGUUGCUAUUUCUUUAUACUUAACGAGUCCUCCCAACUUUCCUCCUCUUCAAUUGCUUUUUGGAGAAAUAAGGUCUCUCUCUCUCUCUCUCUCUCUCUCUCUUCAGCCUCAGCUACUAGUUGCUUCCUUUUAAUCAAUCAAACCACACGAGAAUACUACUUUUAACACUCAACUUUUUUUAUCAUAAUUUUUUUCCUUUUCUCUGUACCUUUGUUUAUUUAUUUAAUUUUUCUUGGGUUUUGCAGGAAUAUUAAGAUAGAAAGAAAGAGAAAGAGAACACUACUCUCUAUCUCUCUCUCUCUCUCUGUUGUACUCUUCCUCCUACUCAUCACAAAAACAAGUUGGUAGGUAAAAGGGUUGGGAAAAAGCAAAAGAAAUUGAAAUUUUCACUUGUUCCUCCCAAGAAACACAGAAAUUUUUUAGGGUUGGUGGUGCGAGUGAAGUACCAGUUCCUGUUCCAAGACACACACCAACCCAACUUCUCUAUCCGCCAUGGAUUCCUACGAAGCUACAAGAAUUGUGUUCUCAAGGAUCCAAAAUUUGGACCCAGAAAAUGCUUCAAAAAUCAUGGGUCUACUUCUGAUACAAGACCAUGGGGAGAAGGAAAUGAUAAGGCUUGCUUUUGGGCCUGAAGCUUUUCUCCACUCGGUCAUUCUCAAGGCAAGGAAGGAGCUGGGAGUGCCUUUAUCAUCGAACUCUUCUUCUACUCCUUCCACCCCCCCUUCUCCUUCCCCCUUCACAAACCCCAUUGCUAUCUCCAGGCAGAACUCUUGCUCUUCCGCCUCGAGGCUCUCUCUCACUAUCCCAAACCCUUGUUCCUCGGCUUCCUGGGCUGCUCUCUCCGAGCUCAGAAACCAAGAAGAAAUAAACAGCUUUUAUGGAGGAGUUCCAACUGAUGUGAUGGAUGAGUUUCAGCUCCAAGAGCAGCUGUCCUUCCUUAACGACGGCUGUCCGCCACCAAUGGUGGGACCCAAGUCGCCUGAUUUUUUCUACCCUCAGUCCGACUUGUCUUCCAGUCCCAGUCUCACCACCGCUUCUGAUCCGAACCUUUUCCCCUCCUUCCACGGCUCUGCUAAUUGGGGUGGUGGAGGCGGUGGCGGUGGUGGGCCGCUCCACCGACGAAGUUGCUCAGUCAGCGACGUGAGCUUGGAGGACCCCAACUCAGGGUUUGGGUGGAAACCCUGCUUGUAUUUCGCCAGAGGCUACUGCAAGAACGGAGCCAGCUGCAGAUUCUUGCACGGCGGCGGGCUUGGAGACGCCGUCGUCGACGGCGGUGGACAGGUGGUUGUUGGGUCGCCGAGCAAGCUUGAGAUGAUGGACCACGAAGCACUUCUUAGAUCUAAAACCGCUCAGCAGCAGAGACUUGCUACUGCUUCUCAGCUCAUGGCGGCGUCAGCCAACUCCUUCCCGUACUCCUACAAGUGCAUGAACUUCCUUCUUCAGCAGCAACAAACUGACGCCCAAAGGUACAUGAUUUAAAGAAGUUAUUAUCUGUUUUUAGAAAUUAAUUAAAGCUCUUAUCUUUAAUCAUUUGCGUUACAUGUAAGUUGAUCGUUUCUGUUGAUUGUACAUGUAGGGCUGCAGCAGCUGCCUUGAUGGGUGAUGAUAUGCACAAAUUCAGCCGAUCCCGCCUCGAAAGAUCCGAUUUUUCGAUGAAUGGCGGGGCGGGGAUUGUGAACCCAGCUUCAAGGCAGAUAUACCUGACUUUCCCGGCCGAGAGCACUUUCAGAGAGGAAGAUGUCUCAAACUAUUUCAGGUUAAUUUCUUCUCUUUUGUUUUUUAUUGGUUCCGUUUUAGUGUCAGUUUGAAGGUCACGGGGUGUUUUCGUUUUGCUGACCUUUGUUUCUGUUGUCCUUGAUCGGCAAACAAUGAAGUAUUUACGGGCCGGUUCAAGACGUGCGAAUCCCGUACCAGCAGAAGAGGAUGUUUGGAUUCGUUACAUUCGUUUACCCGGAGACGGUGAAGCUCAUCUUGGCCAAAGGGAACCCUCAUUUUGUUUGUGAUGCAAGAGUGCUUGUCAAGCCUUACAAGGAGAAGGGCAAAGUUCAUGAAAAGUACACGAACUCUCACUUUCUCAAUUGAUCUUGUUUUAAUUUUUCCACUAAUUAUUAUAUCAUUACCUUAAUUAAAUUAUAUUUUAGUGAAUAAUAAGCUAAUAAUGCUGCUUUGCAUGUUAUUAAUCUUCCAGGAAACAACAGCAACAAGGAGAAAGAGGAGAUUUGUCUCCCUGUGGUACACCUACUGGGCUGGAUGCUAGAGACCCUUAUGAUCUCCAACUAGGUUAGCUAAUUAAACAAAAAUAUUUACAUUGUAAUAUUUAUUAAUUUUCACACAUUGACGAUAUGCAUUCCAUUUCUGUCACAUGCUUAAUUAUUUUUUUAUUUUGUUUUUUAUUUUAGGACCGAGGAUGUUUUACAAUCCUCAAGAUAUGCUAUGGAGAAGGAAGCUGGAGGAGCAAGCUGAGUUGCAGCAAGCACUUGAAAUUCAAAGUCGAAGACUGAUGGGCCUGCAGCUACUUGAUGUCAAGAAGCAUCACCACUGCACGCUUUCUGCCAGCAGUCCGAUUCACUCCCCUACCCAGUCUCCCAACAUGUUCAAUCAAAACCUGGUGCAUCCUUCGGUUCACAGCGGCCAAGAAGUUCCCCACGGUACGUAUUUUGUCACUCAUACCCUGGUCACAAAACCGUGUCAUGGUUCAAUGCAGUUGGUAAUGUUUAUUUGUUCUUGAUUGCAGAUAACUGUUCUUCUCCGAUGCCACACAUGACUCCAGCAGUGGAUGCCGAUCAGCUGCUUAAGGAAGCAGCUGCCGCUGUUCUAGGUGAAGGUUCAAUUGCCAACAAUGACGAAAAUGGCAGUGGUAGCCAAAGUGGCAAUAGUAGUGGCAAGGAGACCCCCCAUGAUGAGAUUGGUGACUUGCUCGAAGGGUAAGCCGGGUUAUGCAUCAAGUUUACCCAUAUUUCAAAUUUGUAAGGACAAUGUGUAAGAAGCUUAUACAAUUGAGUUCCUGCAGCUUGGAGCACAAUCUUCCCGAUAGUCCUUUCGCAUCUCCAACAAAGGCCGCUGGAGGGUACGCCUUGUCCGCCUUCCCCAAUGGGACUAGCGAGGCCAAUGGUUCCGAUGCCCCAGCUGCAACCGCUAAUAUUAACGUGGCAAAUUCCCUUCUUCCAGCGUCUUCCACCCUGGACAUGGCAUCCUUCAAGUCUUUAAACUGCCAAAUUCCACGGUAAACCCUAAUGUCGUACUCUCAAUUUUUUUUCAUUUCAUCACGGUGUGAAGUGAAUUAUAUAUAUAACGUGCAAGGUUUAAUUACAUUUCAGGUUGAACUCCGGCCACGGAGCCAUAGGGAUGUACGCCGGCACAGGAGCCGGGCCGAAAUGCCCGGUUGGAACUUCCUAAUCAAGCUUAAUUAGGUAAAAGUUACUUUCAAACCUAAGAUUAGAUUUUGUUUAGAUAAACACUUAAUCUAUAUGAUUAAUUUGUCUUUUUUUGCAGGAGGGUCAACAUGUUUUAAGUAUAACCAAACAAAAGCCACCCCCGACAAUCUGUAGAGAAUCAAAUGAUAUCAAAUCUCUCCACCAGCACCACCAGCACCACCACCACCAUCACCGCCAGCAGCAGCAGUACCACCAUCCAAAUACCCAACAAUACUACUUACUAGUUACUACCAUACAAAAAUGCAUACGUAAAAAGGGCAGUGAAAGGAAGGAAGUGGGUCCCCGUCCCAUCCCCAUUAACCUUUUCCUUCUUUUAUUUGUUGUUUGUACUAUUUUCGGUCACAUCUACUCCCCCCAUUUUCUGCACUAGCUUUAUCAAGUCGGAAGAAAUCAAAGCACCACAGGUUAAAAGAAAAGGAGACACGGUAAAAAAAAAAAAUGUUAGUUUGUUGUAACUUUUGGCACUGUAAUUUUAAUUUUCACCCUUCCAAGUGAAACAAUUGCCUAAAGGUUUAGUGCUAGACGAGUGUUACUGUUAGUCUCUGUUAUUUCAAGUGUAAUCAAAAUCUUUGUACAGCAGAAGCAGAAGAACCCAGAAGAAGCUAUAAGCUGAAGAAAGAAAGAGGUAAAAAGUAAAUUUGUAAGUUUGUAACUACAAAGGCUGAUUCACUGAUAUGAAGGGAAAGCUCGGGAAGAAGGAUAAAUUACUGUCAGAUGAGCUCCAGUUAGAUAUUGGGAAAUUUUUUUGUACCACUAUCAAUCAUGUGUUCCUGCUGCUUGUAGUUGUUAUCAAACGGUAAGAAAAGUUUAGGAACAAUAUCAGAAAUGAAACAAGUCAAGUUGAUACCCUUUACUCUUUUCUAUACCGUCAUUGCCCUUAUAUGUAUUAACGAUUUUACAUGAAACGUAUUCAUUGUCAUGUGGUAUUCCGGCUAAUCUCAUGCAUGUCUAUUGUCAUUUGGUCUUCCGGUUUAAUCCCAGGCACGUCUAAGCUCCUGUUCAUGUGACAUAAGAUUAUUAGAUUACAUGUAAUGAGACAGUGAAUCAGUUCCAUGUAAGUUGUUAUAUUGUUUUUAGAGAAAAUAUUCUUAGGAAGCAUCAGUUAUAUAUUUUUUAAUGAUGUUUUAAAGUGUUUUCUCAAAAUUUCACUUGCGUUUUCAUUAAGGAUUGAUUUUAAAAAUAUUUUUACCAAAAAUAAUUGGUUUUAUAUUUUAUCAAAAGUUAGUUUUAAAAACAUUUUUACUAAAAAUGCUCUCAAUACUUUUAAAGGCUUAUAAUUCAGACUUUUAAAAUUUGAUUUAACGGUUAAAGUUAUUAUAACUUUUAAAAUGAGUUUUUAUUUAUAGUCGAUCAAAUUUUAAUAGUCCGAAUGAUGAGACUUUAUGGAUUAAAACCAAUGGAUCCAUGUGCUUUCUAAACGAGUUCAAAGUUUAUUUUGUUAUGUUGUCCGUUUGUGAAAAGCUUUUUCUAUUUUUUUUCAUGUUUUGUAAUUGGCGGGAUACAUGGGGCCCUAAGGACCAAAGCUGAGUGGGGACCGCAGUGCACAGUGUCACAUGGGAUUGCUGACGCUGCAAGCGGGUCCUACUCAUUUAUAUAAUGCCAGAUUGGGGGUUGGGUCCCUACGCACCAAAUACCCCACCCAUGUGAGCAAUCUAUGCCAUGCCACUAUCUCUCUCUAAGCUUUCUCUCUCUACUUUCUCUCUCUUUUUAUUGACAGGAAAAAGAGAGGGGACAUGCAUAGAUCUAAAAGUAGAUGUGAUGCCCACACGUAUGACAAAAGUGCACGGAUACUGGAAUCUUUUGGGCUCCGUAGCCCUAUUUUGUGAAUGCGUGACAAAAUUGGCAGUAACUGCAAGAUAUAUUAUUUACUCUUUGGCUCGGAGUUUGUAGCUAACCUACUUGACCAGUAAAAUAAAAGGAAAACUAAUGAAAAGGGCUUGAAAACUUUGAGUUUUAAUGAUAAGGACAAAAUAAAGGGUAAAGUGAAUAGUACCAGGAUUGACUUUUUAGUGUAAAAAUGUGAUUUUUCAUUAAAGUGAACAGUACCGGGAGCUUUUCGUUAAAGUUUCCUAAAAUAAAAGAAUUAAUAGAAAAAUUUUGAAAACUUAGAAUUUUAACGAUAAAAAUAAAAUAAAAUAAAGUAGUAUUAUAAUUGAUUUUUUAAUAUAAGAAUGUGGUUUUUCGUUAAAAUAAACAAUACUAGAGCUUUUCAUUAAAGUUUCUUAAAAUAAAUCUAAGUUAGAUGGAUAAAAUGGAAAGAGAUUCUUUUCAGAUCUCUUCUACCAAAACUACCAGAUUAAAUGAUUUGGACUUUUCAAAUUUCAUCCAACAGUAAAAAAUUAUCACAUUUUUUAAGGAAUCAAAACAAAUGGGCUGUUUGAUGAAAUUUAGAAGGUUCGGAUCACAUGAUCAAGUGGCCUUGGUGGAAGAGAUCCGGAGAAGAUCUCUUUCCGGAUAAAAUGGAUAUGGGUGGUGAGAAACAUGGAUAAUUUUAGUUCGGUAUUGAUUAACUUAUUUAUUAUUUAUAAUGAUACAUAUUUAAUUUAUAAAUUUAAUUUAAAAUUUUGAUCUUCUUAGGAUUGUCUGAAAAAUAGGUAGGCAAAAUAUUUCGGCAACUACAAAAUUACUAUUUUACCGUGUAAGACCAUAUCCUUGCGCUGUUUCCCAACUGGUUUUGGGAAUUUAUGAUUAGGGUUUUGGAAUGAAGGGCUCAGCAAUUAAUAAGUCGUUGAAGUCUUUGGCCCCUUUUGACUAUGACGUUUUCGGUUCGUUGUUUUAACUCCGGUAAAUUAAAUAGAUGAAAGUGACGGGAGUGAAAGGGGUAAAAGCAAAAAUCUUACUUAGUGUUGAAGGAUAAUUAAUGUUAUGGAGGGCUAAACGUACGUAGUCUUUAAUUAGAGUAGUCAUAUACUUACCAUCUAAUUAUACAAUUACUUGUACUAUUUUUUAUAUUUUUUGUAAUAGAGAUAAAUUUCAACAACGCAUGUGUGUUUCAUCUCUAUAGAGAGAUAGUAUAAGUGAUUGUACAAAUAAAUGGUAAAAAUAACAUUUUUGCUUUAAUUAUGCUUUAGUCUUUCAAAAUUAAUAUUUUAAAGAAUAGAGUUACAUUUUUUUCAUCUCCAGUCAUGCAUGGCUGAGAAGAUCGUUUAAAAGUGCUUUUAAAUGAUUGAAAUCUAAAACCGCUUUCAAUCAUAUAAAAUCACUUUUCAAACGAGCCAUAAGUCUCUCCAUUGAUGCUGGUUUGCUAGGUGAAGCGGCUAAAUGUAGCCCUAAUUCUGUUGAGCAUAUUCUUUGGGCAUUUGGCUUGAUACGGGUUUUGUAUAAACUAUAUGCUAAUGAACUUAAAUUAUGAGGCAUGGCAUGAUUAUUAAGUUGAAGAAAGGUGAUUACUUGUGUAACUAGAAUACUAAGUUAGGCCAUUAUGCGCAUGACUUCAGUUGAUGAAUGGUUACUUUGGCAUGUAAUGCCAAAAUGAGGUAACCUUUUUACCCAAAAAAAAAGAAAAAAGAAAAAGAGGUUACCUUAUGCGGUAGCGCACUAAAAAGACUGAAACGGGGCAAGACAUUUGUUGAUUGUCACCCUACAAUGUGGUGUCAACAUAUAGCAAUAGUAAUCAUCGUGUUAUAAUAUAUUUUGACAAUAUGAUUAUUUCAUUGUUAAAUUUAAUGUAUAUUAUGUACAAAUAAAUACAUGUGUUAUCUGAAUGAAUUGAUACUACCAUGAGAUACACGAGCGAGGCUACAUGGGGACAAGGAGGGAUGGCCACCCCUUCGAUUGCUGGAAAUCACUAUUGAGAGUAGGAGUUCGCCCUUUAGAUCCUUUGAACUGCCGUCGAAAUCUGUUGCGCUACUUCGCUGCUUCUGUGUUAUAUGCUUUGCUACUUUUUAUGCGUUUUAUAUUUUUUUAAAUACCCAGGCCAAAACAACGUCAUUUUGGUACUAGGAUUAAAAAAAAAAAAAAAAAUCGAACAACGUUGUUAAGGAAAAUUGUUAUUAGUCAAGAGUUUGUUAAGUUAUUUGAUAGUAUGAAGGAAUUGGGUGUACGGAGAAGUUUCAAGUCCUAUUCAGCUCUAUUUAAGGCCGUUAUGCAUCACAACCGGUAUAUAAUGGCCAAGAGGUAUUUUAAUGCAAUGUUGAGUGAGGGAAUAGAGCCGAAUAGGCAUAUUUAUAAAUUAUAUAAGUCACUCGGUCAUGCUUGCAAGGUGUUUGAUGAAACACCCCACUUAACUGUCACAAUUUUGAAUGCCAUGCUUAGGAGCUAGUGUAGAGAGAAUCGAUGAGAAUAUACCUUGUAUCUCUUGCAUAACAUGAUAUCUGAGUCAAGAAGCAAUGAUAAUAAGCCUGAUAAUUUUCCAUUCCCACUACUCUGAAGGUGUGUGUGAGGUUAAGGCACUCAUAUAUGAGAAAAUAAUACAUGGAUUUGUGAAGAUACAUGACAAGGUUGCAUUGAAUCCACUACUCUGAAGGUGUGUGUGAGGUUAAGACACUCAUAUAUGAGAAAAUAAUACAUGGGUUUGUGAAGAUACAUGACAAGGUUGCAUUGAAUACGUUUGUGGUUAUGCGUUGAUUGAAUUGUAUUUCAAAUGAAAAGAAAUGGGCACGGAUGUGAAAGAGUUCGACGAGUUUUCGCAACUGAAUAUGUUUUUACGAAGCGUGACAAAAAUAAAGCAGAAGCUUCUACCCUUUCAUGUUUUGUCCCUUCCUCCGACAAUUUUCAUCUUUGCCACUGAUGCGACAGUGGUGAAGUUACAUAGAAAUUUUUUUGCUGUGCUAUUAACACAAAGAACAAGACUGUUUCCUUAUAAGAUUUUUUGAUUAGUUGCACUUGGUUUAUGUAUCUCUAUACGUGAGCAAUUUUGUGUAAUGUCUUUAUCAAACCGUUUUGAUGUUUUUCAAAUAUGAAUGUAAUUCAAUAAAAGAAAAUAUGACUUACAUAUUAAAGUAACGAUUGCCUAAGUCAUAAAUAAGACAACAGCUUAUGAAAAUAACUGUACUUUUCCGUUAUAUACCUUUUUGUUUAAUCAUGUUCGUUAUAUUUGAAUAAUUUUUUGGAAACAUAAUGAUAAGAAUAAAAAUUGUGUAAAAAGAAAAAAAACUAGUAGGUGCCGAUGUGGUAUGAUUUCCUAGAGGAGAAAAGGCGAAUAUUGGCCCAGAAUUGGGUGUAAAGUUUGGGAUAUGAUUGUGUGAAAAUUAAUAAUGCCAAAUGAGAAAAUGCAGAAAGUAAAAAAGAAAAGCUGUGUUUGCUCUGCUCUAUCAUCAUUCUUUCAUGCAUGUACCACGUCUAAAUGAACAUGAUUAUGCCGGAAGAGGAUCCAAGGUAUUCUCUUUUGGCUUUUUCAUUUUAAUUUUUUUAUUAGAAUAUUGUAGGAUUAGGAUUUAGGAAAGUUCAAAGACAGGGAAACAAGCUCGAUAAGAGGGGCCAUAACAACCCCAAAACGUAAAACACUAGAUUUGGAACAUAAAAGCAGCCGGCUCCACCCAAAUUAACAGCCACUCCAUUGCCACGAAACUGCCGCCACCGAGAAGUAGAAUCAAAGAACCAAAAAGACGAAUGGAGAAGUAGAAUCAAAGAACCAAAAGACGAAUGAAAAAUGAGGUGGUCAAGCCUCCCGCGAUGAGCGCUCUUGUAAUUCUACUAAAUAUUGUUAAAUGCACUCCAACAGCCACCCAAACUCAAAGCACGUCUUCCGAUGAGAUCCAUGGAGCUCUAGUAGCUCAGAAUAUAAAGAUACACAAGUUUCUUGGUGCACAUAUAAAAUCAAAGCUUAUUUUUUAGUAUGCCCUAUAAAACUCAAACUUAAUCUCACUUUUCCUUUCGAAACAUAAAUUUCACCACUUUUUACCACUUUAUCACAAAACCUUUGCCGACGCAAUCCUAUGUCGCCAACAAAUGGUCGCCGAAGUCAAUCCAACCCCAACCCCCCCCCCCCCCGGCCGCGUGUCUUCCUCUUCUCCUUCUCUCCGUUUCCAUAUUUUUGUUAUCUUUUCUGAUUUUUAUACAAUAUUUUUUCUGUUUUUCUAUUCAAUUUCUUUAUGAAUUUAGUAUUUUAAAACUUUUAAACUUUCAUUUAAUAUGUAAAUCCAAGUGGCGUCAUAUCGUUGUGUGAAGGGUCCAACAUGUCUGCCACAUAAGCAACUUAACAGGAUCUAGACAAUUUGGGAUGAAAAUCUAGUUUUAGGGAGUGUAAGAUGGUGAUAUUUUUAUUUCACGGAUGAAAAUGAAAUGAAAUUUGAGUUUCACGGUUGCUAAAAAAAUAAGCUUAAGAUUAAAGAGGGAAGGUUCAAGGCUCGAUGUGCUAAUCUGUAUUGUAUAAAGAGUGGGGACACAUUUUUUUGACACAUUCUUAGGGCUCACUUUGUAUUAUAUGCAGCAAUCUGAUCGCCUAUUUUUAGGUCUUUAGUCAAAAAUUAUUUCUACCAAAAAUUACUCAAUUGCAAAAUUAUAUGACUCUUGGAUUAAAUAAUAGUGAUCUAGGUGUUUCUUUUUAAAAUUGUAUUUGUCUAAUUUUUCACUACAAAAGAUGUCUUAAUGGUUUUGAAUUUAUCUAAUUUUUGACAAUAAUGAUCUAUGAAUUAAAAUUGAAAUAUUUGAUGGUUCAGAUCUUUGAAAAAAUGUUACAAAAUGAGAACCACAAAAAAGUAUAUUAAAAUGUGCCUAUAUUUGUGUCCUUUGAUCCUAAUUUAUAUGUGUGUGUGCGUGCAUAUGCAAGUAACUAUAGCUUCGCAAUGACAACCUUGAUUGAAUGUGUAGGGUAGGUGGGACAUGGUGACACACAACACCAAUUCGGAAAGGUCACUCUCUUGCUUAAGGAUGCCUGUGAGGUGGGUAGUUUAUUUGGAGCAGAUGCGUCCUAAAGAGUAACGGAGGUGUGUGACAGUAGGCUCAAGCUAAAAUUUUUGUUGUUGAGAGUAUUAUAAGCUUGCUUGAUUGUGAGACCUAUUAGUCGAACAUAGAUGAAAAUCGGCCAUAAUGAUUCGAGGGACCUGUAGGAAAAGGCUCUCACUCGACAGAUCAAAGGUUCGCUUGGAAUGUUGGAAAAUUACUUAUUAUUUUAUUUUUGUUUAUGGUUUCCUUGUGGACAAUGAUAUUAGAGUUUUCUAUAUUCUUUAAGGAUUAGGAUUUUGUUUUAGUUUUCACUAUAUAUAGUAGUGUUUGUAUUAGUUAAUCAACAAGUUAGUCACGAUCUAGUCUCUUGGGAUUAUGUUGUCAUUUCAACAUUCAGUUUGUUUAAUAAUAUUCUUAUUAUUUUGUUAGUCUUGUUCGUUGCGCACUCUGAUAUUCAACUUAGUAUCAAAGUAGGUUCAAUCCUUCGGGAUUUAAUUUGCUUGGUUGGGUUGGUAUCUGUUUAUCAGUAUACCCGUUUGCCUUUACUUCUGAUCUGAAGCUGUGAAAGAUUUGAUGCGUCCUGACGAUUGACGGGAACCUUGCACCAUCACCAGACGACAAACUUGUGCCCACAUCAUGCUGCCACUUGCCGUCGCACCACCUUGUACCCAACUUGAGACCCAACGACACACGCACAGCUACAAUCCUUAUUGCCAGAAAUCCCGACCUACAACCUGAAGAACUCGAUCCGACGAACCCAACAUCGCGUUGUCACCUGAACCCAUAUCAGACCUACAUCAAACCCGCCACCACGCCCACCUGAACCCUUGAACCCGUCUGCCCCACCACCGCUGCUGCUCGACCCGAGAACCAUAAACUCGGAUUGAGUUUGUCCUCUCCCUGUACUCUACUGCAGUUUCGAACCCACUGGAACAACCGCUGCACCAGAAUGCCAUUGCCAUCAAACGCUGUUACCAGCACUUGCCGUCUGCAACCAAAAGUCUCGCUGCUGUUUGCACUUGUUCGCAUAGAAAAAGAAAGAAGAAGGAAAUGAAAGAAGAAAAAGAAAGGAAAUAAAAAAUAAGAAAAAAGAAGGCCGGAAAAGAGAAAAAAAGAAAAAAAAAGGUAUGGAGCCCACAAUCUGUUGGGCUAUAAUGAUUUGUUUGAAGGCCUUUAGUUGGGCCUUGUUGAUUGCUGGAAUUGCUUGUUCACUCGCUCGCCUGCUCGUUUGGAUUAUUUGUUUGCUCGCUUGAACCGCUUGUCUUGUCGUGUCCGCCUAACGGAGUUUGUCUUGACUUGUCUGCCUAACGGAACUCAUCUUGUCUUGUCUGCCUAACGGAGCUUGCAUCCGCAUCUGCUUGUUGGCAAACUCAUGACGUGUACCGCCAUGAGUUUGACGGGGUGUUGGAAAAUUAGUUAUUAUUUUAUUUUUUGUUUAUGGUUUCCUUGUGGGACAAACAUAUUAGAGUUUUCUAUAUCCUUUAAGGAUUAGGAUUUUGCUUUAGUUUUCACUAUAUAUAGUAGUGCUUGUAUUAGUUAAUCAACAAGUCAGUCACGAUGUAGUCUAUUGGGAUUAUGUAGCCGUUUCGGUAUUCAGUUUGUUUAAUAAUAUUCUUAUUAUUUUGUUAGUCUCGUUCAUUGCGCACUCUGAUAUUUAACAUAACAGACUGAUGAUAUAGGGGUGGUCAAAUUGUGUGUGUGGAGCUUAUGUUUUCAUUUAUGCAUACAUUUUCAUCUCAUGUCAAAAUUACGAGGCAAGUAGCCUGGAUUUUAUACUUUGGGGGGUACUCAACUCUUAACAAUGAUAACAAAGACAAAAAGGAAACAAGGAUCACCGAUUUGGCGGUGUCAGCAUACCUACAUAAUUAUAUCCUUUUGGAUGUUAUCGGGUCGCUGAUAAUUUGUGUGACAACCCGUCCCAAUUAUUAUAUAUUUUUCUUCCCGAGUGUGUAAAGUGACGAAUAUGCCCUCAUUGGCUUAGUGACGUGGAUGUGAAUAUGUAGUUUUAAAUUAUUUUUUCGCCGUUGUAAUUAAAUCGUACUUGAUGUCACGAGCACGUCGACGUGAGUUAGGGUCGAAUCAGAUUUCUAACGAAAGUGUUAUGAUGAUUAAAGAUCAAGAUUUGCUAGAAUUUAAUUUUGGGUGGCCUAUCAAAUAUCCACCAGUUAUCUUCCUUCCUACAAUCUUGAGCCCAAUUAGAAUUUUUGGGUUUAUUUUAUUUCCUUUGGACCAAUUAAUUAGACCCUAAAUCCCAUAGCCCAAUCAGGGCUUGUGACCCCCUUUUAUUUUGGCCAACCCGUCACACACGCGCACACACACAUGCAACCCUUCACCCUCAUCUUCUCAAAAUUUCCCUCGUCCGUACACCAUACGACCAUCACUUUCAAACUUACCAAAAUUUCCACGGAUCGACCCUACUGAAACUAUCAUCAUACUCCUCUCAAGGUUACGAGUUCAUCCAUACUAUUAGGUUGAGGAAGCUCUUAAUCAACUCCAUAGAGACCUUAGAGUAGUUUUAGGGUGGAGUUGACAUGGGGAUAAGAGGAUUCACGGAGUUCCAAUUUGGCCGGAUUUUUUCCAAGCUUUAUUCCAACUACUUCUCGUCGGUUUUAGGAUCUCUAAUAGGUAAGGUUAUGAUCUACUAGUUGAGGGCUUCAAAUUCAUAUAAGAUCUAUGAAUUUUGGUGAUGAAAUGAAAGAGAUAUUGAAGUUUGAAGUUUUUCCAGUUUCCGGCGUAACAGACGGCGGCCGACGGCGGAUUCCGGUGAGUCAUCGGAGAAAAAGAGGAAUAUUUUGUCAACUUUGAUGGAAUAUACUGACGGUGUCAGGUAACUCCAUUAGGAUUUUAAUGGAAUAUUCUACUAUUUAACGAAAUAUUCCCUAACGCCGUUAGGGAUUCCGUCAGUGUGUCAGGCAUGUGCUUGCGCGUGGCCGCCACGUGAGGGCGCGUGUGACGUCUAAAAAUUAUUCUAAAAAUAUGGGGGUGUUCAUGUUGUUGAGUAGAUCACGUUGGUAUAUUCAAACACCCUAUUUGAGCAACAUAUGAGAAGUUGUUCAUUAGGUUUGUGUAUGUGCUUUAAAAUUAAUGUAAAAUUAGUUAUUUCACAUAUAAGUGAGACGUACCUUGAGGACGAGCGUGGACAAGCGAGGCUAGAGGGCUACGAUCCUGCUACUUAUCAGUGAGUGGGCAUUUUCUUUAUAUAUAUAUAUAUAUAUGAUAUGGUUUCCAAAACGUUUUCUUAAAUGAUUUAUACUUUGAAUGCCAUGUCGUAAUGAGUUGCACUUUAAGUAUUGCACUGUUACAUGUGAAUUAUAUUGGGUGAUGCUGUGGAAACUCAUGUAAGCUUCAGGUGAGUAUGAUGUGAUUGAAUGGGUUGUGUUGCAUUGGUACGCAUGUAUUUAUUUAGAGCUCAUCAAGGCUGCACCCGGUAUUAGUGCUCUUGCCCGGGGAUUUGGGCACAUCCUUCAUGUGAUCGUUCAACUCUUGUACCGCACACUCACCUUAGAUUCAAGUUUGGUGCCAGCCUGUUGUACAGACCACAAUAGGUGGUUCCGACUCAUAGGUGACCCGCGAUUUAUCGCACAGCCCUCAUGUGAUCGUAGCACUUGAGCGUACAUAUUUAUACCUAGCCUGUCGUACAAGUCACAUCAAGUGAGUUCGACUCGUGUGCUAGCCUAGGUUGAUGAGCUAUGGUUCCAGUCGUAUAGGUCACAUUAGGUGACUCCAACUGACAUGUUAUUUUAUAUUGAUUCUACACCUGGCUUACAUGAUUUAGAGCUGAAACGUUAUGACAUGGCAUAUUUUGGGUAUCAAUGCACUUAUGCAUUGCUUUUCAUAUAUACGUAGUAUUAUUUUCUGGAAAUUAUAUGGGUUUUACAAUGAGGGGUUAUUAUGUUCAUAAAAGAUAAACGUGUUUUCAAACGUUUUGUUUUUGCCCACUCACUCUUCUGUUUUGCGCCCUUCUAGGUUCUAGGUAGUUGAUCAUCUUUGGGUGGCUCACGAGGACUUCCCAGCAAUUUUGAUAUAUCCAUAAAUAAGUAGGGAUCUUCUCCCUAUUUUGUAUAAUUAGCACUUACUUGGUUUGACUGCACUGUUGGAUUGCCUAUGCUCUGAAUACUUGUAUUUGGUACUUGACCACUUUCACGCACUUAUUUAUUAUCUGUAACAACCCGUCCCGAUUUUAUUGGAACGAAUAGGGUAUUUUCGUGAAAUUACAUCUUGGGUUAGAUCUUUUUCUUUUAAAAUUGUUUUUGGGUCUUAAUUGGUGUGCCAAGGGGCCCACCUCUGAUUUGGUUCCCCCGGCUCUCCCAUUUUUUCUGAUUUCUAACAUAUACACACCCACACACAGUUCUCUCUCUCUCUUCCCAUCACUUUCUCUCCCUUUCUUUCUUCUUGUUCCACACCCCCGAUUUGGGUUAAGGUGACCUGAUUUCAGGCCAGGGAUUUGGCCCGUUUUUGGCACACUUUCAAACGCUCAUAACUUAUUCGUUACUUAACCAAAUCAAGUGAUCCAAACAUGAAAGUUGUAGUACUCGACGAGAUGAAGAGAUUGAUACCCUACACGCCGGUCAAAUCAUAAUGGUUUGGCUGGAAAACGAGUCACCUCAACCCAAAACCUUUUAAACCCUUUUCAAAAACCCAGCCUAAACAAUUAGGCUAUGUAGUCGGCCCAAACCCAAAACCUAAUCCUCUAACCUAGCCUAACCCAAGCCCCAUUUCUAUCAACCUAAGCCUUAUGGCCCAAAUGACCCAAAACCCAAACCCUUUGAACCUAGGGCCUUCGGCCCACUAAACCCUUUAACCUAAACCUAACUCCCAACCUGGUGGAAUAUUUCAUGGAAAAAUACCCGGGACACUUCUUAGGGUAAUUCGACGUCCUAAAUCCGUUUCCAAUAUCUGUUUUCCCAAAUUCAAUUGUUAUAAUAGAGUUUUAUUAAUUUGACCCUUUAUGUGCUUAGGGGCAAUUAUUUGUGGCGUCUCCGUCUUUGCUAGUUUGCGUGACUCUUCAGCGGCAAAGUAUCUGUGAGUGGACCCCUUCUAAAAUGCAUGUUUUAAUAGUAGAAAUGCAUACAUGGAAAAGCAUGAUUUAGCAAUUAUGUUCUAUGAAACGCUUUGAGAUAACAUGCUUACUGAGGCUAUUUUGAAUUAUUACUAUUUUUCCUAUAACCCGUGUUCUUAUAGAAUAUCUGAUGGAUGACGAUAUGAUAUUUAGAACAUGUUUCAAACACCUAUUUAUAGUAUAGAUGAUGGAUGACUUUAUACUAUGAAGUUGUUUUUCAAUAUAUAUAUGUUCAAUGGUUUUGUACUUACCUAGUGGUCCCUAUUCCGCUAUAGGACGAAUGGAUAGAUUCCGAUCUGUCUCGGGUGACGGUUAUGGUGUUGGCAUAGGGCUUGAAGUGUUUUUCCUCUGGCUAUUAGCACAGGGACAGGGAGCUGGCAUGGUGCUUGGGGGUAACUUUCCUCUGACUAUUUGCUUAGAGACGGGGAGCCGGCAUGGAGCCUGGAGAGUUAUUAAACAUUCACUAGUGGUUAUUAUACAUACAAGUUAUGAUUUGAGAUAUUGCACGACAUGCUAGGUUUUGGAAAACCUAUGUUUAUCAUGAUAUAUAUGUGUUUUCAUAAAACCUGGGGGUUAGUAUGUUGAUAACUGUUUUAUUAUAUAUAUAUAUAUAUAUCAACUUAGUCCACUUAUGUUUGUUUUGCGCCCCCUUCAGAAUUUAGAAUCGAGGCAUACAAUCCCGACGUCAAGGCACUUCCGCAUUGGCAUCUUCGAGUCCUCUCGGUAUAGGACCCACUCCUUUGUUCAUUCAAUUUUAUAUUAAUUAUUUAAGCGUUCUAGAUUAGUUGUGUGCUCUGAACACGUUCCUAAAAUGCAUAUUCAUUAUCUUUUAUAUUUAUAAGUCUUAUUUAUUCCUUGUUCUCAGCAUUUGCAUUCAAUAAAUGGCUUUCGUCACCUUCGGAUGUCGGCCAGAACGUGCUUAUCUUGGAAUUUCGAGGAAUAUCGGGAUCGAAGCGUGUCAUUAUCACUAGUUAAAUUAGCUUAGGUUGGUUUUUAUUUAUUCGCAUUUUCUUAUUAUCGUAUACACUUCUAUUGCGCACUUGGCUAUGUUACCCUCACGUGAUGGCCAAUACGUCUCGACUUUGGUCGUGGUGUGUCAAUUUGUAUGUAUAAUUAUAGAAAAAUUUGUUUGGAUAUGACUAUUUAUAUAUUAAAAGUAUUUGAGAGUAGAAAUAAAUGACAAAUUCUUUAUUUUAUUCAUGUUAAAUGUUACUCAUGAAAAGCAGUUGUACUUUUUAAUUCUAUCAUUUUUGUGGUGUUAGUAGGAAUAUUUUUUUUUCCUGUGAAUAACCUUUAAUUUGGACAAAAUUAGAAAUUUGUCAUCCAUUUCUUUCUUUAAAAUGCAUUAGAAACACUUUGAACACUCAUUUUAUAGCUAUUUUAGUUUUCGAUUUUGUUAUUUCACUUUUCCGUGUUAGUAGUAAAUACAUAGAAAAAAAAUGAGGUAUGAAGGAUGCAAAAAAUAAAAGAAAUGUACAAAUUAAAACACACAAGCCGCGACCACGCUUAGCAAUCUCAUUAAAAGUCUCGGAACAUAAAGAAAUCUAAUAGCCAAUAAGUUCUUUUGAUGCCCUUCUGAAAACUAGCAUCGUGUAUAUAUGUAUAUUGAGGCUUUUAAGGGAAUAUAUUUUUAUUUUUUUAAAUGGGGAUUAGUUAUGGGGUUCCAUCAUAUUGAACUUCAACUAUCUGAACAGUCUAUUUUUCAAGUUGAACCUUAUAAAUCAUCCUUGCAAAAUAUUAGUCAAAUCGAAAACAUUUGAGAUAUCUAAUUAAGUACAAAGAAAUUAACAAACAAGUUCCAUGUACUAAACCAGUAAAAUAACAAGAAAAAUGGGAUCUAAUUCAUAAACUCAUCUACCCAGAUUUAAGAUUGACUAAUAACUAAUUCAUAAGUUAGGACAUUAGACCGCGCAAACGAACAAACGGCACCAUAUGAUAAAACUACAAAUAUCUCUUUAUUGACGAAAAACAAAGAAAAAUUACAAAAUCGCUGAGGCAACUACAUAACCCUUCAAGAAUAUAUCUUGUCAGACUUAUAUAAAAUAAAUGAAUACAAACACUCAUAUAUAUAGUGAAACAUAAAAUAAACCCUAAACCUUAAUGGGCAAGAAAUCUUUAUCCUUGGCCCACAAGAAAACCAUAAAUAACAAUAAAAUAAAUAACUAAUUUUUCAACACCCUGUCAAACUUAUGGCGGCACAUGACAUGAGUUUGCCAACAAGCAGAUGCGAACAUAGACUCCGUUAACAUUAACUAUGGUUAGUUUUUAUGCAGCUCGGUCUUUGUAGAAUUGUGUCACACAUCUAAAACAUUAACCAUGGUUAGUUUUUGCCUUUAAUUUUUUUUUUUUUGAAAAAGAAAAAAGAAAUUAAUACAUUAUAUCUUUUUUACCAUUUAAUAUACACUUACACCAUUAAGAAGAAACACUCCAUGCUAGCUUGAAUUUCAAUUGAGUGUACAAGAUAAACAGCAUCACCCAAUUAAAUUAGCAUGCCAAUCAAUUAAUUUAAUCCAUAGACAUGUAAGUUUUGAAUAAAAUUUAUCAAAGUAUUUGGUGGAGAGUAUGGAGUCCGUGCAACACAUUUCAAUGUGUAAUAAGAGCUUUACAAUUAUGAUUUUAAAUCAAUCAUGCCUUAAUUCGAAAAUUGGUAUUUCUCAAUUUUCUUGGAAUGGGGCGCGACAAAAAUGUCUGAUAUCCGCGAUAUGUAAGGUAUAUAUAAAGCGUGCACUACGCGCCCUUUCUCAUAUAUUGAGAAUUAUUGACUAAAUCUACUUCAUUUAAUUACGGAUUUUAUUUUAUUAAAUAAUGAGUUUGAGGGGGUGUUAAAAAGUAAAAUAGAAAUUAUUUUUGAUUUGAUUUAAUUAAAGAUUCUUUGUUUUAGAGUGUUUGAAAGUGAUUUUAAAAUGACUGGAAAUGUUUUAUAGAAAAUGUUUUUGGGAUCUAAAAACACUUCAAGUGUUCUUCCGGAAUUUACUUGUGUUUUUAUUAAGGAUUGGUUUAAAAAACAUUUUCAUAAAAAAUGUUUUCAGUCAUUUUAAAAUCACUUCCAAUCAAGCUUAGAUACCAAGCUUACUUUUUUUAGGGCCGGUUUAUUUUGAUUUUAUUUCCUAUUUAUUACUUUUGUUCUCUUAUAAAUUGAUUUAAGAUGGGGAAGAAAGAAUAAUACUGUGAGAUUAUCAAAGAAUUCUGGAAUUUUAUCGUAAAACCUUUAUUUUUAACGAUAAACUUGUGCGAGAUGAUGCCAUUCGCUGCAUAUUGUGCUACUGGGGUUGCAAUCGUGGCUGCAUUAGUUUUUUCUUGUUUCUAUAUUUAUACAACAUAUAACGUGAUGGAUGAAUCAUCACCAGGCACCGUGUCAUACCACUCCUAUCAACGAUCUCUGCGCCGCGAUGUUGAAAGUGGUGGAACCAAAGACGGUGGUGUGGCUGUUUUGGGAGCAGCUGGUUUUACUUUGGCUAAUUCAACUGCUGUAGCUACCGUAAAUAGUCAUGUUGGCAGCAUCAGCGGUGGAGGCUGUGGGGGUGGUGGCAGUGGAGGAGGCUAUGGCGGCGGUGGUGAGGGCGGUGUAGGAGGUUAUGGUGGUGGUGGAGUAUUUUGAGGUUGCAUGAUUGGAUCGUGUUGUUAAUACUGGUUCUCUAAUUAUGCUUGUCAUCUAGCACGUCAACACCAAUUCGUGUUGUAAGUGUUGGAUUGUCCUACUAGUUAGGCUAAUUAUUUUUAAACCACUACGUCAAACUCUUUUUUUAUUUUUUUUAUUUAUUUUUUCUUCUUCUUCUCUUCUUAGCAAUAUUUAGAAUAGAAAUACCGUUUGUAUUCGUUGGUUGAAAUUUAGGUUUGUCAUGUGUAUCCCAUUUGUAACUGGAUUAAUUGGAUCAGAUUUUGACUUAGAUUGCAGUAUCCCAUAUCACCCCAUAUAAGAUGAUUUUUUUGGGAUACUUUGGAUGCGGUCCCUAAUCCUUAACAUUCUUUGAUUAAAACCUUAAUAGUAUUCAAAGUUUGAUCAAGGUCCCUUGACUUUGUACACCUCAAUAUAUUACUAUUAAUAUUUAUAUUUUUAUAGUUUUGACAUUAAUUGUUUGAUAUUUUAUGAGAUUUAAAAUCCUAUAAAUUUAAAAUCCUUCAUUAUAAUACUAUUAGAAACGCUUACAAUAAAAAAAAGUCAAACAUUUUGAUUGAAUAAAUGGAUAAAAACUAUGUAAAAAUAAGAAAUAAUAAAUGGCAAAGAAUGUAUCCAUAGUGUUAAAAAAAUUGGUACAUUUCACAUAUAACAAAGUGAUAUAUUUAUAAAGAAGAAUGGGUACAUUAUAAAUAAAUUAGGGUACAGAUAAAAGAUUAAAAAUUAUGAGUACAAAUGAAUUUUUAAAAAUAUAGGCGCUAAAAGAAAUUAAUACAUGGGUACAAAAUAAAACUAAAAAAACAAUACUACAAAUUAAAAAAAAAAUGUUGCAAAUUAAAAGUGGGUACAAAUUAAAAAUAUAAAUAUAUGAUACAAAGUUUAGGCAUAACAUAAAUAUACCAUAUGAAAAUUUUCUAUCAUUGAUUAAAUAUACAAUGUCAUGUGACCGUAUACACAUGAGUACAAACACAAAUAAAGCUUUAAAACAUAUGGGCAGAAAAAGAAACUAAUAUAUGGGUACAAAUUAAAAAUGAAAAGAAAAUUGGUACAAAUUAAAAAAUAUUUGCAAAUUAAAAAUAGGUACAAACUAAAAAUAAAAAUAUAUGAUAAAAAAAAAUUUAGCCAUAAAUAUAAAUAUACUAAUUGUAACAUUUUUAACACAAAAGGAAUAUAUGUAAAAAUAAAAAUAUUUUAUUAUUCAAAUAAUUAAUGAUGUGUUGUAAACAUUCCUAGUUUAAGUAUGAUUGUGUAAAUCCUAGAUAAGCAUUGAUUCUAGUUAUCCUUUCCUAUUACAACUUGUAUUACUUGGAGAGAAGAAAUAUCUUCUCUACCUUUACUACUAUAAAUAAAGGCACAAUGUAGGAGGGAUAACAACACACACAUUCCCCUACAAUUCUACAAACACACAUCUCUCUUCUCUCUUUCUUUGCCGCCGACCCUAGUCUCUCUGUCAGAUAAAAUAGACCACAACACGUUAUCAGCACGCUCCUACCGCUGCGCUUAGGAAUCUGACGUUAGAGAUUUUUUUUUCUGCAUCAAACCAGUUCAUCCAUAUCAUCACGCAAUCAGGUUCUUUCCAAACAACGGCUUUUAACUCGAUAUUUUGCAAGCCCUGAUAGCAUAAACAUUCACCAUGAUGCAUGACCCAACUUUACGUUUAACGUAUUUUAGAUUCUACAUAAAUUGUGUAUGCUUCAUAAUCAAAAUUGCUACAAUUAUGUGAAUUUGAUAUUUACCAUGAAUUGAAUCUUACAUAUGUACAUGCAUUGAAACUAUUAUAUGCAUAUGCAUCAACAUAAAUAUGUGAUUCAUUAAAAUUAUACAUGCAUAUAAUAUAAUUGAAUUGAAAAUAAAAACAAAAACAAAAAACAUUUUUUUUGCGAUUGGGAUAUGAGUUCUUUCGAACCCGUGACCACCAUCCUGCAGAUGGGGUAUCACACGCAAAUCAGAGAGCAUUCAGCUCUCCUUGUUCCUAGAAACCCACGGAGCCAAGCCCCAAAAACCCAAAAUCCCGACACCCUUCAUGGUGUCCCCCGAUCAUGGAGUGGCCUACAGCCACAACCACGAACCUAUUAAUUCUUGCUAUAAACGACCUAAAGUCGUCCCAUGUCGGUAAUUGAACCGAGAUUCACCGGAAUCUCGUCGGAAUUUUUUUUGAAAAAUUCGAUUUCAAUUUUUUUUUAGGGUUUUAUAGUUGUUGAAACGUUGAGAUUUUCUUAUCUCCGUGGUUGUCCACGACAACCGUGACUCACCCCAAGUCCCAACAACCCCGACGCCGUCAAAAUUUUCCGACUUUCUUCUUCGGCAUCGCACACCCAGCACGGCUGGGAUUUCUUUGGACCUCUUUCCCGAGCCCUACUCAGGCUCUGUCUCUCGGCCUGUGUAACAAAAGAAAAAACACAAAAAUUAUUUUUUUUUAGCUGGGCUCGCUUGCAGCGGCCCAGCCCGCAAAGAAAACAAAUUUUUUUUUAUUUCCAGGGCUCACCUGCAGCGGCCCAUACCAAAAAAAAAAGAGAAUUUUUUUUGUUUCUUUGGGCCAACCUGAUGUGGCCCGCCCGCGAAAAAAAAAGUUUUUUUUGGCUGCUUAACGCAGCCCAGUCCACCCCGUAGGCCUGCAGCCUACACCCGAGACCCUCCCCAGUCCAUUUUUUGGGCCUAGGUCUCACGGACCGAAAUUUUCAAGCCACCCGUGGCUUCAUAUUUUCUUUUGGACCGCAAAUUUAUUCUCGGCCUAUAUUUUUAGGCCCCGAGAUGUUAUUAUUUAAUUUUUUUUUUUAAAUAAUAUGGGUUUUAUAUUUUCACCCACACUUUAAUUUGGCCCCGAAGACCAAAAAUAAAUUAAUCCACUUAUCAUUAUACAAUAUUUCUGCAUAUAUUCUUUGCAUAUUUGUUUGCAUAUAUAUUUGUGUUUGCCUGCAGGAAUAUAUGAACCUGAAGUUCAUAAUUACUUUGAAACCCGAAGUUUCUUCUAAACAUGCCUUGUUUGAAAACCCGAAGUUUUCACUUAAACAUAUCACCCAUGAAACCCGAAGUUUUUCAUGCGAAAUUAAACCAAUACAUGUCUAUUAGAACCUGUAUGUUCUACUCCUAUGUGAAUGGAUUGAUUUUUCUCCAUUACACUAACCACAUCUUGUUCAUCCAUUUUGUGAUAGGAACAUGUCGAAUUUGAACAAACUCGACUUCACCGCUUUGGAGGUUUCUGGAAGGAACUACCUCAAGUGGGUUCAAGAUGUGAAGCUCCACCUCACUGCAAAGAACUUGCGUCCUGCUAUUGAAGAAGCAACAGAUGCACCUGUUGGCGAAGCUGAAAAAGCCACUGCUAUGAUCUUCAUCCGAAGACAUGUCCAUGACGCUCUGCAAACUGAGUACCUUGCUGAGGAGGAUCCACGUGCAUUAUGGGUCGCUUUGGCUGAUCGUUUCGAUCACCAAAAGGACAUAUUCUUGCCUGAAGCAAGACAUGACUGGCAGCACUUGCGCUUCCAAGACUUUAAGUCUGUGAAUGAAUAUAAUUAUGAAGUUUGUCGAAUCCGAUCACUUCUCAAGUUUUGCAAUGAAACUUUGACUGAAGAGGAUCUCCUGGAGAAGACCUACUCGACCUUCUCUGCUUCUAAUAUUGUCCUGCAGCAACAAUAUAGAGCUCAGAAGUUCACUAAGUUCUCGGAUUUGAUCUCUGUUUUACUUCUUGCUGAAAAGCAGAACCAGCUAUUGAUGAAGAAUCAUCAAGCUCGACCUACUGGGGCUACUGUUGUGCCUGAAGCACAUUAUAGCACUAAUCAGCACCCAAAACGCCAAAAGAGGCGUGGUAAGGGCGGCCAGAAGCCAUCCCACCAAGGUCAACAGAGCCAAGGCCCAUCCAAGGGAGGAAACAAAGCCCAGAAGCGCCCAAACCUCGCUCCCAAGGCCCCGAACUUCAAGAAUAAAGGCAAAGCACUUGCCACAAUGAAUGACGAUAUGUGCUAUCGUUGUGGUUCAAAGGACCAUUGGUCCCGUAUUUGCCGUGCUCCCAAGAAGGUUGUAGAUGAAUAUCAUUCUCGUCGUAAGAAGUUUGAAUCAAACUUCAUGCAAGUGGACGAACCGGAGACUACAAAGAUGGAGGUUUCUAACUUUCAAGAGGAUACCACUCCUAUGGAAGAUUAGAAUCUUAGACAUAGACUUAUUUUUCAGUUGAAAUAAGACAAUUGGGGCCGAAUUCCACCUAGUGGCCGAACCCCACCUUGUUUUUUUGGUUGAUUUUGAACUAUUUUCCUUUAUGUUUUGGAUUAUUAGUUGGCGAUUUAUUUUGGAUAUUAAGUUUUUAAUCCUUGAAUAAAUGAAAUUAUUUUGAAUUGAUACUUGUUUUUUAUAAACUUUUAUGCAUGCAUGUGACCGAUUCAAAUUAAUUUUUCAUUCUAGGUAUGACUAGUGGGAAAGUUAGUUGUCUGGCAGAUAGUGCAACCACGCAUACUGUUUUGCGUGAACGCAUCUAUUUCACUAACUUCGUACCUAAGAAUGCACCUCUGACAACCCUCUCAGGCCCAUCCAACCUGAUCGAAGGAUACGGUAAGGCACGUAUAAUGUUGUCCAAUGGUACAAUCUUGACCAUUGCUGAUGCACUCUAUUCUCCACGUUCCGGAAAAAGAAACGUUACUAAGUUUCAAGGACAUUAGAGAUAACAAUUACCACGCUGAAACCCCACGUAGAAAACGGAGUUUGAAUUUCUGUGCGUAACUUCCUACGAAUAUGGCCAGAAGCGUAUUCUAGAGAAGAUGGAGCGUAGCCCGAGUGGUCUGUAUACUACGACCAUACGCCUCAUAGAAUGCCACUAUGUGGCCGGCCCUACCACAGGGACCGCGCACGAAAUUACACUUUGGCAUGAUCGUUUGGGACAUCCUGGACGAAUAGCGAUGCGCCGUAUCCUCAAAACUUCACACGGGCAUCCACUAACCCGAAGCUUAGGUUCAAUCCAUGAAAUUGCAUGUCAAACAUGUUCUAUGGGAAAGCUUAUUACUAAGCCUUCUUAUGACAAGAUUCGUUCGAAUCCUCCCAUUUUUCUACAACGGAUUCAGGGGGACAUUUGUGGACCGAUUCAACCUCCCUGCGGACCAUUUAGAUAUUUUUAUGGUUUUGGUUGACGCUUCUACACGUUGGUCACACGUGUGCUUAUUGUCCACAAGGAACGCUGCAUUCUCCAAACUGUUGGCUCAUGUUAUCAAGCUCAGGGCUCACCACCCUGAUUAUCCGAUCAAAUCUAUUCGAUUGGAUAAUGCUGAAGAAUUCACAUCUAAAACUUUUGAUGACUAUUGCAUGUCGGUUGGGGUUGAAGUUGAACAUCCUGUACCCCAUGUUCACACCCAGAACGGCCUGGCAGAGGCUUUCAUUAAGCGUUUACAAAUGAUUGCUCGAUCGUUGGUCAUACGUACCAAGCUCCCGAUCGCUGCUUGGGGCCAUGCAAUAUUGCACGUAGCAAAGUUGGUCCGCCUGAGGCCUGUUGCGACACAACCAUUUAGUGCCCUUCAGUUGGUCACCGGAUGCAAACCCGACAUAUCGCAUCUGCGCGUUUUUGGUUGUGCGGUCUAUGUGCCGAUCUCGCCGCCCUUACGUACAAAAAUGGGGCCUCAGCGAAGGAUGGGAAUCUAUGUCGGAUAUGAUUCUCCUUCGAUUAUUCGUUACUUAGAACCUUUGACAGGCGAUCUGUUUACCGCUCGUUUCACGGAUUGUCACUUCUAUGAGACAGUCUUCCCGUCGUUAGGGGGAUAAGAACGUCAACGUUCCUAAUGAACGACGCGAAUUAUCGUGGACGACUCCCACUUUGUCUCAUUUAGAUCCCCGCACCGCUCAGUCUGAAGCUGAAGUGCAGCGCAUAUUAGAUCUCCAGAGCAUAGCUCAGAGCAUGCAAGAUGCUUUCACCGAUCUAGCGCGCGUGACAAGAUCACAUAUUCCAGCUGCGAAUACGCCUGCAAAGAUGGAUGUACCAAAUGUACGACGGACUACCCUCCUGGAAGCCUGGGACGCCAAUUCUGGUGAUCCACGUACAUUAGCGGCUAGCCAAUCAUCUGCCCUUACACAAAAGCGUGGCAGACCCCUUGGUUCAAAGGAUUCACACCCCCGGAAGAGGAAAACCACGGCACAAGGUCCUGAAGAGCCUACCGUGAAUCCGACUAUCGCUUACUUAUUUUACCCAACUCAUGAGGAAAUUCUAGAUUAUGGAAGCGUCCUUGAAAAGACGAAUCCUCCUUCCGAGAAUCGUGAGAUUUCGGUCUAUUAUGCUAGCUUAGAUGAUGUGUGGCGUAGAAAUGAGAUGAUUGUCGACGAUGCAUUAGCAUUUGCAGUAGCUACUGAGAUCAUGUUGAGCGAUGACAUUGAACCGCGUUCCGUUGAUGAAUGUCGACGUAGAGCUGAUUGGUCAAACUGGAAACAAGCAAUCCAAGUCGAACUUGAUUCACUUGCGAAACGUAAGGUGUUUGGACCUGUAGUUCCUACUCCUCCACAUUGAAGCCCGUUGGCUACAAGUGGGUUUUCGUUCGGAAGCGUAAUGAGAAGAACGAAAUUGUGCGUUACAAAGCUCGUCUUGUAGCACAAGGUUUCUCACAACGCCCCGGGAUUGACUAUGACGAAACUUACUCACCCAUUAUGGAUGUGAUUACCUUUCGAUACCUUAUCAGUUUGGUAGUUUCCGAAAAACUGGAUAUGCAGCUGAUGGACGUAGUAACCGCGUAUCUCUAUGGGGAUCUUGAUAUGGAAAUUUAUAUGAAAGUUCCCGAAGGACUUACAUUGACUGGUUCAAAUAUUUCCAAACCCCGGAACACGCUCUCAAUUCGGCUGAGGCGUUCACUAUACGGUUUGAAACAAUCCGGAAGAAUGUGGUAUAACCGUCUGAGUGAGUAUUUGACUAGUCAGGGAUAUGUGAACAACAAACUAUGCCCUUGUGUGUUCAUUAAGAAGUCACAUUCCGGAUUUGCGAUUGUUGCAGUAUAUGUCGAUGACAUGAAUCUCAUCGGAACUCCUGAAGAACUCGCGAGAACUGCUUCGCACCUGAAGUUGGAAUUUGAGAUGAAAGAUCUAGGUAAGACUCGAUACUGUCUCGGUCUCGAGAUAGAGCAUUGUUCGGAUGGAAUUUUAGUACAUCAAUCGAACUACACCCAGAAGGUGUUGCGCCGUUUUAAUGAGGAUAAAGCGAAGUCUUCGAGUACUCCUAUGGUCGUUCGUACGCUAGAUGCAAAACGAGAUCCCUUCCGUCCGAAGGAGGAUGAUGAAGAGAUUUUGGAGCCUGAAGUUCCUUAUCUAAGUGCGAUAGGCACUUUAUUGUACUUAGCUCAAUGCACUAGACCCGACAUCUCCUUCGCUGUUAAUCUUUUGGCAAGAUACAGCAAUGCACCAACAUGCAGACACUGGACUGGCGUGAAACACAUCUUCCGUUACCUUAAGGGUACUACGGAUUUGGGCUUAUUCUAUCCCUACGAAUCCUCGAGUGAUGCCGCACCCUAUGCUCAUCGGGUUGAUUCUCGCCUUGUUGGUUAUGCCGACGCUGGAUACUUAUCUGAUCCGCACAAGGCGCGUUCUCAAACGGGUUAUGUCUUUACCGUUGGAGGCACCGCAAUAUCUUGGAGGUCAACUAAACAGACCUUAGUUGCCACUUCGUCUAACCAUGCUGAAAUUCUCGCCUUACAUGAAGCAACUCGGGAAUGCUUUUGGUUGAGAGCAGUAGUGGGCCAUAUUCGAAGCUCCUGUGAUCUUCAUCCCGCCGUUAAUGCCCCGACGACGAUUUUUGAAGACAACGCAGCUUGCAUCGAACAACUCAAGAAGGGUUACAUCAAAGGAGACAACACCAAGCAUAUUGCGCCGAAGUUCUUCUUUACACAUCAACAACAAGAGCAUCAGAAGAUUGAAGUCACGCAAAUCCGAUCAUAAGACAAUCUGGCCGACCUCUUCACCAAAUCACUACCGAAGGCGACGUUUCAGAGGCUUGUUCAUGGAAUUGGUAUGCGUAAACUUUCUGAGUUGUAACUUUGCUAUUUCUCUUUGGAAUUAUGUCAAACUCAGGGGGAGUAUCUUCUGGAUACUUGCUUGAUCUUAAUGUACUCUUUUUCCCUACGAUUAGGAGCAUUUUUCCCACUGGGUUUUUGCUACCUAACUAGGUUUUAACGAGGCACCCACCUUGGGCUGGUCAUAUCCCUGAUGACGUCCUGUAGACGUUUCUUUUGACUUUGCAUUUCUCACGCAUUUUUCCUUAGAUUAUGGAUUUUGUCCCUACUCGGGUUUUUGCCAUAGCCUUAGGGUUUUUUUUAGUGAGACUUACUACUUAUGCAAGUUCCUACCUUAUUGAGAAUAAGCGUUGUUCCUUGGAAUCAAUGCCGACGAGUCAACUUCCUCAACUUCUGCAUGAUGCUGAAUCUACCUUGAGUAUUUACCCACUCAAGGGGGAGUGUUGUAAACAUUCCUAGUUUAAGUAUGAUUGUGUAAAUCCUAGAUAAGCAUUGAUUCUAGUUAUCCUUUCCUAUUACAACUUGUAUUACUUGGAGGAGAAGAAAUAUCUUCUCUACCUUUACUACUAUAAAUAAAGGCACAAUGUAGGAGGGAUAACAACACACACAUUCCCCUACAAUUCUACAAAUACACAUCUCUAUUCUCUCUUUCUCUGCCGCCAGCCCUAUUCUCUCUGUCAGAUAAAAUAGACCACAACAUGAUGUUAUUAAUACACAAGGACCUUGAUCAAAAAUUCAAAAUGAAUAGGAUUUUAACCAAUAGAGUAACAAAAAGAAGGAUGUGAACCUAAUUUUCCCUUUUUUUUUUUUUUUUGACAAACUAUAGGAUAAUUUAUACUAAGUUUAUGUAAAGUACAAAAAGAUAGAUGGCUUGAGACCGGAACGCAGUGGGUUGGAAAGAAAAAACAUAACCAUUAAAGCAAUCCACUACUUGCAUCUCAUAUCACACAACAAUUAGAGUAUGUUUCAUCAAUAUUUCCCUUUUUGAUGUUCACCCCAAUUCCGUUUGAUUAGUUUGUUUAAUUGAUCUAAUACAUGAAACUCGAAAUUUAAACUAAUUUAUAACAACCAGUAUUGGGUGAGCAAAAAAAUACACUAUACCUAAUUUAAUUUCCCUUUCUUUUAAAGGGCAAAUGCGUACGUAAAACAACAAAUUUUUUUUGCUAUUCCUUAACUUAUUUGGAUGGCCAUUUCCAAGCUGAAACGAGGAAAGAAAUCCUUAAACCCAAAGCAAGGAUCAAUAUGAGCAAAAAAGGGAAAGUAUCAAUCAAAUGAAUGAAUUGUGAAAGGCUUGGGGAAAAAGCACGACACUUAUAAUAAUAUUGUGAAGGACAUAGUGAAUCCAUGACAUUGUGAUUUUUCUUUCUCUAAAGCAUUAUGUUGUUACUUAAUAUUACAGUGUAGGGUAGACCAUAAUUAUUUUUUUCAGUAAGUGAGAAGUAUUAGGUUUGAUUAUGACCAAAAGCAAAUUCGAACUAAAUUAUUGCUUGCCUAUUGUGAGCUUAGCCCACUUCCUGACUUUUUAAUGUAGAUAAUAUCAUAUGAAUUAAAAAAAAAUUAUUGUGUUUUCUGCCAAUAAAAUGUGAUUUGAUUUUUAGAACACUAGAUACAAUAAAUGGAUUAAGUACCCGAAACACUUGCUUAUUGUUCAUUUCGCCUUAAAUUAUACAUAGCAAACUUUGUUUUCUUAUAGAAAAUAUUGAAUUAUUAUUUAAGUGUUGAUUAAUGUUCUUAUUUCUUACUGUUGACAUAUCAUUUAGUUUAAAAUUUUAGUCUAUAUAGCAUUACCCUUAGAUUAUAAAUAUUUCAUCGAGGAGAUUUGAAUUUGGACCUUUUCAAAUGACUAAAAUCAUGUAUCGGAAAUUAAAUUUGAUACAAUAUAUCAGUCAUGCAUAUGACUAUAAAUAUGAAAACAUGUAUGAAAUAAUUGUGAACAGACGUAUUUUAAUUAAUACCAGAGAACUUCUUUGUCACGCCCACAUUGCUACAAAAUCUUGGCUUCGCCUUGCAUGCUAAUUAGUUUUGGUUAGCUAGCUAAUUAGUUUUGAGCUAAUUAGUCGGUAAUUUAUAGAUAAUAUCUCCCCUCGAGAUUUUGUGCAAAACAUACUCUUAAUACACAAACAUUCCCGCCAUUGUCGGCUUCCUUUUGAACGUUUCUAUAACACCAAAUAAAACUCUAUCUCUCUCUACGAACUAAUUCACAGAUCCAAACGAACUCAGUCACACAGAGCGAGUCGGUCAGAGUGGUCAUCGUCGUCGUAUUCAGAAGAAGAGAGAGAGAAAUCAUGAGAGAGAAAAUGGAGGAAUACUUGCGGACGCACUUCGACGUCGAACCCAAACGGCCGUCCGAGGAGGCCCUGAAGCGGUGGAGAUCCGCGGUUUCCAUUGUCAAGAAUCCUACCCGAAGGUUCCGCAUGGUCGCUGAUCUCGCCAAGCGCGCCGAGGACGAGCGGAAGCGCAAGAACCUCCAGGUUCCUUUCAAUAUCUGGAUCAUCGUCGUUCCUAUAUAUAAUUUCUUCAACUAAUUAUUUCGAUUCUCGCCAUUGUGUUUGUCACAUUCAAACUACUCGAUGGCUCGUUACUUUAAUUGCAUGUCACGUUCUGUUUCGGCUUCAAAAAUUUAUGGCGAAAUCAGAGGAAUAGAUGAGAUGCAUGUGUUAAUUUUUUAUUGUUUGUGUUUGUGCUCUUGUUUGGAGCCUAAGAUUUUCUUGGAAACCAAACAGGCCUUUGCGAGUCUUAGAUAAUUAUACUUGUGAGGGAGAAGUGACUUGUAGUAGAUGUGUUGUUUGUUAUAAUAUUUGUAUGAUCUUUGGCUUUGAAAUGCCUUUGAUGAUGAACAUAUCAUCAAGUAAUCAACUAAUUAAUCAUGAUGUGCAUAAUAUUGAGUUGGAUGAUUGCUCCACAAACUGUCUUUUAUUUUGUUUUUCUUUUGGGUGCUAAAAUCCAAUGCACAAUUUGCCAUUGCAUUGUGCUUUGAGCAUUAAUUCUUACUGCGCAUCGGAAUUGUGCUGAUGUGCAUAAUAUAGAUACGUGGUGUAUUGACGACAUACAUUCAAGGUUCUAAAAGAGCUAACCACUAGUCGGGCGGUCGGUUGGGGCCAAACGCUUAAGCGGUUAGGUCAGACCUAGGCGGGGGCCUAGGCGGAUUAGGGGGAUAAGUAAAUCUAUUAUAUAUUGUAUAAAUAAGUACCUAUUUAUAUUAUAAAAAACACAUAAAUGUUUUUUUUUAACAAACGAUAUUAUCUACACUAAGGAGGAGGGGUUGUGCUUAGCCUCACAAUGGGCUAGCAAUAAUGUAUUGGCAUACAUAAAUUGCAAAAUAAAUGACGUAUAUAUUAUAAAGUAUUAUAACAUAUUAAAAACAUAGAGAACAAACACAUAAUGAGUAUUCAUCCAAGUAUUCAAGAAGUCUCUUACAUUUUAUUGACAAAACAAAAUGCAAAAAGAAAGUUAUUGAUUUUCUGUCCAAGUAAGAGUUGCGACUUAAGGGAGUGCCUAACAGGGUCUAGGCGCACUUUCUUAAAUUUUAAACGUAUAGGGACUAAUCAGGGCAGUCCUAAGCGAUAAUUUUUAGAACAGUGCACCAUUAUGUUAAUAGAAUAAUAAUUUUACCAUAACGAUACAUUAGUUAGGGAAAGAGAUCCUCUUCAGAUCUCUUCCUCCAAAGCCACCAAAUCAAGUGAUCCAGGCCUUUUAAAUUUGAUCAAACGGUAAAAAAUUAUUAUAACUUUUAAAAGUUUUUACUAAAUCGUUAGAUCAAAUUUUAAAGGUCUAAUCACUUGAUUUGAUGGUUUUGGAGGAAAGAGAUCCGGACCAUUAGUUAGAAUACCUUGUCAAUACACUAUUUACACAAAUCAUGCACAUAUCCAUGUGCGCGGGUGAGCAAACCUCAUUCUUUGAGAGGUGGCAGGGGUCAAAAUCCACGAGUCCAUUAGGGGUGGUGGUGGUGUUAUUCAGAAGUUAUUCAGAAGUCCAUUAGGCCGGCGGCAUAUGAUACGAGAGAUUUGUUAGUGUACCAAUAAAAUAAUAUAAUUAAUUGAAAAUUUUUAUAAAGAAAAUUUAAUUAAUUGUAUUAAAAUACUUGAUGCAUCUGAUCAUAUUUCCGGCCACAAAAAAAAUUCUCCUCUGGCACUGGGUUUAGGCAGCCACAAAGCUGCAAAGUCCGUAUCGUUCAAUGAAAUCGUUUCAUUUGAUUUUUUGAGCUUUACAAAGGUGGGACCCACCUGUGAAUAUUGGGACCCACAAGAAUUAGUGGUUUUUUUCUUUUGUUCCUCCAAAGGUAAGAAUUUUAUUAAAUUCAAAUAAAAAUGUUUACAUCAGAAGUUAAAGUAUUAAACAAUCAUUGUAGCUCAAAACCAUCCAAAAAAUGAAACCCCUUUCCAGUGCAACAAACAAAGCCACUAGAUACGCUGCCUUGUUACAAAUUCGAGGAACGAAGAUAAAUUCCACUGACCUCAAUCGUUAAGCUCUUAGUUUAACUUUAACAUUUGUGCUUAUAUAUUUUAUUCUUACUUUGAAAGAAAAUGAUAAAAUUUGAAUGGAAACGUUUAUAUCUGAAGUCAAGGCUCAAGACCAUCCAAAAAAUGAAACCCUCUUCUCGAGCAACAAACGAAGCCACUAAAUGCGCUACAUUGUUACAAAUUCGAGAAGCGAAGAUAAAUUCUAUUGAUCUCAAUCGUUAAGCUCUUAGCUUAACUUUAACAUUUGUGGUUUUUUUUUUUGAGAACUUUAACGAAAAGCACCCGAUCUGUUCACUUUAACGAAAAACCACAUUUUUACACUAAAAAGUCAAUCAUGGUACUAUUCACUUUACUCUUUAUUUUGUCCUUAUCAUUAAAACUCAAAACUUUCAAGCCCUUUUCAUUAGUUUUUUUUUUUUUUCUUCUUCUUACUCUGAAAGAAAAAGACUGUCUUAACUUUUCCCUAAGUAGAGUUGCUACAGUUUGAUGAAUUUAUUUCAGCAGUUAUGUUUUUAUCUUCAUAAACUUUAUUAUUUUCUAAAGGUCUUCGUGUUGAAUCUCUUUAUUACUGUGCAUUAAACUUAUUUAUUGAAUAGUAGCCAUGGGUUUUUAUGCUCAUGGGGGUUACUAAUGUCAAGCUUAAUUAAACAAUUAAACCAUCGAAGAAAUAUUUUUUCACUCUAUGAAAGUGAUUGUCUCAAGUAUACGAAAGUGAUAGAUGAUCUGUGGGGCUUCGAGUAAUAAGAGUCAUCUGUAUAGACUCUCGGGCUAAGUUCUUUCUGUGCCUUUGUUUUGUGCUGUUUGGCCCCCUUGUUUCGCCAAAAAAAGUAUAUGAAAGUGGUACAAAUAGAAGAGGGUUUGAUGGAGUUGAAUAUACCAAUGACAAUGAAAUAGUUCAAUGGAGGCCUACGGCCUAGGGAGAAAUUGGGACGAAGAGGCUCAAAUUCCCAUAAUGUGUAUUGAGGUAAAAAUCCAACCACAGAUGCCAUGAAGCUGCACAUUGUUCAGAAAAUGGCCUUUCUUGGUGUCUGUUUCGUUGAUUUUGUGUUACCUCCAUUUGAAAGCGUCGCGCUUUCAUAGUGUGACAGAAAAUGAAUGAAAAUCAAAGGAAUGAAGGUUUCAGGUUGAUAAAGUCGGGAUUUUCAUUUGAUAAGGAAAAAAUUUAUAUGCUUGUGUGAGGAUGGCGUGCAGUGUCAGCACAUCAGACUAGUAUUUCAAUCAAACAAUACUUCAAUGGCAGGAAAUUUAGGCUUAUCAAUGUUAAAUAGAUAUAUAAUAUAUGAUUAUAUCUGCAUCAAGAUUGUUUUGCAUCAGGUUUGAUGGCUUUAGGCAUCUGCUAAGCAUGAAAAGCGUGUUCAUUUAACUCUGAAUACUGGUUUUAAUUAUUUUCUUAAUCUACCAUUUUCGCUAUGCUUCUGUUGAUUCUUGUCAGGAAAAGAUACGUGUAGCUCUUUACGUACAAAAAGCGGCAUUGCAAUUCAUCGAUGGUAUUAUAUCCUUCUUAUAUAGUUACAUCUCCUUCAUUCAAACUUCUGAUUCCUUUCUAAGUCAUGUAUAAUUUUUUGUACAAUUCAGCUGGCAAUCGUGGGGGAUAUAAUCUUUCCAAAGAAGUAAAAGAUGCUGGUUUUGGCAUUGAUCCUGAAGAAAUUGCAUCCUUUGCUCGAUCUCAUGAUACGAAGGGUUUGGAAGGACACGGAGGAGUAUCAGGAUUAGCAGGAGAGGUUUCUGUAUCGCUGAAAGAUGGUGUUGUUUCAAGCAAGAUACCUAUUAGGCAGAAUAUAUUUGGCUUAAACCGAUAUGCAGAGAAACCUUCUAAAGGUUUCUUGAUGUUUCUCUGGGAAGCCUUACAAGAUUUAACUUUAAUUAUCCUCAUGGUUGCUGCUGCGGUCUCUAUAGGUGUUGGAAUUGCAACUGAAGGAAUGCCGAAAGGUAUGUAUGAUGGCUUGGGAAUAAUAGUUAGCAUAUUGUUAGUAGUGUUGGUGACUGCAAUUAGCGACUACAAGCAGUCACUGCAAUUUAAAGAACUGGACAAGGAGAAGAAAAACAUAAUGGUUCAGGUGACUAGAGACGGACGUAGACAGAAGGUCUCUAUCUACGAUUUGGUGGUUGGAGAAAUUGUUCAUCUUUCAAUCGGUGAUCAAGUUCCAGCUGAUGGUAUUUUCAUAUCAGGCCACAGCUUACAAGUCGACGAAUCAAGCUUGUCAGGCGAGAGUGAGCCAGUGGACAUAAAUCAAGAUAGACCUUUUCUUCUUGCAGGAACCAAAGUGCAAGAUGGUUCUGGUAAAAUGCUGGUGACAUCAGUUGGUAUGAGGACCGAAUGGGGACGACUAAUGGUUACUCUGAGUGAAGGGGGAGACAAUGAGACACCACUGCAGGUGAAACUUAAUGGAGUUGCAACCAUUAUCGGAAAAAUUGGUUUGGCUUUCGCGGUGCUGACAUUUAUAGUUCUGAUUUCAAGGUUUUUAGUAAACAAGGCGGUUCACCAUCACAUGAAAGACUGGUCUUCCAAAGAUGCACAAAUGCUUUUGAAUUACUUUUCGACUGCCGUCAUUAUAAUUGUUGUUGCAGUCCCAGAAGGGCUACCUCUGGCAGUGACAUUAAGUCUUGCCUUUGCAAUGAAAAAACUCAUGUCGGAUAAAGCACUUGUGAGGCAUCUCUCUGCAUGUGAGACAAUGGGUUCUGCUACUUGUAUUUGCACAGAUAAAACUGGAACCUUGACAACAAAUCAUAUGGUUGUGAACAAGAUAUGGGUCUGUAACGAAACCAAGACUAUAACGAGUAAUGAGAACAAUGACGUGUUGAAGUCAGCUUCUGAAGGAGUACAUAACCUCCUUUUACAGUCCAUCUUUCUGAAUACAAGCGCGGAGGUAGUCAAGGGGGAAGAUGGAAAGAAUAGCAUUAUGGGGACUCCAACAGAGACGGCGAUAAUUGAAUUUGGAAUGCUUCUGGGAGGUGAUUUUAAAUCUUACAGUGAGGAUUAUAAGAUACUUACGGUUGAACCAUUCAAUUCAGUCAGGAAAAAGAUGUUGGUGCUAGUGGCUCUACCUGAUGGAGGAAAGAAACGAGCAUUCUGCAAAGGAGCAUCAGAAAUAAUCUUAGAAAUGUGUGAUAAUGUUGUUGGCACUGAUGGUGAAGCUGUGCCUCUAUCAGACGAGCAAAGAACGAAUAUCUCAGAUAUCAUAAAUGGUUUUGCUUGUGAAGCUUUAAGAACUCUAUGCUUAGCUUUCAAGAAUAUAGAUGAUUCCUCUAGUGAAAACAGUAUUCCUGACGAUAAAUAUACGUUAAUAGCUGUUGUUGGAAUCAAGGAUCCUGUGCGUCCAGGAGUGAGGGAAGCAGUGAAGACUUGUUUAGAUGCUGGGAUUACUGUAAGGAUGGUCACCGGUGACAAUAUUAAUACGGCUAAAGCCAUAGCUACGGAGUGUGGUAUUUUGACAGAAGGUGGUUUGGCUAUAGAAGGGCCAGAUUUCCGAAAUAAGAGCUCACAGGAGAUGGCGGAAAUAAUUCCGAAACUGCAGGUUUUAGUUUUUCUAUUGCUUUAGUAACUUCUUAACAUUAAAUUCACAUUUGUAUCAAUGGGAAGUAGUUUCCGGAUGAAUUUUCUGUCAGGAAAUUAGUGAAAUUUUCUCUGUGCAGGUAAUGGCUCGAUCCUUGCCUUUGGACAAGCACACCUUGGUGAAACAGUUGAGGAAUGAGCUUAGAGAAGUUGUGGCAGUAACUGGUGAUGGGACGAAUGACGCUCCUGCGCUGCACGAGGCAGACAUCGGACUUGCCAUGGGUAUUGCGGGAACGGAGGUUUGUUACAAACCUCAUCCUACACAAUUUGGUUUCUUCUUAAAUGCUAAUAAUCGGCUAAACGUCUGCCGGUCCACAGGUUGCGAAAGAGAAUGCCGAUGUUAUCAUAAUGGAUGACAACUUUACAAGCAUAGUGAACGUUGCAAGAUGGGGUCGGGCGGUUUACAUCAACAUUCAAAAGUUUGUACAGUUCCAACUAACAGUUAACAUCGCAGCUCUGAUGCUCAAUUUCGUUUCAGCAUGCGUCUCAGGUUUGUUCAUCUGCGGAACUACUUCAAAACCUUUCAACGUACAUAUUUACCAAAUGCAUUGCAGGCGGUAAUGAUCGUGCGAAAUAACUUUCAGGAUCCGCGCCUCUCACGGCUGUCCAGAUGCUUUGGGUGAACUUGAUCAUGGAUACUCUUGGUGCUUUGGCGCUGGCUACGGAGCCACCAAACGAGGGUCUAAUGAAAAGACCACCGGUCGGAAGGAACGUCAAGUUCAUAACCGGGAUCAUGUGGAGGAACAUUGUUGGCCAGAGUAUCUACCAAAUUGCUGUCCUUCUGGUUCUCAAGUUUUGCGGACUCCGGCUUUUGAAGCUAACUGGUUCCGAUGCAAAUUCCGUUCUCAAUACCGUCAUAUUCAACUCUUUUGUGUUUUGCCAGGUACUACUGUUAUUCGUUACAUGAAUUUUCGUGUUUACAUAUACAUUGUACUAUUUUUGUUCUUAUCUGUUUAAUUCAUGAUUGUUUCAGCUAUUAAAAUAAUUAUCAAAUUAUUUUCAGAAACAUUGCAUCAGAUUUUCCCAAGUUUUUUAUGAGUAUUUCGCCAAUUUCCCCAUCAACUUGUUGUACCUUACCGUUGAUUUUCCUUCUGAACUUUUUGUUUUGGUCAAUGUUAUGCCCAGGAAUGGCCUGCAAUUAAAUGUUAUUUGUUAUUUUUUCCUUUCUCAAAUGUGUCGUCUCUAUAAAAUGUGGAUGACGUCAAACGUGGUGGGUAAAUUGGUCAUUUACAAUAGAUAUUUACAGGCUUUUUUUUUAGGGAACUUUAACGAAAAGCUUCCAGUACUGUUCACUUUAAUGAAAAACCAUAUUUUUACUCUACAAAGUCAAUCCUGGUACUAUUCACUUCACCCCUUAUUUUGUCUUUAUCGUUAAAAUUUAAAGUUUUCAAGCCCUUUUCAUUAGUUUUUUUUUUUUUUAAAUCUGAUAUUUUAUUUUCUUUGUUCAAAGGGGAUAUAAUUUUGCAUGUAUUGCAGGUAUUCAACGAGAUAAACAGCCGUGAUAUGGAGAAGAUCAAUGUGUUCAGUGGCAUGUUCAGCAGUUACACCUUCAUGAUGGUGAUGAUCUCCACCGUUGUUUUCCAGAUCAUCAUCGUUGAAUUCUUGGGAAAGUUUGCACAAACCGUGCCACUGAGCUGGGAGUUGUGGUUAACAAGCGUCUUGAUCGGCGCUGUAAGUUUGCUCGUCGCUGUCGUCGUCAAGUUCAUUCCUGUUUCUGUCAUGAAACAACAAGCUCCUCGGGAUCACGAGGAUGUCUACGAACCUCUCCUCCGUGGCCCUGACAAUGCAUGAAAGAUCGAAACAGCUUGCUCGUGAAUGAUUAUUGUGCAGAAUUUUGGAGGAAUCUCUUCAUUGUUUCGUUGCAUGUUUGCGCAACAUUUUUGGACACCAUUUCUCGUCAUUUUUUGUUGUACAUUUCAGUCUGCAUUGAGAUCAGCUAGAAAUCGGUCUUCCUUUCGCCAUUUCGCUGUCUUUAUUCAAAUUCAAUUUAUACACACUUGAUCUGGGAACUGUAUUUUUGGGAGCAGGAAAACCCAGGAGGAUUAAUAUUUACUUGCAGGCUGAGUUUUAUACAGUUUGCUUUCAUUUUUCAACUAUUAACCUCUUUGCUGUUAAGUUGUUAACUACAUUUUAAGACACCGAAAGGGUGAAAACUUAACUUGUGUCCUAAGGUACUAGGCGAGCCAGUAGGCACCAAGACCCGGGCUGCGGCCGCCAAAGCAACCUACCCCUUUCCUCCCGCUCAGUUGAAUUGAAAGGAGCUAGGCCCCUGAUAGAAUCAAAAGCUUUAGAGAAAGCAGUGGAGAAUCUCCUAGGUAAGUAAGAUUGGGUUGCAGUGAGAGUAGUGAGCGAGAUGAACGUUCGAGGCUAAAUAUAACGCUAGUUUUGACUAUCAAAGGAAAAAAGAAGGUGCGCUGAGAUAGCAAAUAAUUACAAAGCAACAAGUAAUCUUCAGACACCACCCAUUCCUCUAGCAAGAAUUUCCAUUCGACGUCGAUGAUAGUAUUGUUGAAGCUGAUGAGGCAUUAUACUUGUAUCCAUCAACAUUAUUCUCUCCUCUUUGUCCUCACGGUCGAGUCGAAGCCUCUCUUUAUCCAUCUCAAGCCUCUCCUUAUCCAUCUCAAGCCUCUCCUAAGCAUCUCUAAUUUCUCUAACCGAUAUUGCCUUUUCUCUUCAUUAACUUGGUCUCUCCAUUCCUCCAUCAUGUGUAGGAGAUCCACGGCUUGCUUAUUUGCAUCGUCAUUCUUUUGGUUUUCUUCGAUCUUUUGUUUCUCAACCAGCCUUACUGGUGGUCUCUCCAUGCUCCCAAAAUCAGCAUCUAGGACGUCCAUCAUUGUCGUUGGUCUCUCCAUGUUUCCAGAAUCAGUAUUUGGGAUGCCCUUCCUUAAUGGCGGUCUCUCCAUGUUCUCAACAUCAGUAAUUGAGGCAUCCAUGUUCUCCAAAUCAGUGUUUUGGACGUCUGUCCUUAUUGGUGGUCUCUCCAUGCUCCCAAAAUCAGUAUUCGGGAUAUCCUUCCUCAUGGGUGGUCUCUCCGUAUUCCCAAAAUCAGUAACUAGGACGUCCAUAUCCCCAAUACCAGUGUUUGGGAUGUCCAUCCUUUUCGGUGGUGUCUCCCUGUUCCAAACAUCACUAUUCAGGGCAUCAUUCCCAAUAAGUAGUCUCUCCCUGUUCCCAGAAUUACCAUCUGGGGCAUCCUUCCUUAUUUGCAGUCUCUCCUUUUUCCGAAAUUCAGUAUUUGGGACAUUCUUCCUCUCUGUGUUCCCAGAUUCAGUAUUUGGGACGUCGUCCUCUACAAGACCUAUCAAACUCUCUGAAGUAGAAGGAGAAGAGAAUUCAGGAGCGAGACUUGUACCUUUUCCUCUAUUUGUUGGUUUUUUCCUGGGCUUCCGCAUAUCAUCCAACCACUUUGGCGCAUCCUUCAACAGCUUCCAACAAUGAUCAAAAGGAAAUUUUUUCUUUUCCAAUUUUUCGUAUAACUGUUUCGCAUAAAAACUGCCCAAAGAAGAAGAAAAAAAGAUCAUUACUAAAUCUACCAAACUAUGAUUACCAUAAAUAACAUUGAGAAAAAGAAGAUUACCUUAUCUUGCCCAUUCACGCCGUAUUUGUGCUUCUCUUCCACUUGAGUAACAUACUCACAAAACUUCUUGGUUGCUUGUUGAAUAGCUGACCACCGUUGUAGUAGUGACCUCUCCUCUCGAUCACUUGCAAAUGUUUUGUAGCUGUGAAAAUAAUCCGUCACUCGCCCCCAAUAAGUAGUCUUUGAUUGACCUUUUAUGUGCACGACAUCCAUGUUGGUUGCAAGCCAUCCCUGUGUGAGAAGAACAUCUUCUUGGCAAGAGAAGCUCAGGCCUCGUAGUUUUCUUUCGACGGUAUCAAGUAAUUGUGAGUAUUAAUCAAUAUUUUGGGGUGAAGAACUGAGGAUUCAUGUGAAGAUGAAUAAAAACAGUAACAAGAAGAAAAGAGUAUUGGGAAUUACAGCACUGCAGUCAUAAAAUGUGUACAAAAAUGUUAUUUACAUACAAUUAUAGGUAAAUCGAACUUAAACUAAUGAACGAGAAGCCAUUUCUUCUAGUUAAAAAGAAUGAAGAAACCGUUUCCUAAUCUCAUUUUCACACAGAAAAUUUGAUGCGCAAAAAGUCUAGGGGACAUUUCUUUUCGGGUUUGUUACCUACUAAACUCCAUUCGGAGAUGAUGUUCUACUAACAAGAGUGAUGAUAUCACCAGCCAUACCAUGAAUACUCUAAUACCACCUUUCAAGAAGGGUUUGCUUUUUCUAUGAGCAACAAUCCAAGGGUAAGCCAUUUGAUCAGACCAAAGGAAACAAUUUCUUCAUCAAAUCAAGGGAAAUAGACCAUCAAAUUGGACAAGGCAUUGAACUUGCUUUAAAUUUUGAGUCGCUCCAGAAACUCACAAGCUACAAGCCUACAACUCCAGUGCCUCACGGCCAAGCAUGCCUCAUAAAUGAAAAGAAAAAAAUAAUAAUAAUAAAUAAAAGAAAAAAAACAUCAGAAGCAGAAAAAUCUACUUUUCGAUCUCUCAAAACAUAAUUGUCAUUGACUCAUUGAUCCAGAACUAAUUAACUGUUGUGGCACAACUAAGGCAAGCUAGAACAAAAAUACAAUACAAGGGUCCUCUAACAUUCUUUAUAUUGUACACAACUAAAAUCCUCAGUAGUUGAUGUGAUUCUGAAAGACAUUAUCCCGACUCUCAUUCCAAAACAACAAAAAGAAACCACAUAAACUAAGACUCCUACUACAUCAUCACCCCUUUAGAUAUCGUCUACUUUGGUGAAUGGUCAGCUUGCUUUUUGACAAAUAGCUUUCCUACAUCUUCUGUUACAAUGUUGCUCCUGGACCCAAAAAAGAGAAAAAAACGAUGAUGAGAACAAAAACUCUGACGUAUAACAAAGUUGGCAUAUUUAAUGUUGCUCAACAGAUACAAUACGCCAAGUUCAGGGAUUGCCACCAUCAGGAAGAAAAAGGACCAACAGUUUUAGAAUUGUAAUCAAUUUCCAAACUUUACCAAACACAAGAAAAUUGUAUUUGAUCUAUACCUACAAAUUCUUUAACAUAGCCAUCGUUUUAGCAAGAUUUAUGCACAGUGACCUUCAAAUACACAAACCUGGCCCUUUACAGUUGAAGACAGACUUAACAAAUGUUUUCCGAGGAGUAUCCCAUGAAGAACGUAUCCAGUCACGGAAUCAAAUAUGGCGCAGUAGUAAGCAACCCAAAUACAUCUUUUCAUGUAAAAGCAAAGGCAAAAGGAUGAACCAAUACAAGUACUGCGGAACCCUAAGAAUAUAGAGUUGUGGAGCAGGAUUCUUAUUACAGACCAACUUAAAAUGAGUCCACUCAACUAAGUCAUCAUGACUGUUAAGUGUUAAGCCACUACUGCACACUCCAUGUGUGCAAUUUUUACCCAUUAAAAAGAGUCCAUUUCAUUAAAAGUCUUAAGUUAUACAGCAUAUGGCUCUCUCAUGUAAAUAUUACAAGUAACUGCAGAGAAUAUGGAAGAGUUUUGAACUUAUGAGGGAUAAAUUUUUCUAAUUUAAACUUUAAAGUACAACUUCACACUCUAUUCACUCGUUGUAAUCGUAUAAUUUAUUCACCAAAACUCAUUGCUAACACAAAUCUAUAAACUUUUUUUCCCUUUCAAUAUCGUCAUAGCAUGAUCUCUAUGUGAACCGAGUUUAGUUGGGAUUCCAAAAACAACAUAGCAAGUUAGCAUUUAAAUCCCAAAUCAUGACUGCAUGAAUUCUGAAGUUGUGAUUACUCAGAUUAAGCAACUUAAGAUGCAAUAUUCAAGAAAUUAAAGCUCAUAUUGCAAGUUAUGAAAGCAUACAAAAGAGUAUGUGAGUAUAGCUAAACAGUUAAACAAAAGCAGAAUUUAAAUUCCAGAUAUUCAAACUGACCUUCCACUAAGCUGAGGCGGAACCAGCAGACCACCAACUGUAUCUGGAACAUUCUUGGAAUGAGGCAAGCUACCUCUGGGAACUUUAGUGCGGGGAACAGAGGAAGCAAAUGCAUUCAACUCUCUCUUACGUGAUGAACUCUCAGCCAUUGCAGCUGCAACACGAGAAGAGUGGUCGCUGCCACUCACCAUAUUGGAUGAGAAAACAGGAGAAUUCAAGAGCAGCGAAGCAUCAGGAAGUUGCUGGAUUGAAGGAGCUGAUGAACGGGCAGAACUUUCCGGCUGCUGGUGUGAUAAAACAACUGAUCUAUUACACAGAAAAAAAUAUACCAAAUUAAAAUUCAACUCGAGGAAGGAGAAGCUUAUAUAAAACACUGUGACUAUUUUCCGAGCUGUAAAAAUUUAGGACUGCUAAGAAAAACCCUCAUUUAAUACAACAUUAUGCAACACCAUUCUGUCAACCAACAUAGACACCCAAGAAAAAUUAAAAAAAAUGAAAUUCUCUUGUAUACUGUGCCUAUCUCUAAGUUUUAAUUUUCCGGCAGACCGGGAGUUAGCCAAGUUGACUAGAGCAGUGUGGAAUAUUGUUUAGAUGAAUUUAGUGUAGAAUAUCGUUUCUAAAAAGAGAAAAGUUUAAAUUUUCCUAAAGAGGGGAUAUAACCCUCAUUGUAAUUAAGCUAAUUACAAUAUGCUUCUUCCCAUAAUCCUUGAAUUUUCCUUUCUUAUUUACAACUCAAAUACGCAAAAAUAACAGCAUCCCAACACAAUUUUUCUACAAAUUGAACAAAAACAAUAAAAAUUACUCAGAAUAUCAUAAACAAAUAAAUAAAAUCAUAAAAAAAUAGUGAUAAAUUCGAAAGAAGUAAAAGAUUACAACUUUAACAAAGAAAUUGAAGAAAUUACUGGGUGUGAGGACGAGUCGGAAGACCCGGAAUGUCUCUGGGAACUUGUUGUUGUGGCUCGUUUUCCUUGUUUUCCCUAACCUCCUCCUCCUCCGGUACUUCGUCGUCUGAAGAUGGGUAGUCCACCAACGACAUCUUUCGGCUUUUCUCUUUCACGCUUUCACUCUAUGCCUCUUCCGUCUCCGCUGUUAUUUUGGCCUGCUCGGUAAUAAAAACGCUGCUACUUCUGCAGUAUUUUUUUUUUCUCUUUCUUUAUUGGCAUAAAUUUGCAUAUUAUAUUUAAGAAGAAAUUGCAACAAUGGUUCUCAACUUUAACACAAUUGGAGAAAUUGUUCAUCAACUAAAAAUCUUUGACUACUGAUCCCUUUACUUAUCAAAACGUGUAGCUAUUGUUUUUUUCGUCAAAUUCGUUAAAACUUAGUCACGUGUUAUGCCCGUGAGACUGAAUCAAGGGGCAAAUAUAGAAAACCAAAUAAUGGAAAAAAUUGUAGCAAUGAUUCCUCAACUUUAACCCGAUUAGAGAAAUAGUCUCUAAACUUUAACCUCAUUGGAGCAACAGUUCCUCACUUUAACCCAUCUGGAGCAACAGUCCCUCAUUUUAACCCAAUUGGAGUAACCGUUCUUUCAACAUGAGUUAUUUUGAAAGAAUUCUAAUGGAGUUGACGACAAUUAUCAUAGCUACACGUUUUAAUAAGUUAAGAGACCAAUGGUCAUGAAUUUUUAGUUGGGAGACAAUUGCUCUAAUUGGGUUAAAGUUAUAAGGAUCAUUGCUACAAUUUUCUCUAUAUUUAAUUUUUCUUUCAUUGAAAGUAUUACUUAGUGGUCCGAAAAAUCAAACGGUUUAAUUAUGUAUAUCUGUACCACUGAGUGAGACGUAUCAUUGUAGUUAGACAUUGAUAAUAUAAUCUAAUUUAAAGUUUUAAAUUACAAAGAGGAGGGCUCUAAAUGAGGGAGUCGAACUGAAUAUCAUUGUGCUUAAAUUUCACUGGUUUAACAAUUAUUGAGCUCAGGCUUGACUCGCUACUUAUAUGAGCCGAGCUCUAGCGAGCUUCAUAUGUUCAAGCUCGAUACCAAUCACAAACUAUUUCGAGCUAUUUUCUAUUGUAAGUUGGUUGGAUUGUGUAAACAAUUUUGUUACAUGGCAGUACAUGUCAAUAAUAGAUCAUAUAAAACAUAAAAAGUUCUAUCCAAAACUUUCAAACACACUACUUUAAGGUAAGAAGCGUAAACCUUUCGAAGUAGACAUAAGUACUUGGAACAAUGAACAACUCGGCAAUAGGACUUUGGCUUUUGAAUGUUUAGGGUUCUUUGGGCGCCAACUUGUUUUGUUAGCUGAGUUUGUUUGACUUGGGCCUCUAAAUACGUAUUAGGCAAAUAAAAUAAUAUGAUUACACCACGUCUAAUCAAGACUGGAUGAUAUUUUUUUUUCAUAUAUUUUAGAGAAUUUUAACGAAAAGUUCACGGUACUGUUCACUUUAACGAAAAACCAUACUUUUAUUCUAAAAAGUCAAACAUGAUACUAUUUACUUUACUCUUUAUUUUGUCCUUAUCAUUAAAACUCAAAGUCUUCAAGUCAUUUUCAUUAGUUUUCCUUAAACCAUAUUUUAUUACGUGUCAAGCGUGAAGGAUUGAGCCGAGCUCAAUCCUUACUUCGAGCUCCUUCGUAAAAAAUUUCGAGCUACUCACGAGCUUUAAGAGCCAAACAUACUAAUGUUCAAGGUUGGCUUGUCAUAAAAUCGAGCCAAUCUAGGUUGGAUUUUUUUGACGGGCCAAACAACUGUUUCGAAUCGAUUUACGGCCCUAACAGAGAGCCACAGAGGGGUACUGAAUUUGGGUGCAAAAACAAACAUACCGUCAGCCAAUUUAACUACGUCCAAGGUCUAAAAUAUCGAUAUUAUCCCGAUAUUUUUAUCGAAAUUUCAGUAUUUUUGAACUACCAAUAUUUCCGAUAUCAUCGAUAUUUUAAACCUUGAUAAAAACUCUAUAUGGUACUAAAUCACUCAUGUAUCUUACUAUGCAAUGUAUAAAGUGUAAAAUAUUGUACUAAUUCAUUAUAUAUAAAUGAUUAUGGUGUGUUUAAACUUCUUUUAUUAAUUACUACAUAUUUUCUACACUCACAAUGUUUACCAGCUCACUAUAUAAUCAACUUAAAUCAGUUAAAUCCAUCAUGCAAUGCAUUUCCUUCCAAUUUUUUAUAAUAAACUAAUAGAUAAUUGACUAAAUAAACAUCAUGCAAAGUUCUUACAAUUUCCGUGGUUUUUAUUCAAUUUUUAUCGAUAUCGAUAAUAUCCCGAUAUUUCCAUAGAAAUUUCCGUGUUUUUUAACUGCCGAUAUUUCCAAUAUCAUCAUUUAAUGCUAUGGUUAGUGAGAGGUCUUAAAUUCUGGGUUUACUGCCAAAACAAAAUUCACCAUCGGAAAAACCAUCCGAUAACCAAGCGUUCUCCUGAGACAUUAUUCACGCGGCAGACUGCUAUACAAAACCACAACGCCAGUGCUUCUUGCUACAUGCUUGAGAAC
rnacentral:lncRNA from 1 species